CCAUUCAUUAUUUAAGUAAUUCCCCACUAACAAUAGUAUUUCCAGUUAACCAUGUUUGAGAGCUUCCUUAACAAAUCUGUCGAAAUCAAUAUAAGAUGAUCCCCCAACUUCAACCGCUUCUUCCGCUUUCUUCUUCCAUUCCAAUGCCUUCUCUUUCUUUUUCUUUCCUUCCUCACCUUCCAUCAUUUCCUUAACUAAAAACUCUAUGUUCUCUCGCUUCACAUCAUGAUCCACCUCUAUGCCAAUGCCCCAAUAAGUGCAAGCAUAUCGACAAUUGGUUUGCUGAUCAGCAAAAAAUGGCCAACAAACUACUGGCACACCUCCUGAUAUGGUUUCCACGGUAGAAUUCCACCCACAGUGCGUCAAAAAAACACCGACUGAAGGAUGUGAAAGGGCCUCAUAUUGGUUGCACCAGCUUGUUAUCAGCCCUCUUUCACUACACCAAAUGAGGCUUUUAGCGGCAUAUUUUGUGGCGUUUGCACUACAAACGCCGCUAAUAAUCUCGCAUUAGCGGCGCAAAAAAUAAACCGCUGCUAAAUAUCAGGCAUUAGCGGCGCAUCAUGAGAAGCGCCGUAAAAGAACAUCAUUAGCGGCAUUUGUCGUCACACGCCGCAAGAUCUGAAGACCAAAACGCAUCGUUUUUGUUUUAAUGUAUACAAGAAUUAGUGGCAUUUAUAGUAAAUCGCUGCUAAAGCAAUUAUUAGCGGCGCAAUGGCUAAAGCGCCGCAAAAAUCUAAACAAAAACGCACCGUUUUGUCUCGCUGUAUAUUAGCGUUAGUGGCGCUUUAACAAAACACGCCGCUAAAGCAAGUAUUAGCGGCGCUUACUAAAAGUGCCGCAAUAUAUGUUAACCAAAACGCAGAGUUUGGCCUAGAGGUAUGUUACAAUUUAUGGCGCUUAUGGGGAAAUGCCGCAAAAAUAUCCUAACCAAAGUGCACCGUUUUGGUUUUGGUGUAUGUUACAGUUAGUGGCGCUUAAUAUAAAACACCGGUAAAGUAUAAUAUUAGCGGCGUGUUGUGGUAAGCGCCGCAAAACCUCUUAACCAAAACGCAGAGUUUGGUCUUGAGGUAUACUAGAAUUAGUGGCGCAGAGCGAACACGCCACUAAUGCAUACUAUUAGCGGCGCUUUCGUAUAAGCGCCGCAAAAUUUGACAACAAAACGCAACGUUUUUGUCUCGAUGUAUACAGUUGAUAGUGGCGCAUAUAAAGAAACGCCGCUAAAUCACAGUAUUAGCGGCGCUUGUGCAGAAGCGCCGCAAAAUAUGCUCACCAAAACGCUGAGUUUUUACAUGAGGUAUAUUAGAAUUAGUGGCGCUUUUUGGAGAUCGCCGCUAAAGUAUAUUAUUAGCAGCGCUUUUUUAUAAGCGUCGCAAAAGAUAUUAACAAAAACGCAGCGUUUAAGUCUUGAUGUAUACUGGAAUUAGUGGCAUUCACGAGAAAUCGCCGCUAAAGCAUGGUAUUAGCGGCGCUUUUUGAUAAGUGCCGGAAAAUGUAUUAACCAAAACGCAGAGUUUUGGUCUUAACCAUGCAUUAUAUAAUGUAGGUUAUUAUAUAUGUUUAGUUUAUCGUAUUUGGUCUCUGGUUUAUGGUUUAAAGGUUGGGGUUUAAGGUUUAAGGUUAAUAUGUGUUAAAGAUUUAUGAUUUAAUUUAGGGUUUAUGGUUUACAAUUUAGAUUAACUAGUGUUUUGUAAUUUAUAUAUUAAUUAAUUUCUUAUAUAAUUGUAAAAAAUAUAAUAUUAAUUUCGAUCUUUAAAAUUGUGUGAAGAUUUGGUUAUUCAAAAUCGAUAUAAGCUAUAUCCAGAAGGAUAUCCCCAUCUUAUCCCAUCUCGGUUCAGUAUUUUUAGUGCUCUGUUCAGUAUAAUAUAUAUGUAUAUAUAUGAUUAUUAAUUUAAGAUUUUAGCUAGGUCAUAUUUAGGGCCGGGUUACUAUUUUAAGGUUAUUGUAAUUGAUCAGGAGUACUAUAUAUAUAUUAUGUAAUAGCUGAUCAGAUUUAAUGUUUAGGUGUUAGGAGCUGGGUUAGACGUUAUGGGCCGGUUAGGAGUUAGGGAUUUAUGGUUUAGCCAGGGAUUUAGGCGGGUCGGGUUAGGGUAUUAGGUUUAGAUCUUUUACAUAUGUAAAUGGAAUAACAAAUUAAGCUUGGUGGACACUUGUAUAUAUGAAUUUAGGGUUACGGUUAUAGGGUUAGGGGUUAGAAGUUAACAGUUAAGGACUUAGGGUUUAGAUCUUAUUUAGUUUUUUUAAUUUAUAUUUUAAAUAUGUUCUUACAUUUUUGAACAUAAAUAAAAAUUAUAUAUUAACCAACCAAAUCUGAAAUAAUUAAUAAAACACCACAUUAAAGCACGAUAAAAUAAUAAUUCUUAGAGAAAUAGAAAAAAAAAUCAAUUGGCUGGAAUAAAAAUCAGAUUAAUUAAUUGUAUUUAAAUUUACAUAUGUUAAUGGGAUAGCAAUGCUUGGUGGACACUUGUAUGGAUUUAGGGUUUGGGAUUUAAGGUUUAGAAAUUUUGGGGUCAAAUCAGGGUUUUGGGUUUAGAGUACUAAUUAGUAAUUUUAAAAUAUAUUUUAAAAAUUUAAUCUAAACCAAUUGAUGUAUUUAAUUAAUAUUAGUUUAAAUGGAAUUAAAAAAUAAGUUAAAAUUUUGGCUUAAAUUAGCAUUUUCUCUAUAUUAACUAAACGGCGCCGUUUAUGUUAGUUUUUUGUGGCGUUUGUGUUUGAAACGCCGGAAAAGUGACUUGAUAUAUUGGCUAAACGUCGACGUAUAACUUAAGGAAAUUAAUUUUUAGUGGCGCUUUAGAAGAAAGCGCCAGAAAUGUGCAAUAAAUCCGAGCAAAACGGCGCUGUUUCGGAUUAGAACCUUCAUUAUUUGUGGCGCUUGUCAAGAAACGCCGUAAAUACACAAGCUAUAGCGGCGUUUUUUCAAUAAACGCCGAGAAAGUGUCUUCAAUUUUUUGCUAAACGGCGUCGUCUCUGUACAUGCUUUUAUACUUAGCAUUUUCUAUAUAUUAAUUCAACGGCGCCGUUUCUAUUUUAACUUUAAAAUUUAGUGGCGUUUUUUCAAAAACGCAGCAAAUGUUUCUUAAAAUUUCGACGAAACAUCGUUGUUUCUGUACUGUGUUUUAACUUAUGCCAAUUUAUGUGUAUCUCAGUGGCCAGAAUUUUACAUUGCAGAAACAAAAUUGGGGGAGAAACGAAAGUAGUGAAAUCGAAAGAGAAAAAACGACGGAAGAAACGGAGAGGAGAAAUCUUUCUGUGGAAACGAAGGCUUCAGAGGAUACUAUCAAAGCUGCGUCAUCUGUGUUUAAAAGGUAAGCUUUUUUCGAAACAGUGUAUCUUGAUUUAGGGUUUAGGUUCAGAGUAAAUUAGGAAUUUGGGGUUUAGGGUCCUAGUUCAGUCACGAAGCAAUUCUUACAAAUUUGGUUUGGAAUUUGGGGAAUUUGGGAAUUUUUGCGUGUCUAGGGUUUGGUUCCGAUCCUGUCGAGCUUUUUUAUUUCUUCUACUUUUUUCCUUACACUGUUCAAUAAUCAUGUCUUGUUCCCCAGGAGUGAGUCUGUAUUUGCCCAACUGUUGAAGGAAGGAGAACUGAAAAUUGUGUACUUAGGUAAGUUUGCUGAUUUGGUCAUUUAUCAAUAGUUGAAUGGAUGUAAAAUUUUUCCUGCAUUUCUUACUGCUCAAUUGCUGAAGGGUACUGCUUUUAAUUCGGUUUUUUUGGAAUUUUUGGUGCAUUCCUUACUGCUCGUAUUUAGGGUAGUUUGCUGAUGUGUUCAAACAAUAUUUUUCAUUGUUUGAAAAUUAGAAGCAUUUUAGUAAACAAACACUAUAAUUAGAAAUGUAUAUUCAAUAUUUGAUGUUAAAUUGUAAUUUUAGAACUAAAUUCAAAAUUUGUUACUGUUAAAAGUACUCAUACUUGAAAUGAAAAUUAGAACUAAAUUCCAACUAUUUUAUACGUCUUUGGUGCUGGAUGUAAAAAAAAUGGAUUGGUCUAAUUUACAAAUUCCAGUUGGUGCUUAUAAAAUUUACAGUAUUAAGCCUUCAGCUUUAAAUUUGAUUUUUAAAAAGUAAAAUAAAAUAUAUAUAUAUUUGUUUAAUAAAUUAUUGCUGUUGUGUAGGUGUAAUUCCACAAUAAAUUGGUAAUAUACCACAGUUGAUAAUUGCUCAGUUUCAUGACUGUUAUUUUUUACUUUAAAGAUUGAAUGUUUAUUAAAAUAUGUAAUUAAAAUAUGUAAUUAAAAAUGUUUCCAUGGAGGAAACUUGACAAGAGCUAGGAUUCCAUGCUUGUAAAACAAAGCAAAGGAGAGGGUUCAUCUUUUUUCUUUUUCAAACAGUUUGUUUCAUAAGUAGGGAAAUUGAUGGAAAAGGUUUGGAUUUUGAUCGAAGGAAUUGGAUGAGACAAAGAAGGAAAAAUUGAUGCAGUUCCUGUGAAAAGAGAAAAAGAAGGAAAAAUUGAAGUUAAAAGCUUUAUGGUUGUGUGUUUUUUUGACUUUGGGGGUGUUUGAUUGAUGGGACAAUAAUAUGGGAAAAGCAUGUGGCACUUGACGGGGAGACGUGGCUCCAUUGACAUGUCACCAUUACACCAUAAUUUAGGUCUUCCAAUUUUCUUUGACAUUCAUUAGUCCUCUUCUGUAUUUAUUGUAAAUUUUCAUGUCUGUUCUAAAUUUAUAAUUUAUAUAAAAUUUAUAUUUCCGAUUAAAUUAUUAAUUUUUUAUUUCAUACAAUUUUAUUCAAAAUGUAAUUAAAAAUGUCACAUUACAGUAUGAGAUUAUUUACAGUAGCCAACAAUUUUAAUAAUCCCUGUUAUGACAUUUAGACUAAAAAUCAUAAUUGAAUAAUAGUUUAGGUAUCAGAAAUUAAAUAACAUUUGGUUAAUUACAUAACUUAUAGAAAUUAAAUAACUUACAUAACUUACAUAAAUUAAGUAAUUCUUGGUAACUUACAUAAAUUAAAUAUCUUGCAUAACUUACAUAAAUUAAGUAAUUUACAUAACUUACAUAAAUUAAAUAUCUUGCAUAACUUACAUAAAUUAAGUUAAUUAAAUAACUUACAUAAAUUAAGUAAAUUAAAUAACUUACAUAACUUACAUAAAUUAAGUAAUUUACAUAACUUACAUAAAUUAAAUAUCUUGCAUAACUUACAUAAAUUAAGUUAAUUAAAUAACUUACAUAAAUUAAGUAAAUUAAAUAUCUUGCAUAAUUUACAUAAAUUAAAUAUCUUACAUAACUUACAUAAAUUAAAUAUCUUACAUUACUUACAUAGCUUACAUUACUUACAUGGGGCAUACAUAAUACAUAAUACAUAAUACAUAAUACAGAACUUACAUAACUUACAUAAUACAUAAAAAUAUAUCACAUCACAACUUUCUAAAAUUCAUUUAUAGUUAUAACUGGCGUUUUGACUAACCCGAGCAAAUUAUUGUCAACGUCAGACUUCAAGAAUUAAGAAAUGGACCGGUCUUGGAUGAAUUUGUCAAGGGUUAGCAACGGUUAUCGAAAUGGGGUGCAGAGUUUUCUAAAUUUUGCAUUUCAAUAUGCAAGCCAAGAGAACAUGAUUCUUUGCCCAUGUAAGAAGUGUGUUAACAUGAACUGGCAUUAUCGUAAGGUUGUAUACGAGCAUCUAAUUGUUGAUGGGUUUGUUAAGGGUUAUAAGCAAUGGCUUUUUCAUGGAGAAUGCCCUAGAAGUACUUCCUCUUCAACGAUGGAGGUAUCUUAUCCUGUUACUGUUUACCAUCAGUCUGAUAGAGGAGAUGACAUGGAAGGUAUGUUGCGGGAUGCAUUUAAUAUGCACAAUCAUGGUGUGCAAUCGUUCCCAGGGGAUUUUAUGGCAUCUGAUGAUUGUAAUAUUGGUGGAACUGCUUUUACCGAACCGGGAAGUAGUGUACCUCAUGAAGAGUCAAAUGGACAAGCGGCGAAGUUCUACGCUCUACUUAAUGACAUGAACGAAGAACUGUAUGAGGGAUCAAAAUUUUCAAAAAUGGCCUUCUGUGUUCGUCUUUUUCAGUUAAAAUGUUUGGGAGGGUGGACCGGCAACUCGUUGACAAUGCUAUUAGAGUUUUUGAGAGAGAUGUUCCCGUUUGCAAAAAUCCCUCAGUCAUGCAAGGAUAUGAAGAAAAUGAUAAAAGAUUUAGGCCUUGGGUACAACAAAAUCCAUAGUUGCCCAAAUGACUGCAUGUUGUAUUGGGGCGAUCAGAAAAACCAACAGUGCUGUCAUGUAUGCGGCCAAUCCCGUUGGAUAAAUAGAAACACAGAAGACGGGAACGACGAUGAAAAUGAUGCACAGAUGAGGAAGAAGCUAGUUAAGAUUUUACGGUAUUUUCUGUUGAUACCAAGGCUUCAAAGGCUUUUCAUGUCAUCGAAGACAGCGGAGUCAAUGACGUGGCACCAUGAUGGACGAACCGAUGAUGGAUUACUAAGGCAUCCGACAGAUUCUUUAGCUUGGAAAGCAUUUGACAAUAAAUUUCCAAGCUUUGUAGGCGAUCCUAGGAGUGUGAGGCUUGGGCUAGCAUCUAAUGGAUUUAAUCCUUUCAAGAUCAUGAGCACUGCCUACAGUACUUGGCCAGUAGUGCUUGUUCCUUACAAUCUGCCUCCGUGGAUUUGCAUGAAGCAAUCUUCCCUUAUCUUAUCUAUGAUUAUCCCUGGAGAGAAAGGGCCCGGGAAUGAUAUCGACAUUUAUUUACAGCCACUUAUUGAAAAGUUAAAACAAUUAUGGGCUGGUGUCGAGACAUACGAUGUGCUGAGAAAGGAGAACUUUAAUUUACGUGCAGCUUUGAUGUGGACCAUUAAUGACUUUCCCGCUUAUGCCAAUUUAUCCGGUUGGAGUACUAAGGGUCGUUAUGCGUGUCCUUGUUGUGCUGCACAAACAUGCUCGCAAUGGUUGUACAAUGGGAAGAAGUUCUCUUACAUGGGGCAUCGUCGGUGGUUACCGGAAAAUCAUAGAUUUAGAUUUCAGAGUUCUGUAUUUGACGGCACUGAAGAGUUCAGAGAAGCUCCUUUCCAGACCAGUGGCUCUGAAAUCUGCUUCAUGUUGGAAGAUAUGAAUUUCAUUUAUGGGAAGAUGAACCAACCGCCAAACACGCAGAGAAACAGAAGAUCAAAUGAUGAAGCCGAUGAAAGCUCCGACGAAGAGGACGAUCCUAAUGAGGCGGAUUUGUGGAAAAAAAGAAGUAUUUUUUUUGAGUUGCCUUAUUGGGAGCAUCACCUUUUACGACACAAUCUUGAUGUUAUGCACAUUGAGAAAAAUGUCUGCGAGAACAUUGUGAGUACAAUUUUGAACGUCGACGGAAAAUCAAAAGACAAUCUUCAGAGUCGACUUGAUUUAGUCCAAAUGGGAAUUCGGCCUGAUCUUCAUCCCAAUCCACUUCCGAAUGGGAAAUAUCGGUUGCCGCCUUCUAUUUUCUCAAUGUCCAAGACGGAGAAAGAACUGUUUUGCAUGGUGUUGAAGGAUAUAAAGGUUCCGAAUGCGUAUGCAUCAAAUAUAUCUUGAUGUGUUAGUGUUAAAGAUCGAAGGUUAUAUUCGCUAAAAUCACCUGACUAUCACAUCUUGAUGCAAGAUUUAAUGCCAGUUGCUCUACGAUGUUGUAUGUCCAAGAAGGUGACGUCUUGUAUCAUUGAACUAUCCAACAUAAUGAAAGCCAUUUAUGGAAAAGUUUUGGAUGUUCAAGAACUUCAUAAGGUACAGGAUCGAGCCGCUUUGACUGUAUGCAACAUGGAGAAAAUCUUCCCACCUUCCCUCUUCACCAUUAUGGUUCACUUGAUAAUUCAUCUCCCGUACGAAGCAAUUCUUGGCGGACCCGUUUCCUAUCGAUGGAUGUAUCCCAUAGAAAGGUCUUAAAGAAUUAUUUUUAAAAUUUUCCUUCAUUCACCUCAAUGCCUUUAGUUACAACUUUUGAUAAUGUUGUAUAUUAUGUUUAGGUUCCUAUCCAAAUUAAAGUCUUACUGCCGCAACAAGCGAUAUCCAGAAGGAUCGAUUGCUGAAGGCUACUUGGCAGAGGAAUGUAUGACCUUCUGCUCGAGAUAUUUGGAAGAUGUCGAAACAAGGUUGAACAGACCAAAUAGGAAUGCUGGACUCACGGACUAUGACUUAGCCGAUACUUAUUUGUUCCAAAGUUUUGGACAACCAAUCGGCAAAGUUGAAAUUGCGGAAUUAGAUAAUUUAUUGUGGGUACAAGCACAUCGAUAUGUUCUGUUUCACCACGAAUCAUUGGAACCUUUACGGAAGUAAGUUCUACAAAUUUUAUACAUAUUUAUCAAACUAAAAAUUGUUUAUCUUCUAACAAAGAUCACAUUUUUUUAACAUAGUGAGUACAAACAAAUAUUGAGAUCUCGUGCGCGCUCCCGAAGAACACAGCAUCGAGAUAUCAAUAAGUUGUUUUCAGAAUCUUUUUAUGAAUGGUUAAGCCAAACGGUAUGUGGUUGGAGCUUUCGCUUACAAAUUAUAAUGCUUUUUCAUAACAUUUUUAAUUACUUAGUUUACUUUCUAUUCAAUAGGUUUGGAAUGGGAAGAGCGUAAACGACGAAGUUAAAUGGCUCUCCCAAGGUCCAAAUCGAGUGGUUAAAAGAUAUAGUGCAUUCCUCAUCAACGGUUUCAGAUUUCAUACAAAAUAUCGUGAGAGGUUGAGGAGAACGCAAAAUUGUGGAAUAGUUGUUAAUUCUGCAAUUACAAGUUAUGCUAGCGCUAGGGACAAUAAUCCUGUCGAGGGAAAUGUGGAAUAUUUUGGACAGCUUACUGACAUAAUUGAGUUGGAUUACUACGGCAAAUGGAAAGUUGUCUUAUUUCGAGCUGAUUGGGCCGAUGUUAAUACAGCUCGUGGAAUCAAGCAAGAUCAAUUUGGUUUUACAAUGGUGAACUUUGACCGAUUGAUUCACACAGGACAACAACUGAUAGAUGAGCCGUAUGUAUUCUCAAGUCAAGUCAAACAAGUUUUUUACUCAAAAGAUCCAUCUGAUGAGGGUUGGUACGUUGUACUCCGUAACAUCCCUAGAGACUUGUUUGACAUGGGCAGUGGAAGUAGAGAUAAUAUCGACGACAGAUCAGAAACUUUGCCAUUUCCAGAACAAAACUUAAACGAUAAUAUCCCUAGUACUAGCGCACAAUUUCAAUGGGUUCGUCAGGAUAUGGAUGAAGAUAUUUACGAAUAAUGAUGUAGUAAGGUUUUACGAUUGUUUAAUUGUAUGUAACUUACAUUAGUAUUAAAUCUUGGUCUUAUUAUAUAACUCAACUAUUUUAUAUGUGCUGUUAUUGUUGUAAUUAGUUAUUAAGUUUAAUUACAUUUUAUGUGUAUUGCAGAUAAAAUGCCUAGAAGAAAAAUUAUAAGGGAAAGCAUUGUUCAAAAUAAUCCAAACUCGACAGAAACAAAUAGUACUGAACAACAGACAGCAAUUGGAUCUUCGAAUGUUCCGAUUACACACGAGGAUCCUACGGAAGUUCAAAGUAACUUACAUUAAUUCCAUGCGUGUUGACUUAUAAUUGAUUUAUUUUUCAAAUUCUUAUAUUAUAAUAUACCAUUUGUAGCUGAAAAUGGUGGGACGCGUAGAGGUCGAGGUCAUACGAUGCUUAGAGAGUUAUACGAGUUAGAUCCAGUCGAGCGUGUCAAGGUAUGCAAAAACAGUUUUGGUCAGCCUGUUGGAUCAGAAGCUCGACUUUUAGCAGGAUACAUGGGCAUUUUAGCACGAAAUCUUAAUAUGUUGCCUAUCAACUACGAGUCAUGGCGUCAAAUGCCCGAUAGCAACAAAAACCAAGCCCUCGAUAAUAUUAAGGUAACAAAAUGUUAAUGUCAUCUAUAAUGCUUGGGAAAUAGUUUCAUUUAUAAUUACUUUAUUAACUUGUGUUUUUUGUAGGCGAGGUUUGCUUUAGAGGUCUCCGAUGCUUAUGUAAAGAAGGCAUUGGGAAAAAGAUGGAGAGACAACAAAAGUACUUUGAAGAAAAAUUAUUAUAAGACAAAAACCACCCUCGAUGAGAAAUUGGAAAAUGUCCCGCCGGGUAUGUUGAGGUACCAAUGGGAAGAUGCGGUUAGAUUUUGGCAUUCUCAGAAAGGCGAGGUACGACGUACUUCCAAACUAUUGUAAUUAUUUUGGUUUAUAGUAUUUACUAUUUACGUACUAAAAUUUUUAUAACGUAGGAUCGUGAACGAGUUGGAAAAAGCAGCCGGCAGCAACAAAAAUUCACUCACACAGCCGGGUCGAGAAGUUUUGCAUGUGUAGCUGAGGCGGAGGUAUUUUUAAUUUUUUAAUAUUCUCAAAUAUGUAUAACUUUCUAUUAAAUAAUAUUUUUACUACUAUAUUGUAGGAACGGUCGUCCGGUCAAAAAGUUGGACGCCUACAACUUUUUGAAAUUACACAUAAGAAGAAAGAUGGAUCUGCUAUGACUCUUGAAGCUGGUGAAAUUAUGGUACGUUUACUUAAUACGAUUUCACUUGAUUUAGUUAUUUAUAGUGUUUAUUUUCUAAUGGUUUAAUUCAUCGCAUGUAAUGCGACUAUUGUUAUAUUGCAUUUGUUUUUUUACUAUAUAUUGCGUUCCUAACUAUGUGAUUUAUUUAUUAGGAAAAACUAAAGGAAAAAAAAGACGGAGUACGAAGCGAUUGCUUCUAGUGAUAGUUCGGUUCAUCUUGAAGACAUUGAUAACCAGAUUAUUACUGAAGUUUUGGGUCCUAAAAAGUAUGGUCGGGUUCGAUUUCAAGGAUCUUUUAUCAGCCCAACCCAAUAUUUUGGAUCCAGCUCGCACCAAUACAAGGCUUCGGGGAGUCACUCUCAAGCUGAAGUUCAGAGGUUAAAAGACCAGAUGGCUCAGAUGCAAGCGACCACAUUUGAGGUUCAAAGGAAAUAUGAAGAACUUCAGCAGCAAUUUAAAGCAGAGGUGGCAGCGAGGGAAGAAGAGCCUACAGCGAGAGAAGCAGAGGCCGCAGCGAGAGAAGCAGCGAGAGAAGCAGCAAUAGAAGCAGAGGUUCGAAAGAAAUAUGAAGAACUACAGCUACGACUUCAAAAAGAUGCGGCAUCGAGAGAAGCAGAGCAGAGCAAAAAGUACGACGAACUUCAACAGCAGCUUCAGAUUAUGAUGACGAUGUUUAAGCAGUCGCAACUUCCGCCGUCAUAGUGUAUGUUGCAUAAACACUUUUAACGCUUUUGUAAAUAAAAGUAUGAAUUCACUUUUAUUUAUCAAUUAAUAUUAUUUUAGUCAUUUAAUUUGAAAUAUUAUAUAAAUUUAUUGUUUUUGGUUAGUUUAGAUUUGGUUGCUUUUGAUUUUUUUUUGCAGGAUGGCUGAAAAAAAUAAAAAAUUUUAUUUUAAAAAAAUCCCAAAAUUAGUGGCAUUUUUUAAAAAAGCGCCGCUAAAAGUCAUAUCAAAACAAUGGCGUUUGUGAAAUAAGCGCCGCUAAAGAACAUUACUUUCAAAAACGCUUUUUGAACAAGCGUCGCUAAAGAACAUGAUCUUUAGUGGCGUUUGUUUCUAAGCGUCGCUAAAGAACAUGAUAUUUAGGGGUGUUUUUUUUCUAAGCGCCGCUAAAGAACAUGAUCUUUAGGGGCGUUUUUUUUCAAAGCGCCGCUAAAGAACAUGAUCUUUAGCGGCGUUUUUUUCUAAGCGCCGCUAAAGAACAUGAUCUUUAGCAGCGUUUUUUUAUGUAAGCGCCACAAAAGUUAGCGACGUUGUCAUUAGCGGCAUUUUUUGUGGCGCUUCUAGAAGCGCCGGAAAUGGAGUUAGUGGAGUUAAAAAGCGCCGCUAAAGACCUAAAAAACGCCGCUAAAAACGUGUUCUACUGUAGUGUUUCCUUGAUCUUCUUCAGGAGCUCUAGAUCCAGAAUUGCAGAAUCACCCAUCUCGACAUCUAGUCUAACGAUCCAUAAAAAUGGGUGUUUAGAGUUAGCCAACCCCCAUGCAAAUUCUUUGAGAUGCUUCGCCGACAUGACAGUAAUGUUUCCAUAGUUCACAUACACAAUUGUAUUGGGUUCCCUUUUGUUAAGCCAUUCAAUGCAGCUUGUAUCUUCCUUCUAUAGGCUUGGGUUCAUUGACUUGGAGGGAUCGGCAUGUAGGUGCCUGGCAAGCAAAUGAAGUGGUCCUAUUGUAUAAAUUCGAGGAAAUUUGGUAGCGAUGGCGUCUAACACUUCAUGUUCGAACUCUUCAAAUGUGUUGAAGAUUAUUGCUGAAGCUUUUAGGCAAUUUUGAGCUUCGGAUCCGAAAUAAUCAAACAAAAUGUCAUUCGGAUCGUUGGCUUGGACGAAGCUUGGAAAAUCUCUGAGGCGAAUGUUACUCAUUCUAGGGACCCAGUCAAUAGGUUCAUUGAGAAAUGUUUCACCUGACACAACAAAGAGUCAAAUUUGAGUUCCUUUUAGACAAUUUUCUUAGCUAUAAAGUUGAAAUAAGAAAGUACUUACUUUGGAAUGGAAUAAUGCCUCGUUUAACCAGUUCACUGAAGUGAAGAUAUCCCAUGAAACUACAUGCUGAGGCAGUCCAAAACUGAACUUCUGGUAUGCCAAGUUGUUCAACAGCCUUAAUAGCAAAGCUCAUAAGUCCAUCAGAGAUUAUGCAAGUAACAAUUGGCACUUGGGGCGAGGAGUUUAACUUAGCUAGUAGCUCUACGAAUGGUGCCAAGCAAUGCUUUCGUUUCGAAUCACACAGAACUCGAAGAUCCUGUGUUUCAUUUCGAUCGGACGAUGGCAACCCUUCCGGAAUUGUUUCGAACUGGAAAUCAGGCAGACCUUUAACGAAGUCAGGGCCUUUGGACCAAACCAAACGCCUAUGGUUGAACUCAGUGUUAACAAAGGUUAUGAAGAAGCCUCUAGAGUGUAAGAGCUUAGCAAGUAGCAUCAUGGGGUUAACAUGACCUUAUGCUGGAAAUGGGACGAUUACAAUAUGGGGUUUACUGGUUUCAAGUGAACCCAUCUUUGCAAAGCAGUAACAAAGUUGUAAAAUUAAGGUGUUUGCAGAGAAGCUUUCCUUGCUUUCUAGCUUCUCUAAAGCUUGACGAGUAGCAACAUGCAAUAUAUAGGAAAAGGGUGGCGUGAAAGAGUUACGCUACGUCCUUUGUAUUCCUUUUUCAAUAGAGAAACUGUGGGAAAAUUAAUUAUUUUUAAAUUUUUUUAUUUUAUUUUCAAUCUAAACCAUACAUUUAUAAAGAAUUUUAUAUUUUAUUCUCAAAUCAAUAUAUAUCUAUUGGAGAAUUUUAUUUAUAUUUCUUAUUAAAUGAGAUAUUUAAAUUGAUUCGUUUGACUCGAGUUCUUUUUAAAGAUAUUAGCUUUAAUGUCACAUGCGUUGCAUGUAAUUUUACUCAUUUAAUAUUUAAAUGAUUUUUAAAAAUAUUGUACUUAAUUACAACAAUUAGCAUAAAAUAAUAUUUCUUAUUUGAAUUUUUGAAUAUAACUAAAAUAUAUUAACUUAUCAAUUCAAAUAUAUAAUAGAAAAUUUCAAGUAAUAAUUAAAGCAUUUUAAAGUGGUAAUUGACAUAGUUAACUCUAUUAUUGAUUAGGUGAUAAUUAAUGUGCUUAGAAUUCUAUUCAAAUAAUAACUCUAUUUUACAUCAAGAAAAUUAGCACAAUUUAAAAAAAAAUAAUAUUAGCAUAAUUAUAAUUAUCUGUAACGCCCCAAAAUUUUAUUUUUGGGUAUUGUGAAUAUGAGACCCAAAUAUCUGCUUGCUUCAGUAGUUAAGUGUUUUAAGUGUGUGUAUGAGGUCCCAAUUUCAAGCCAUGCCUUUGGCGAAAUUUUGAAAAUAUUUCUGAUUAAAGCCUUAUCCUUGUUCAGUUGGCUUAAGUUUACGAGUUGGAGUGUUGGAGGUUUUGUGUUCGAAUCUUUGCGUGAGUAAGAAUGUUAAUCUUUUUACUCUGUUUCCUGGAAGAGUUGUGUAGAAGAUGGAUUCUGAGUAGUGGAUUGUUAGUGGGUAGUUAAUUGAGAGAAGAUAUGGGAGUUAUCAGGAUUAUUUUUGUUUUUUUAUCAUUAUUAUUUUAUUCUUUUCAAAAUUCAUUUCUCUUUCUAUCUCUCCAAAAUUUUGACGUCGACUUUCUUCUUCACUUUUCUUCUUCAAUUUUUCGCGGCUUCCUGUUGGAUUUUUCGCAGUCAAUCAUUGCUCUUGCGUUCGUGGCCCUUUUCAUCUGCUAAGUGAUCUCUUUUGGCCUUCUUCCUUUGAUUUGGGGUCUAGCAACGUCAGUUUAUUGUAGUUAAUCGAUGUAUCCUGUGUUUAUGAGAAGAUCAAGGAGCUGGGGUUUCCCAGUCGGCGCUUUAAACGUGCGGAUGAACGUUGCUCGACCGAAGGUAAGAUUUUAGUCGAUUUAAGUGGGUUAUCUAUCACUUUUGGUUCGGUUUAAUGUCGUUCUAAGUGUUUAAUUCUGGGUUCGUUUGGUCAAUUUUAGGUAUUGGAGUUCUCGGGAGUGUUUUUGCAACGAAACAAAACCAGGUGUGUGCCUGAAACACAAAAAUAAGGGAUUCGACGAAAAGCUGAAAUUUCUUGCUGUUUGGACAGCAGCAGUAGGCUAAAUUUGAAAAAUCACCAUAAAUUAUGGAAAUCGAAUUAGAGGAUGAAAAAGUAUGAGAUUAAAUAUAUUUGAGUCUAGUUUCUCAUAGAAGAAACUAAGUAAGCAAAAGAAUUUCAUAUUAUGAGAUAUUUGAAUUUUAGUGAGACAGGAUCAGAAUAAUUUCAGAAUCCCCUAUCCUGACUUUGGAAAAUUAUUAAAAAUUUUAUAAAAAUAAUUAUGGGUUAUAAUUUAUAUGCUUAAAAUCCUGAAUAAGUUUAUUUUCAAGAGAAAUAAACAAGAACAUCAUCUGAAUUCUGUAUGAGAAGAUAAUUAAUUUUUAGUGCAAAAAGGUUGAAACUAUUAGACAGCAGAAUAGGAGAAACUUUAAGGUCGCCAAACUAUUAAACUGUUUGACUGAUAAGGUCGCCAAAUUUGACUGUGAACCUAUAGUAGGGUCGGUAAGCUUACCUAGACCCCUAAUUGACUGAAAUGACUGUAUGACUGAUAUGAUUAAGCCUGAUGAUGUCUCACUGAUUUGAUACUGUAUGCCCUGUUUACAUGCAUGAUAUUAUGUUAUAGCAUGUCAUAUUUGUAUAUUGCAUUGCAUUGGGCUGGGGGAUUAUAAUGUUCAGAGGAAGUGUAUUGAAAAGCCUUGAGCCUAAUUUAUUAGCAGCUCAGCUGCAAACUACUGUCUAAUGUCGCAUUCGGUACUACUUAGAGUGUAGGGAUGAGUGGGUUGAUUAUAUCCCCAUAUGGAGUGCAGGGUUGGUGGAUGGAUAGGAUUUUUGUGACUGCAUAUCUAUUACUGCUACUGAUACUGUGAUGGGCUAAAGCCCUACUACAUGACUGUUUUUGUACUGAGAUGGGAUAAGGCCCAAACAGGACUGGUACUGAUACUGAAAAGGGUUUAAGCCCAAACUGUGAUUAUCUAUUUACUGUUUAUUCAUUUGUAUGGGGAUUACACACUGAGUUUACGUAAACUCACCCCUUCUGUUUAAUCUGUACAAGUAAUCCCCAGAUUUAGGCGGAUCGGUGCGGCGGAGGACUCAAUGGUGGCCACACGACUUCUAUUACACUGUUUAUUACCUAUUUAUGAUUUUACUUUUUUUUGGGAGUAUUUUGCUGUAAUUAUGGCCUUUAUGGAUUUUAGUUUAAAUUUAGUUUUUAUACGGUUUUAUGAUUUAAAUCUGCUAGUGUUAGGUAAAACUUGGGUUUUCAAAUGAAAUUAAUGUUUUAUCAAAAAUACCAUGAAUAUGCAAAUUGUUUAAAAGCUUCCGCAAUAAGAAAAUGUUUUGAAAUUGAAUAACGAUUUGUAAAUGAAUAAUGUUUUGGAAACGAACGACACGAUUUGAAAUUAACAUAAGAUAAUGAAAAAAAAGGUUAAAUAGAAAAGGGUAUUUAGCGACGACAUAUUUUUCGAAAAGUACUACCUUGUGACAUCGUCAGAUUCGGCCAUAACGUUUAGGCUGGGUUUGGGGUAUUACAUUAUCACAACUUUUUGCGCUAUAUUUUAUGCUUAGAGUUAUUUUCAAGUAACCAUUUUUAUUAAAUUAUAAUUAUUUUUAAAUGUAUAAUUAUCAAAAUUUAUAUUUUAUUUCAACUUUUUUGACGAAUAAUUCUAAAUUAAAUAUUAUUUGUUUUUUAAAUGUGAAUUUAAUAAUAUGAUGAAAAAAAAAAGAUAUUCAUCAAUUCAACAGUUUUUCCAAACUCAUACUUUUAUAUAUAUUAUAUAUAUGAUAGAUGUAAUCUACCUGCUAUAAUAAAAAAAUAAAUAUUUUUAAAAUUAUCGGAGUUGAUUUAAAUUAUUAUUUUAUUAUUGGUUUACUGCAAGUGGAGUAAUAGUACAUUAGUCUUAGACCAUGUUUGGUUCGAUGGAAUUGCUAUUCCAUUCCGUCCCUAUUCUGUGCACAACAGUAAUUCACUAAUUUGGUUCAUUGUUUAAGUGAUUCCGCAGAAUUCUAUUGCACCUUUAUUCCCUCAACUCUUGUAAUAGAAUUUCAGGGGUUGGGGGGUCUGAAUUGCUAUUCAAAAUCACCCGUAAUAACAUUUUUCCUUUUUUGGACCAAAAUAGCCUACCUCUCUUAUUCAUCGUUUUCACUUUCACUUCAGCAGAUUUCUUCCUUGACAUUUAUCCCCAAAGUGAACCCUAGAAAUUAGCUCCUUAAUCGACGACAAAUCAAGCAUUCAUUCGCCAUCUUCAUCUUCAUCUUCCUUCUAGUUGAACCUCCUUAUUUACAGUAAGUGCCUUUGAUUCCUAUUUUUUUCUCUGAUUUUUUAGUUAAAGUUCUUUCACUUCUUUCAACUGCUCUUUUCCCCUUUCAUAUUUGGAUAUAAACUAGCAAAGCAGAUUGUAAAACCAGCAAAGCAAAUUAUUCUUGGAUGAUUCAGUGAUAAGCAACUAUUUUGGUUCACCAAAUCCUCCAUCCGACAGAAUUUCAUUCAUCUCCCAUUCACAAAAUUAGUCGAUUGGUUGAUCCGAUUAUUUAGGGAAAUUUAGGGUUAGAAAGCUAAACUUGUUUUUUUUCGAAUUGUUGGGCAUUUCUGUUUAUUGUAAGGGAUUUCAGGUUGCUUGUCUCAAUAGUAAGGGAUUUCAAUUUCAGGUUGGAAUUUGUUGUUUGUGGAAAAUGGGUUGGUGGAGUUUUGGAUUUUGAGCUUUGAAUCAGUUAAGCAAGAAAAAGAAAAAGAAAACAGAGGCAGGGGAGAUAAGGAAAUCAUUUUACCAGUAAAUUUGCCAUUGCUUUGCUUUGCUUUUUUUUUUUAAAUUUUGAUUCUGAAAUGUUGGGCUAGUUACAGUGUAAGCUGAACAAAGCAUUUCAGUUGAGAAAAUAAUUGAAGUUAAAUUAAAGAUAAAUUCGACAUAUGUGCUAAUAUGCUUUGUUUAUUUUUGAAUCUUAAUGCUUAGAAAAUCAUAAGUUGCAUAGAGAUUUAGCUACUGCAUCGGGUUUUAGAUAAAGUUUUACCAGCAUCAUUAGGUUUUCUUUUAAUCUUAUCAAUUAAACAUUUGAUUGAUAAUUUUAGUUUUUUGGGAUUUUAAUUAAUUGGAUAUUGGGUUCGAACGUUUGAUUAGUUUAAUGUAGCUGUAUAAUAUGUGGAAAUAUUUGGUAACAGCUAUCCUGAAAUUUGAUGUAUCAAUCCUUUGUGAUGCUGAAUGGCCUAUGUUGGGAAUUAGGGUUUUCAGUCCUCUUUAGAAAUUGGAUAGAUUUCUUACCUUGCUGCUUGUCCGUAGUUCCACCAAAAAAAUAUGACCCUAUGUUAGGCCUUUUAUGGAGUUUAGAUGGAAGUUUUAGAUGUUGCAAAAUUAGAUUGCUUUUAGUGCAAUGGUUCUUUUUACUGGAUUUUGUUUAAUGAUGCUUUAUUUGAUACAGUUUAAUGUGCUUUUUAGAUCAUAUGUUUCAGAUGAGAUGGAUCAGAGUAUUUAGAAGAAUACGGUGAGAACAGGGUAAUUUUCAAACUGUGUUCUUAACCUUAAAUGCUACUGUUUCUUCCUCUUCUUUCUUUCUUUUUCUUAAAUUUUGUUAGUAUAAUGUUAUAAGUUGAAAGAAGUAAGAGCAUUUAUUUCUUUGUAUUUUCUGCCCUCUUGGAAUGUACCGUAUACAUUAUGUUGUUGUGGUUAACUUUAACAUUUUAUUGGAGUGUUUUGAAAACUAGGAGGAUAGAGGAUUGGUGGGAAGAAUGAUAGAAAAUGAGAGUACUUUUUCAUUCAUAUGCUCUCUAAGAAUGAUUUAGAAUUGGAAUGCAAGAAAAUGAUAUACCUAUUUAGUUUUUGUCUGUAAUCUCGCCAUCCUUUUUGUUUUGCUGGAUUAAAUAUUUAAGGUUUUAAGCUGUAAUUAGAAGAUGUCAUAGUUAUAAUUAAGAUGUCCUACUGCUGUAUCGUGAUUAAAAUGUAAGUAUUCAUGCUGUAAGUAUUUAUGUUGUCUUAAAACAUUAUCUGAAGUGGAUUAAUUGUUGUAAUUUAAACGGCCUUAAUAAUGAAAUUGUGGUAUCUUAAAAUGAUAAAUUGAGAGGAGUUAUAGUUGUAAUUUAUAGUGCUUGGGUGUCGUGGUUAAAAUGUAUAACUCUGGGAUUGAUAUUGAUGAUGUGCUGGUAAUGAAUAAAUCGAGUUUAAUUUGCCAAAUGACAUGUUAUUUUAGAAAUACAAAUUGAGUGUUGCUAAUGGUGAGUUUUCUUUAAACUCCUUUAUUAUUUCCAUGCUCAAAAUUCUUAUCAAUUUUACAUGGAUGAUUCGGCGAUAGUUAAAUAGGGAAAAAAAUUGUUCUUUACAAAUUUCAUGGUUGCUACUGUUUUGUAUUGGUUAAACUUGUUUAUUUCAGAUUUAGUUGUUGUCCAAUUAGUGCAAAAAUUUCCUGUAGCUCAAGCAAAGUAGAUGCUGUUGCUGCUCGGUUUUGUACUUUUAAAGCCCUAUUUAAGUACUGCAAUUUGAAGUGUUUAGUAGUUGGAAAUUGAGAUGUUUUAUUGCUGUAAUUGAGGUGCAUAAAUGUUGUUAAUAGAGAUGUUAAAGUGCUGCAAAUUGAAGUGUUUAAAUGCUGUAAAUUGAAGUGUUAAAAUGUAGCAAAUUGAAGUAUUUAAAUGCUGUGAAUUGAAGUGUUAAAGUGCUGCAAAUUGAAGUGUUUAAAUGUUGUAAAUUGAAGUGUUUUAAGUACUGAGGUGUAUAAAUGUUGUUAAUUGGGAUGUUAAAGUGUUGUAAGUUGAGGUGUUUAAAUGCUGUAAAUUGAAGUGUUUAAUUGUUGUAAAUUGAGGUGCUGAAAUGAUGUAAAUCGAAGUGUUUAAGUGCUGCAAAUAAUAUAUGAUUUAAUAACAUUCUUAAUAUAAUUAUCUCAACAAACGAAACAAAAAAAAAAGAGAAAGUAAAAUGCUACAAACAAAUCAUGUUAUGGUAAGAAUGUAACGUAUAUGGAGUUUUAGAUUUUAUUUAAAUAAAAAUAAUAACCGAAUAUUUUAAAAGACAUAAUUUUUAAGAUAUUUAACACACUAUAUACUUAUAAUCGAAUUGAGUUAAUACAAAAUAAAAAAAUUAAGACCUUAUUUUCUUUUCUCAUAAAAAUUAUUAAAUUCAUACUAUUUUUCUUUCCUUUUACUAAUUUUAACCAUUCAAACAAAAUAAUAUAUAUUUUUCUAUUCACAAUUAUGAAUUCAAAUAAAACAUUAGUUAAUUACAAUGUGAGAUGAAUACAAACUUUUUAAAAGGUAAAUUGAUAAAACACAUUCUUUUCUUUUUUUUUUCUUUUUUGAAUCGAAUACAAACUUUUUAAAAGGUAAAUUGAUAAAGGUAAAUAAAACGUCAGUCAUCAAUUAAUCAAAUCCACAAAAACACAUUCUUUUCUUUUCUUUCUUUUUUUUCUUUUUUGGGUGAUUGAUAAAGAAAUAAAUUUCAAGCUUUUUACUUGCAAAGAUAAUUUUAAUUUCUAUUUUGUGCUUCGUAAAGAUUCUUAAUAUGUAUUAUUCAUUUUUCUUUGAUAGUGUGUUAUUGUUUCCUCUUCUUCUAUGGCUUGUUUGAUUGCUUCCUCCACGUCACACCGUUGAGCGUCUUGUAUUCACUGAAUCACUAUAAGUUCUUUCGCUAUUAAAUUCUUUGAUUUUAUUUUACUGUUAUUGAAAUUAGUAUUGGAGAAAUGUGACCCUUUUACUACGAUUUGAAGAUAUGUAACACUUUAAUAUCUCGCAGUAAUGACUCGUCUACCUUUAAUAGUACAAAGUGUGAGGCGUAAAAGAAUUGGUCUUGCAUUGUGUAACACCCCAAACCCGGCCUAGACGUUAUGGCCGUAUCUGGUGUGUCACAUUGAAGUGUCUCUCAAAAUUUAGACUUGUUGAUAAAACUCGUUUCUUAAGUUUGGAAACCUCUUUAGUAAUGUUUAACGGAACAAUUAACCAAAUGUUUGCCUUAUUAACUACUAUUAUUAUAUCAAGUUGAUUUAAAACGUGGAAGCAUUUGAAAACUCUAACGUUUAAAGUUUGUGUCUUUGAAAACAGUAAUUAUUUUGAAAAUUCGUUUUCACUUAACUAGCAGUAUAAAAUAUGUAAGCAAAAGCCCAAUUAAAAUUUAAAACCCAAAUUAAAGGCUUUAUUACAAAACAAAACCCAACUUAUAAUUUAAAGUAAAAUAAAAGCAAGUGUGAAUAGCAGCAGUUGUGUGGCCACCUCCGAGCCCCUCGCGGCACCGGAUCGCCUAAGACUGAGGAUUACCUAUACAGUUAAAAGGAGAGGGUGAGUUUACGAAACUUAGUGUGAAAUCCCCUAUCAGUCAAUCAAUAUACAACGUGCAGUAGCAGUUUGGGCCAAAGCCCUAUACAACAACAGCGUGGGCCUUAGCCCAAUACAGUAACAGUGUGGCCCUUAGCCCAAUACAAUAACAGUAUAAUGCAGUAAUGCAACCCAUCCCAAUCCAGCCAACACACCACUCCGUACCACCAACACACCAUGUGGGGAUAAAAUCGACCCACCCAGCCAACACACCAAUAUCCCAGCAAAGCUGCCAGUAAUAGUGAUGCAGCAAAGCUACCAGUAACAGUAACGCAGCAAAGUUGCCAGUAACAGUAUAUGUGGCAAAGCCACCAGUACAAUAUACUUCCCCUAUAUCAGAAACCCAACCCGUGUAGUAUGUCAUGUCAUAAAUCGCACGUGUAUGCAGUAUGUCAGACUCAGUAACAGUCAUAUAUAUAUUAUAGAGUAAAUCGGUCCUACACAUACUUCAACUCCUAAGGGUAUAACAGUCAUUUUACCUUUUGGGGGUAUUGCAGUCAUUUUACCUUGCUAGGGUAUUUCAGUCAUUCUACCCUGCGAGGGUAUUUCAGUUAAUUUACCUUUUGGAGGUAUUUUGGUCAUUUUACCCUUUGAGGGUAUUUCAGUCAUUUUACCCUUUAAGGAUAUUUCGGUCAUUUUACCCUUCGAGGGUAUUUCGGUUAUUUUACCAUUCGGGGGUAUUUCGAUCAUUUUACCUUUUGAGGGUAUUUCGGUUAUUUUAGGCCCAUUACGGCUUAAGCCCAUGAAAAUGAUUAUAGAGGCCUCUAUAAUCUAACACCGUGUUUCGUGGGCUCGAUUUACCACACGAGCGUUCGCAUGCCCAUAUGGUCUCAGCCCCGUCUUUUUUGGAUUUUCGGCUUUUACCGAUUUAUAGUUGAGAGAGGGUGUAAUUACACACCUGUUUGUGAAAAUGUACUAAGAUCCACGAAUACCUAAAAUCUGCAUUCAUACAAGUUUUCCAUUAGUUACAAUCAAUAGGGUUAGUCUCAUUCUUUUGCAUCUUUAACCAAAAAAACAAACUAAUACUUGCCUCAACUGACAAAACUGGCUUAGCCCACCUAAACCAUUGACGAAAGUUGACUGCAAUCUUCUUGACGGAUAUCUGCAUCGCAAAUGGAUUCAUUAAACAAGAUUGUAAAAUCAUGUGGUUGAAAUCCGCACAUGAUAAUUUACAGAACCACAAGAACAUUCGGCCUACACCUAGAAGGAAGGCUAGUCUACCUAUUUACCUUGACCGAGUGAUGAGAGAGAGGUUUCGACAACUAUAAAACACUUAAAACUCCUUCACUCUUCGAGGGAAAUGAGCCAUCAGAGAACAGUUGUCAAGUCGAAAUAGAAUUGAAUAGAUGAAGAGGGAGAGAAAGACAAUAUUCGGCCAAGAGAGAAGAAGAAAGAAAGGCAAUAUUCGGCCACAAAGAAAAUAGGAAAGAACCAAAGGCUAUUCGGCCAAAACAAAAAGGGCAUAAAGGGAAAAGCAAAAAAAAAACAAAACGAACAAACCCGAGAGGUACUUUGAAGCCUUUGUAAGAUUCAACACCAAAAGAAAAAGGAGAAAACAAAAAAUGCUCACCCACCGAGGCAGACAGAGAGAAAAAUAAAAUAAAAUAAAAACCAAAAACUCCUCAAAAGAUAAAAAUCACCCCCAAAACUCCCCCUAGCCGAAUUCUCAAGGUUGAAUAAUCCCCAAACGGCACAACACUCCCCCUUAUCAAAUUCUUUGAUUUUAUCCUAAAAACUCUCCACUUAUCCUUCCUUGAUUCACUCCACCUAUUUCUCCUAUACUCCCUCUAUGACCAGUUCAAACUAAAUUUUGCAGUGUUCUAGUCCAACUCCACCACCUACCCAGCUCAAGCAGCAAAAUAAAUACUCCCAUGCGUAACCCAUGACUUGAACCUUUGACCUCGUAGUUACACCACAAGCCACCUUGCCAUUAGACCACAAGCUAUUUUUGUGUCAUAAAACCAACACUAAUAUUUAUAAGGCCUAUAUGCCUAUGUCCAGAUUCAUUUAAGAGCAAAACUAAAAAUUAUGCAAAAGCCAAGACUUGAACCCAAGCUCCUCAAACACCCCCAUACACACCCAAAUCACUUAACCAUUAAAGCAAACAAGCAAUUUGUGUCAAAACAUGCAAAAAUUAAAGACUUAAAUUUUGGGGCAUUACACAUUGACAAUAUGGUUGCAAAUGUGUACAGUUGCGAGUUGGUUCUUAGUUACAUUCGGUGCCAUCCAUAGCUUACAUACUUAUAGACCAAGGAUUAGAUCCUAUAUUUUAGAUUUUUAUACAAAACGAUAUUAUGUGAAAAAACUUGUAUAUUCUAGUGACGAGACCUGUAUUGAACAAGUUAGGAUGAAUAGAAUUACCUUUUUUAAACUAUGUGAGAUGUUACAAACUUUAGGGAAAUUGAAGUCGUCAAGGAAUAUGUUUGUUGAUGAGCAAGUGGCAAUGUUUUUACAUAUCAUUUCUUAUCACCUUAAAAAUCGAGUUAUCAAGCAUCACUUUAAUAGGUCUAGGGAAAUCGUUAGCAGAUCAUUUCACAAUGUUUUAAAUGCUGUCAUACGCUUACAAGAUGUGUUAUUUAAAAAGGUAGAGUCAAUUACAGCUAAUUCUACAGACCCAAGGUGGAAACGGUUCAAGGUAUUGGAGUGAGUUCUAUAUAUAGCUUGUACAUAAUUUAGUUGAUUUAAAUUUAAAUAUAGUAUCCUAACUCAAGGUUUUAUACAUGUGAUGUAGAAUUGCUUAGGUGCUUUAGAUGGAACCCACAUCAAGAUUAGGGUUCCAACAGUUGAUAAACCUAGAUAUCGAAUGCGAAAAGGUGACAUAGCAACAAAUAUGUUAGGUGUUUGUACACCUGAUAUGCAUUUUGUUUAUGUUCUUCCUGGUUGGGAAGGUUCUGUUGCUGAUGAACGGGUCUUUCCAGAUGCCAUUAGUAGGAGAAAUGGACUAAAAGUUCUUUAUGGUAAAGUGCAAAAUUAGAGGACUUUGAAUUAAUCUUUAAGAUCAUACUUUUUUGGGAAAUUAGCCAUGACAAAUAGUUUUUUUAUAGGUUGUUAUUAUCUAGUUGAUGCUGAAUACACAAAUUGUGAGAGAUUUCUUGCACAUUUUAGAGGAAAAAGAUAUCAUUUGAAUGAGUGGCGUCAGGGUUACUAGCCAAGUACUUUGGAAGAAUUUUUCAAUAUGAAACAUGCUUCAGCACAUAAUGUUUUUGAAAGAUGCUUUGGGUUAUUAAAACUUAUAUGGGGAAUACUUAAGAGUCCAUCAUUCUAUCCUGUGAGGGUGCACAAUAGAAUCAUUAUUGCAUGUUGUUUGCUCCAUAAUUUUAUUCAAACCUAUAUGAGUCUUGAUCCUAUUGAAGCGGAGUUGGGAGAAGGAUUACCUAGUAAUGUGAUAGAUGACGAUGAACCGAAUAUCGUAAGUAUUCAUCCAUCGGAUGCAUUGGCUACUUGGAGGAUGGAACUAGCCAACCAAAUGUUCGGUGAAUGGCAAGCAUCUAGAAAUUAGUUAGGUUUAGGGUAAAAAUAGUAAACGUUAAUUUGUUUAUGUUAUUUCAUUUAUCUAGUUUAUGAAACUUUGGUGGUGUUUGAAUUGUUUUUUGUAUUGUACUAGACUUGUUGAAUUAUAAUUUAUUUUCUUUUGAUUCAUCAUGUGCUAUAAUUUUGUAAAGUGUUGACCUUUUGAUUCAUAAUAUUAACCUUAAUUUUAAUUUGUUUUUUUUCUUAAGAUAGUUAUGUUAGGUUUUUCACAAUCAAGUGUUUCUUCCCAAAAUUCUCGAGGAACCAAAAGGAAAUGGGUUCCAGAAGAAGAUGCUACGUUGGUUGCUUGUAUGGUCGACUUGCACAAUGUUAGAACCUUUAAUACUGAUACGAGAUUCAAAUUCGGUUAUUUAAAUGAGUUGGAAAAAUGUCAGAAAAUUUUUUACCCAAUGCCAUGUUGAAGGCUAAACCUAAUCUUGAAUCGAGGAUUAGGACAUUGAAAAGGGAUUGGUCAAUCAUUUAUAACAUACUUAGUGGAAAAAACAAUAGCGGUUUUGGUUGGGAUGAACAUAGGCUACUUGUUGUUGAUGACGAUGCGGUGUGGAAAUUAUAUAUAAAUGUAAGAAUUAGUUCAAGUCUUUAUUAUCUUAUUUUGACCAAACUUAUAUCUAAUAUGAAUUCCUCAUUUUUAUAGAGCUGUAAAGAAGCCAAUCAAUUCAAACAUCGUAGUUUCCCUUAUUAUGACCAACUUACUGCCAUCUACGUAAAAGAUGGAGCCACUGGGAAAGAUGCUCAAACAGCCGCUGAUAUUAUUGAAGAAAUAGAUGUUGAGGAUGUAGCUACUACAAAUACUCAUGAAGAAAGAAACAAUUUCUAUGGAUGCGAAGCUGAUAUUUCUUUGGAUGACAUGGAUCUUUCAGCUACACAAUCGCAACCAGCUAGAAGCCAAGGUGAUUCCACAUUUUCAAAGAAGAAGAAAAAGAUUUAUGAUGCAAGUGAUCAUAUUUCUUCUACUUCAUUUAAUGAUGCUGCCAUUUUAUUGGCGAAAAACAUACGGGCCGUUGGUGUUGAAAUCAGUGGGAGUAUUGCCUCCGAAGUGCUAAUUCAACAAAAGUCAAAAAUGACCAUUCAAGAAAGAGCUCUAAAAUUGUAUCCAACAUUAUGUGAAGUAAAAGGUUUAAUUAAGAAUGAGCACUAUCGCUCAUUGAGCAAAAUUCUAGAUUAUCCAACGCAAAUGCUCAUUUUCUUUAGUUUACCUUCUUCUAUGCAAUUGGAAUGAGUCAGAAGAUUUCUUGCUGACCAUUAAAAAUCAUGGUUGUGUUGAUGAUAUUUUGGUAACUUUUUGUGUUUGUAAUAUUUGGAUGGUAUAAUGACAUGAUAGAAUGUCAUUACAAUGUUGUAACUUUUUGAUGUUGUAAAAUUUUAUAACAUAUGGAUUAUGACAUAUAAACUAAUAAAAUCAUGUAACUUCUUGUUAAUAUAUGAAUAUUAUGUUUGGAUGUGAAAUAUAAUUCUCAAGUUAUUUAUUACUUCUAAUAUUUUGUUUUUUUAUUGUAGAAUAAUUAAAUUAUUUGUUUCACUAAUGAUAUUUUAGCACAUUAAAUAUGUAUUGCAGUUUAAAAAUAAUAAAGUAGAUUAUAUAUUAUUUUUAUAGUAUUAUAUAUUAUGAUUUUAGUAAAUUCAUAAUAAUAAUUAUUAUAUUCAUAAUUUUAUUAAAUUAUAUUUAAUAAUUAUUAUGUUAAAAUAUGGUUAAAUUUUUUAUUAUUUUUAUUAAAUUAUUUUUAAUAAUAAUCUUAUUAAAAUUUAAUAACAAUAACAAUAAUCAUCUACCUAAAAAAAUCUACUAAGGGUAUUCUAGUCAUUUUAGUUUUUUUUCCUUAUGCUAUUACAACAUCAUUACAUUCAACCACACACAAGAAUACUAUUACAGUUAUAUUCCAUUCCAUUCAACCAAACAAUUGAAUUACUAAUUACAGCUUUAUUCCAUUACAGCUCUAUUCAAUAACAGCUCUAUUCCAUUACAGUGAACCAAACGUACCCUUAGAGUUUGAAUCUGUUGGACAACCUCUAUCCCUUUUUAAAAAAAAAGAAGGAUAAUAUUUUAAUUGUUUUGAUAAAGUGCGGAAUUUUUUACAUAAUCUCUAUUCAACCUUUAAACCGGAAUAAAAAUGUGUUGAAUUUCACGUCAUUAUUAAUUACUUCAAUAAUGAUAGUAUCAAUUGAAUUAAGACUAAAUCGGUAAAAUUUUUAAAUUUUUAAAUGAUAUAUUUAAUGGGUGAUUCCCAAAGUUAACAUAUAGUAGCUUUUGAAAAAAUAUACAACUUGCUUAAUGAUUUAGUAUUCAUACCCAUCCCUCCUGGAAGAAAGUUUUAUUAAUGUAAAUAGAGAACAUAUUUGGUACACUAUCAUUGGAGCUUCUAGACUCUACUACAAGAUCAAGGAGUCGAUAAGUGUUUUAUAGGAGUAUUGUAAAAUAUUAAAAAAAAGACAUGACAAAUUUUUAAGGUUGUUUGUGGAAUAAAAAAACACUACUAUUAUACCAAAUACUAGUACAUGUAAAUAAAUAAUUAUCACAAAAUUUUUUAUCUUAUACAAUAAUAUAUAAUUCCACAUUAGUUAGUAUUAAUUAAAUAAUUAUGGGGGAGGGGAUUAAUGAAAAACAAGGUUUUACCCUUUUAAGUAGGUACUAAGAUUAUUUCUUCUUUUUUAUGGCAAAAAGUUAAAAAAAGAUAAUUUCUUUUUGGUACUAAGAUUAUUUGUUUAGUGAUUUCUUUAUUUGAGAAUGACAACAUUGACUUACCUUCAAUGUAAUAUAAGUCAUGGAUUCAUUUGCUAAAUGGUAGAAAUAUUCAUUCCAAUAAAAAAAUUAAUAUUGAAAAUGAUAAAUACACAAUAGUUACUUAUAUUUAAUAGAAAAUUUAUUGAAUUACUUUUUUUUUAAAGAUUAUACCAUCUUUUAAGGCAGUAGUGGAGCUAAGGGGUUGGCAGGCACCUACCCGUUACAAUGGGAAAAUUUUCAUUUAUGCUCUUUAUAAUUUAUAAAAUUUUAAAUUAGUAAUGAUAAAAUUACACUUUGACCCCCUUAAAAAUGAUAAAAAUUUGAUUAAUUCUUUAAAAAUUAUAAAGAUAUAGACUAUUAAAAUGGUGAAAUUACAUUUUUACUAUCAUAAAAUAUACAAUUUAAUUCCACCCUGAAAAACUUUUCUAAUUCCGCCACUGUUUUAUAUUUAAAUUAAUUACGCUUGAACUAGAAUGUCACAUUAUUCUCUAUAUAUUUUUUUUUACUUUUAGAUUUAUAAUAUUUUAUAUUUAAUAGUAUAUUUUAUUUCAAAUGUUUCAUAUUUAUACUCAAAGUCAUUUAAAUAUUGGGUUUGUUUCAUAAAAUGUUUAAGAAAAAAAUAAAAAUAUAAAACAUAAAACUUUUAUAAUUAAAAAUUUAUAUUUAUCAAAUUUAUAUUUAUAUUUAAUAAUUAAUUUUAAGUAAUAUAUCAAAUAAAUUUUAUAAUUUAAAUUCAAUAUAUGUAAUUUUUUAACACUUAAUUUUUAAUUUAUUUUUUAUCCAUAUUUUUCUUCCCUUAUUGUGGGAGAUUCGGCCCCACCUUUGCAUAUUCAAAUAUUAUUGUUAUCAUAUAAUAGUUUAUAAUGAAACUGUUGUUGUUAUAAUAAAUUUAUGUAUUUAUAUUCCAACUCCAUUAUAUAUUUGAAGUAGAAAGGGGCAUCCAUAAGCAUGUGAGGCAGAGCAAAUAAAACCUUUCUGCCAAUUUGUUUGGCUUCCAACAUGACACGUGCCAAUUAGGAAAUACGUACGUAAACGAAAGAUGGAAAACAACAGGUUGCGACUCUUUACCAUUAGAUCAGACCAUUACCACUAUGUUACGUCUUUUUAAUUAAUCAAUUUGAAUAUAUAUCAUAAUUAUUCUCAAGUUAAGAUGGAUAAAUGAUGGACAAAAUCGGCUGUCAGCGUGUUGUAAUGUUCUAUUAAUGUUAAGGCUAAAGUCUUUGUCGUAUUGAUGGAGUUUGUCUUUCAUUGUCGACAAUGGAUGUUUUUUUUCUUUUCCCCAAAUUGUAUGAUCCCAUUUAUGGAAUAAAUUAAUGAAAUUUUCCUUUCAAAUAAUAAUAAUUAAAUGUAGAGGUAGUUGCAUCGGGUGUAACACCCCAAACCCGGCCUGGACGUUAUGAUCGAAUCUGGCGAUGUCACAUGAUAGUGUGUUUGAAAACCGAUGCUCGUGUUGAAAAAACCGUAACUUUGCUUAAAACAUUUUCCGUUUAGAUCUCGUCAUUAUCUUUUAUUAAUCCUAAAAUAGUGAUUUUUAUUCAGUCGUUAGUUUGCAAAAUAUUAUAUGUUGCAGAAGCUUUUUAAAGUAGUUUGUGUCCUUGCGGGUAUUUUGCUAAAACACGUGCAUUUCUUUUAAAAAUCCGUGUUUUAUCUACCUCUAGCAGAUAUAAAACAUAAAGCAAUAUAAAAUCCAAAAUUUAAGCAAAAACUCAUAGCGGCUAUUAUUACAGAAAAAUACCCCAAAUAAAGCUUUAAAAUAAUAAACCUAAUUAAAUACGAAAUAGUAAAAAGGAGUCGUGUGGCCACAGCUGAGUCCUCCGCCGCUCUGAUCCGCCUAAGUCUGGGGAUUACCUGAACAGAUGAAUCAGAAGGGUGAGUUUACGAAAACUCAGUGUGUAAUCCCCACAUAAACAAGCAGACAGCAUGCAAUCAUAGUCUGGGCUUAAGCCCAUUUCAGUAACAGUUUCAGUUUCAGUUAGGGCUUUAGCCCAUUUCAAUACAGAAGCAGUUGUGCAUUUGGGCCUUGGCCCAUUACAGUAUCAAUACUCAGUACAGUGACAGAUAUGCAAUGUCAAAUCCUACCCAACUAGCCUCUACACUCCAGCUCUGUCCAACCCUACACUACAUGUGGGGAUAUAAUCAACCCACCCAUCCCUACACUCUAAAAAGUACCAAAUGCGGCACUGGACAGUAGUUUACAGUUGAGCUGCCAGUAAUUUAGGCUCGAGGCCUUUCAGUACACUUCUUCCGAACAAUAUAACCCAACCCCUAUGCAAUGCAAUAUAUAUAUGACAUGCUAAAACAUAAUAUUGUGCAUAAAAUCAGGGCAUACAGUAUCAAACCAGUGGGACAUCAUCAUGCUUAAUAACAUGCAUAAUCGUAUCAGUCAUACAGUUAUUUCAGUCAAUUAGGGGUCUAGGUAAGCUUAUCGACCCUACAGUAGGUCCACAGUCGACUUGGGCGAUCCAUGUAAACUUAGUAGUCAAACAGUGAAAAUGGGUCGACGGCCCAUGUUGCAUGCCCAUGUGGCCUACACGGCCUAAAAUGGCCUUGGCCGUGUGGAUCUCACGGCUUGGCCCAAUAUUCCUACACGCCCGUGUAGUUCACCUGUGUGGGGCCCACGCACUCGUGUGGUCCACACGACCUAAUUCAGCUCGGCCCAUGAAUCGUACAUGGCCAACCUCGUCGAUCACACGCCCAUAUUCAAUCACACGACCUACCACACAGGCGGCCGCACGCCCGUGUGGCGUCGACAAUCAUAUUUUUUGGCUUUUCACCGAUUUCUGUUUUUAGAGUUGCGUUUACACACCUGGUUUUUAUUCGCUGAGAAGGAAAACACUGAGCCUUUGAAACCUACAUUUGACCAAACAAUCACCAAUUAAUCACUUAUACCCUUACUCUAUCAAAAACACACGAGUUGACCAAGUGUUAACUAGCAACAAUGUUACAUUCAAUCGAGUAAAGAGGGUUCGCCCACUUAAUCACCAAUUAACGAUCCUCCACCCCUCGAAUAACUCCUAGGCACCAACCAAAAUCAGAUAAGCAUUGAUUCAUUAGGAAAUAAGAUAACAAUAUACUAUCUACCUUUACCAACAACGUAAGAAGAGUACCAAUUACAAAGUGCAAGAACUUAUUAGCAAGUAGAGAUUGAUAACCAGAAAGACAGCACAGGAAAAACAGUCAGCUGCAAGGGAAAGAAAAGAAUCGAAAAAAAGAAAUGAAAGGAAAGUAUGAAAAGAGGGGGAAGACUCGGCCAAAGGAAGAGGGGAAUGUUUGCUUACCUUUUUCCGAAUAGUAAAUAUUUUGGAAAGCCAAAAGAAAGAGACCACAAGAACACUAAUUCGGCAGAAAGCAAUAAGAACAGAAUCAACACAAUGAGGGUAGAAAAGGAAAUUGACAAGGAAGAGAAACUAGCAGAAGUUUCAGCAGAGAACUUUCAGAAACCAAAAAAAAAAUUCUGGUAAUGGGGAAACAAAACAACAGAGGGAAAAUUUUAAAAAAUGAAAGAGUGAGGGGAAACUCGAACUUGCAACUACAGUUUGAAUGCUCUCAAACUCCUCACUCCUUAAUUUUCUCACCAUAUCUCUUAAUCCUCUCCCUCAACCACCUAAUUCAAAUUCCACUCAAACUCUUCAGUAUUUCGGCUAAACUAGAACACCCACAUGGGACAAGCAGCAAAAUAAAACACUCCCUUGCACACACCAAGACUCAAACUCAAGACCACCAACACUUUGCCACUCCAUUUAUCCACUAGACCAGCAAGCCCAUUCUAACAUUUUUCACCAACAUUUAUUUAUAAGCCUACUGAUUAGAGAUAAGAGUUUAUUCAUUUAAGAACAAAAAUUUACUCAAACUAAGGGUUGAACUUAGGACCUCCCAAACACUCCCAGAACACUUAACCACUGAAGCAGACAAAUAUUUGUGUCACAAACAUACAAAAAUAAAUAUAUAAAGGAUUUUUGGGGCGUUACAUCGGGUAUCCCCGAACUAUGAUUCUCAUUUUAAUUUGGUUUCCAAACUUCAAAAGCGCUUUUAAUUACAUAUUCAAACUAUCAAUGUUAUAUCAAUCAUGCCUUUCUAUUAUUAAAAUCAUUAAUUUAAUCAGUAAAGGACACUUCAAAUCUUAUGUGACAUAAUUUAAAAUGGAAGUUUUAAAGAAAAGUAAAACAUUACCACAUAAAUUUUUAAAGUUAAAACUAAAAAUAAAGUAAAACCGGAAAAAAGAGAUAGUGAACAAUAAAGCUUUUGUAAAAGUUUCAAAAACCUCAAAAUCAAGAUUUUUACAACAUCCAUUUUUACAAUAUUCAUUUUUAUUUAAAAAUUUCAAUUUAAUCUAUGCCAUAUAAUAUUUGGUAAUUGAUUUAAUGGUUAAAUUAACAAUUUUAGUAAAAGGACCUUAUUGAUAUAACCACAAUAGUUUGAAGAUGUAUUGAGUGUUUUAAAGUUUGGGGACCAAUUUAGAAUAAAGGUUCUAGGUUGAGAAUAUAUGGUAAAAUUAACUCUUAAAUGUAUUAACCUUCUAAAACAAUUGAAGUAUAUUUAAUAUUAUUGAUUUUAUGUGUUUAUUUAUUUAAUUUAUUUUUAUUCAAGAUCUAAACUAUUUUUUAUUUUAGUUUCGUAGAUAUUACAUAUGGGGUAUUAUUAUUAGUUUUAAAACUUACGUUUAAUAUUCUUAAUAUGAUGUAAUUACUUAUUUAAAUUUUAUUUUACUUUCAAUUUAAACUAAUUUUUAUUUUAACUUUGUACAUGUUGCUAUUAGUUUCAAACCUUACGUUUCAUUAUUUAUUAUACAUUAUUUUUUUAACACAUAAGCGUGUUCUAAAUGCACAGUUUCUAUGCACAUACAUGUUCUAGGAUAUUAUAAUCGUAUUUAAAUAUAUCGUGUCUUAUUUAUUAUGUUUUAAAGUUUAUUAAAUGUAUUUUAUUUAUAAUUUUAAAUUAUGUUUAAAGUUGGGUGAAAGUACCUUUAAAGUCCCUAUAUUAUAGAGUUUGGAUCAAAUUAAGCCCUCUAUGAUUAAAUGGAUCAAUUCAAUUAUUCUACGAUUAAAAAGAAUCAAAUAAGGCCAAAUUGGAACAAAUUUAUAAUUUAUUUUUUAAAAAAUGACAUAAAAAUAAAUUUUUUUCAUUUAUAGUUCAUCUUGAAACAAAAAAAAUUCAUCUAUAAAAUCAUAAGAAGCUUUCAAAAUAUAACUUUGUUAAAUAGUAAAUGACAUCUUUUAAACAAUAAAUGUUAAUUAUGUUCCAAUUUGGCCUUAUUCAUUUUUUUUAAUAGUACAAAGACUAAAUUGAUCCAUUUAGUAGUAGAGGGACUAAUUCGAUACGACCCCUAUGAUAGAGGGACCUGCUAGAUACAUUUAGCUUUAAAGUUGUGACUUAGCGAGACUAUUUCGAAAACUAGUAUCCUUUAAAAUAAUGUUUCUAUUCCACGAUCUAACUUGAUUAAUUAGUUAACAUGACCCGUCAACUGAAAAGGGUUGGCAGCCCCUGCCCCUUACAGUGGGAAAAUUUUCAUUUAGGCUCUUUAUAAUUUAUAAAAUUUUAAAUUAGUAAUGAUAAAAUUACACUUAAGCCCCCUUAAAAAUGAUAAAAAAUUGAUUAAUUCUUUAAAAAUUAUAAAGAUAUAGAUUAUUAAAAUGGUGAAAUUACAUUUUUACUAUCAUAAAAUAUACAAUUUAAUUCCGCCCCGAAAAACUUUUCUAUUUCCACCACUGCUUUAUAUUUAAAUUAAUUACUUCCUUUUAAGAGCUUGAACUAGAAUGUCACAUUAUUCUCAAUAUAAUUUUUUUUUUUACUUUUAGAUUUAUAAUAUUUUAUAUUUAAUAGUAUAUUUUAUUUCAAAUGUUUCAUAUUUACACUUCAAAUGUUUCAUAUUCAUACACUUCUCGAUAUAAUCUAUGCCAGCCCAUGAACAACAAUCAACGCUUUGAGGAUUCCAAUUAUCAACCUUAGGGUAAGCACACAAACCAGCAACAAAUGCUUGCUUCUCGAUGAUGCAGCAAAGCAAGACGCUCAUCGCUGUGACAAAGUACUGCAGGCUGCUUGGACAAGAAAGAAAAGGCAGUAAAUUGGAAAGAGUAAUAUUGAAAAGAAAGCAUGCAAAUGCAAAAGAGUAAUAUAUAGAUGUUAAAGUGUAAUAAACGACAAUAGUAGACAAAAUUAGAGUAAAAUUCUUUUUUACUUUGGGGUGCCGGCACCAGAAAUUAAAAAAUAUAUUUUUUUAUUGUAAAAGGGUUGUUGACUACUUAAGUGCCGACAUUAAAAAAUAAAAAAAAUAAAAAAAGGGUGUCGAUCAUCUGCUACACGGUAACACGACACCAAAAAAUAAUUUUUUUUUAAAACCUAGUAUUACACGUAUUAUAUAAAAUACUUAUGAAAAAAAUACACAUGAGUGUCGACCAUUGCACUGUCGACACCCAAAAAAAUAUUUUUUUUAAUCACAAUUCCAAUCAUCAUGUUGUUAUUUGGGGAUUGGGGACAUGGGUGUCGGCCAUGAGGGUGCCAUAACCCUAGGACAUUUUUCCUUUCAAGUUAUUCCCGUAAAUGUUUUUGAACCAAAGUAUUUUUAUAAAUGUUUAAUUGUUUUGGGUUAUUUUAUCAAAAUAACCCAUUUUUGUGGAACCAUGUAAGAAACACAGAAGGCAAAAAAGGAACAACAAAAUCCCAUUGCACAUAGAAUAUUUUACCAAACUAACCCAAAACAAUUAAAUAUUUAUAAAAAUAGCUCAAGUUCUAAAAUAUUUACAAGACUAACUUGAAAGCAACAUUGUCUGGGGGUUAUGGCACCCUCAUGGCCGGCACCAAUGUCAUCAAUCCUUAAAAUUUUUUUUAAGGUGUCGACUGACACCUAUAUGUAUUUUUUCACCCGUAUUUUGUACAAUACAUAUAAUAUCCUUAUUUUUAAAUUUUUUGGUGCCGGCACUAUGUUGGUCAGUACUCGUUUUUAGUAAAAAACUGUGAUAAGCUUGCAAGAGAGAUUUUAUUAGAUAAAGCAAAGAUUGAUCGAAUGAAAAGGACUAAAAUACCAAAAGACGCAAUUUUUAGAAAAAAAAUUACAUAAAUAGGCUGAAAUUUUGAAAAUUUACAGGAAUAGGCCGAUUUUUGUAAAAUGCUUGCGUUUUCAGGGGAAACCCAAAAAAAUGCUUCCAAAAGCGUCUUUAGUAUAUUGACAGAAAAACGCUUCCAGCUGAAAGAUUUUUGCCACAUCAACACUAAAAGUGGAAGCACCAAUUUUUUUAUUUAUUUUGGUGCCACCUAUUAAUGUGAAAAUAAAACUUACAAAACAUGCAUUUAUAUAGACCCAAAGUCUCAUUUCCCCUUUUUUUAAAGCAAUGUGAGAUAUGAGACAUGUGUAUAUAUAGACUCAUGAAUAGAUUUGCAGCUUAUUCCUAAAUUGUGAUAUAUAUAGAUAAUGUGUAUAUAUAGAAUCAUGAAUAGGGGUCUUCCACCACUUUGCCUAAAUUAUUAUUUUAUUUAGAUAAAAACUCAAAUUAUUUAAUUUAAAUCUUUUUUUUUCACCAAUUUUUGAGUAUCACAGUUCCAAAUUGUUUAAAAUAAUAUGUAUGGACAAAAGCAAAGAUAGUAGGAGGGCCAUACUCUUCCAAAUUCUUUAGGAUUUGGAGUAGCAUGGCCCUCCUACUAUCUUUGUUUUUGUCCAUACAUAUUAUUAUUAUUUUGUUAAAAUAGAUUGAAGUCUCUGUAUUCUUGAUAAGUUUGGAAUUUAGGCCUUUUAUUUUUAUUUCAAAUAAUUUAGUUUCUCUAUUUUUUUAAUUUAAAAAUACAAGUCUAAUUGUUAACAUUGUUAAAAUCAUUUUGUUAAAUUUAUUGGUGUGACUACGUGACACCUUAUACCCAACCCAGUUGUUGGAUCCGAAUAUAAAAUGCCACAUUCCAUUGUCGAAGCAACUUACUUUUCUAUUUUACUCUUUUUUUUAAAAGGAAACGUAGUGGUAAAAUUAUUUUACAAAAAUUUCGGCAACAUUUCUACCUAUUUUGCAUAAAACCCAUUGCAAAAUUUAGAUUUCACAAAAUAUCCACAUUCAAAUAAUCUCCCAAAUCAAUUCGCAAAACUUUGAUUUCUCAAAACAUAUCCAUAAACUAGAUUUCUACGCUUUACUGUUUCAUCAAAACAUUAGUUAUAAAGUACUAGCAAAGAAAAUAUAAUAAAAAUAUUUAAAUUUUGUUUACGACAUAAUAUUAUAUAUAUACAAGCCUAGGUACAUGCCAUUUACAUCAAUUAUAAAGUAAACUUUUCACCAACAUUAUUUGAGCCGAGCUUCGGUUCUUCGGAUGCUGCUGGAACGACCUAACGAAUCUAACUACCUGCGCAUGGAAAAAUAGACAAAUUGUACGCUGAGCAAUUUUUAUGCUCAGUGAUGCUAAUAUCAUAUAAAUUAUUACAUAAGUAUUGAACAUAAAUUAAUUGAUAGAAAUAAAUUAAAACAUAAUUAUAAAUAUCAUUAAAACAUAAUUAUAAAUAUCAUUAAUAACAUCACAAUAAAAGAAAAUUUUAAUAUUAAUAAACUUUAAUAUUACGAUAUUGACAAAUCGAAUAAAGAAAAUAAGUUUUUUUAAUCUAAUUCAAAAUCGUGUAAUUAAUUUAAUUCGCACAAUAUGGAAAUUUAAAUAAAUUCAACUUGUGUUUUUACUUUUCUUUCAAUUUAGACACUGUCCUAAAGUUUAGUGACAAGUGAUAAUAGUAACAUGCUUUAAUCUCGUUCUUAAUGCAUUUUUGGAUGAUUAUUUGAUGUAAAAUAGUGAAUAUUAUGUUCCUAAUCCUUUAAAUUCAUGUUUCUAUACUUAGGAGAGCAUUUGGGAGCAAAAGGAGUGAAAAACGAACGAAAAUCGAAAAAUUGGAGCAAGGUAAAUGAGCCACACCGGCUGGGCACACGGUUGUGUGAGCCAUAUGGGCAUGUGCUAAAUUGUGUGGAAAUUGUGAACUGCACUCCGGAAACGUAAAAAAACAUAAUUUUAAGGUUUUUGGGCAUUCUAAGACCUAUAUAUGACAAAGAUAAGAAGAGAUGAGGGAACUAUCAUAGAAUACUGAAGAAAACAACUCGAAAAAUGCCAUUGAAGCUGACUCUGAAGCAGAUUUUCAUCAAGAUUGAAGAUCUCCUUUUGAUUUCUUUGAAGUUUAUUAUAAGUUUCUUUGUUUCUUGUGGUUAUAUUGCUUUUGGGAUGUUUUUAUUUGCUAUCAUAAACUAAUUUUCCAAAUACCUAGGGAGAUGAACUCUAGGAUGGAUUAUAUUAUUUGAUAUCUAUUUUUUACGCAAGAAAUACUUGAAUCUUGUUCUCAUUUAUGUGUGCUUAAUUCUUGGUUUAAUAUUUCUAGACUAUUAAUCUAUGUUUGAUGUGCUUAAAUCAGAGGGCAAAUAGACCUUAUUUAAGAGUAGAUCUACCGUAAUUGAGUGGAGUUGCAUGUAAUCCUAGAAAUAGGACGACAUAAAUCUACCGGAUUAGAGUAAAAUCUAAUAGGGGGUCCUUAAAUCAAGUUAAUGCGAUAAUAUGAGUUUUAAUUAGAAAAAAAAUUCAAUUAAUCAACCUAGAGUCAGUUGCUCUUACUCUCGAAAGAGAUAUUAGCAUAAUUUAGGGAUUUCUACGGAUCAAUAUACUAAGUGAAGAAAUUGUUUAAUUCAGAUUGAUAAUGACAGAUGAAAUCUAGGUGAAUUCUUUCGUCGGUAUUGUUUCGCUUUUUGGUUGUUAAUCGUUUGUUUUCUUGAUUCGUUUUUUGUCGUGUUCUUUAGUUAGUUAAUUUAGUUAAUUUUAGUUUUAAUCAAUCUCUCCAAUUUGUCAGUUAAAUAAUAGUAAGAAAGUAAUCACUAGUAAUUUUAGUCCUUUUGGGAAUAAUAUCUUUUCUCAUUGUAGCUAUAAUAUUAAUUGAUAGGUGCACUUACCGUUGCCCGGAAGUGAAAUAUUAGGAAAACUUUAUUUCUAUUAAUUUAGCUUUUUUUAUUUUUAUUUUAAUAUUUUUGUUUUUAACUUAAUUUUGAUAUUAUAUUUUUUUGUUUGUUUGAUUUUAACAGGUUCUUUUGGUUUAUGACUAGAGGAAACCCGUUGGAUCCAUUACUUUUUGACAAUGAGACUGAAAAGACUGUUUGUAGAAAUCGUAAAGAGGUUAGGGAAGUAGGUAAAAUCAACAGAAUUUAGUAGACGAUCAAGAGGAAAAUAAUAUUACUGUGGAGAUGGGUGAUAAUCACAAUAAUCAGCUACCUCCUGCAAAAUCAUGAUCCUCGUACUAGGUAUUGUUACGCUAAACUUACUCUGAUUGGGGCUGAUUUGAGUAUUGUGAGACCCACCAUUACUGCAAACAAUUUGAGCUGAAGGCAAACACAAUUCAGAUGGUACAAUAGUAUGUUUAGUUUGACAGUUUGCAAGAUGAAGAUCUGAAUACUCAUUUGACUAACUUUCUAGAGAUUUGUGACACUUUCAAAUUAAUGGUGCUAAUAAUGACGCCAUACACUCACGGUUCUUCCCAUUCUCUUUGAGGAGCAAGACAAAAUGGUGGCUGAAUUCAUUGCCACGAGGUUCUAUCACUACCUAGGCGCAAAUGACUGAAAAAAUUCAGUUGAAGUAUUUUCCAACAGUUAAAACAACUAAGUUGAGGAAUGAUAUCUUUUCUUUUGCUCAAAUUGAUUUGGUGACAUUAUAUGAUGCAUGAGAGAGAUUUAAGGAUCUGUUGAGAAGGUGCCUCAUCAGGGGUUACCUUUAUGGUUGCAAGUUCAAACCUUUUACAACGGUUUGCAUCCCUCGACUAGACAACUAAUUGAUGCAGUAGUUGGUGGAACACUGAAUAAUAAAACACCCGAGACAGCUCAAGAGUUUAUUGAGGAGAUGAAAUUGAAUAACAAUCAAUGACAAGUAAUGAAAACAAAAUUGAUUAAAGCAGCUGGUAUUUUUAACAUCGAGAGAUUAAUAAGUUAUUCACAGAAUCUUUUCAUGAAUGAUUAAGCCAAACGAUAUGCAAUUGAAGCUUUCAUUGACAAAUAAAAAUGUUUUCUCAUAACAUUUAUAAUUACUCAAUUUACUUUCGAUUCAAUAGAUUUGGAGUGGGAAGGACGUCAAUGACGAAAUUAAAUGGCUUUCCCAAGGUUCGAAUAGAGUAGUAAAAAGAUAUAGUGCCUUCCUUAUUAAUGGAUUCAGAUUUUAUACAAAAUAUCGCAAGAGAUUGAGGAGAACUCAAAAUUGUGGAAUAGUUGUUAAUUCUUCAAUUACAAGUUAUGCUAGUGCUUGGGACAGUUGUUGAGAGAAAUGUGGAGUAUUAUGGAUUUCUUACUGACAUUUUUGAGCUGGAUUACCAUGGCAAAUGGAAAGUUGUCUUAUUUCGGUGUGAUUGGGCUUAUGUUAAGACUACUCGCGGAAUUAAAACAGAUCAAUUUGGUUUUACAAUGGUGAACUAAUCUCGAUUGAUUCACACUGGACAACAAUUAAUAGAUAAACCGUAUGUAUUUUUUUCUUAAGUGAAACAAGUUCUUUACAAGAAAGAUUCAACUGAUGAGGGUUGGUACGUUGUACUCCGUAACACCCCUAGAGACUUGUUUGACAUGGGCAAUGGAAAUAGAGAUGACAUCGAUGAAAGAUCAGAAACUUUGCCUUUUCCAGAACAAAACUUAAAUGAAAAUAUCCCUAGUACUAGUACACAAUUUCAAUGGGUUCGCCAGGAUGUUGAUGAAGAUAUUUACGAAUUAUGAUGUAGUAAGAUUUUAUGAUUUUUUAAUUAUAUGUAAUAUCAUAAUUUAAAUCUUGGUCUUGUUAAACAUUUCAACUAUUUUAUAUGUACUAUUAUUGUUGUAAUUAGUUACUAAAAUUUCAACUAUUUUAUGUGUAUUGCAGAUAAAAUGCCUAGAAGAAGAUUGCGAGAUCUAAGUAUUGUUCAAAAUACUCCAAAUUCGGAAGAAACAAAUAGUGAACAACAGACUGCUAUUGGAUCUUCGAAUGUUUCGAAUACACCUGACGAACCUGCAGAAAUUCAAAGUAAUGUUAAAUUUAAUUUACAUGCGUGUUGACUUUUAUUAUUAAUUUCUUUUUCAAAUUCUUAUAUUAUAAUAUACCAUUUUUCAGCUGAAAGUGGUGGGAUGCGCAAAGGUUGAAGACGUACACUACUUAAAGAUUUAUACGAGUUAAAUCUUGUCGAGCGUGUCAAAAUAUCUAGAAAUAAUCUUGGUCAGCUUGUUGGAUCAGAAGCUUAAAUUUGAGCAGGAUAUUUGGGCAUUAUAGCAUGAAAUGCCAAUAUGUUGCCUACCAACUACGAGUCAUGGCAUCAAAUGCCUGAUAGUAACAAAAACGAAGCUCUCGAUAAUAUUAAGGUAACAAAACGUGAAUGUAAUUUAUAAUACUUUGGUUUAAGUUUUAUUUAUAUUUACUUUCUAAACUUGUGUUUUUUGUAGGAGAGGUUUGCUUCAGAUAAUUAUGUCAAGAAGGCCUUGGGAAAAAAUGGAGACCAUAAAAGUACUUUAAAGAAAGAAUUUUUUUUUAAAAUAUAAGCCUCGAAGAGAAAUUGCGAAAUGUCCCGCCGGGAAUGUUGAGGUACCAAUGGGAAGAUGUGGUUAGAUUUUGGAAUUCAAAGAAAUGAGAGGUAUUACGUACUUCCAAACUCUUAUAAUUAUUUCAGUUUAUAGUACUUACUAUAUACGUAAUAAUAAUUUCAUAAUGUAGGAUCGUGAACGAGUUGGAACAAGCAGGAGGCAAAAACAGAAAUUCACUCACACAGCUGGGUCAAAAAAUUAUGCUUGUGUAGCUGAGGCCGAGGUAUUUUGAAUUUAUUAAUUGUUUCAAAUAUUUAUUACUUUCUAUUAAAUAAUAUUUUUACUACUAUAUUAUAGGAACUAUCAUCUGGUCAAAAAGUUGGACGCCUUCAGCUUUUUGACAUUACACAUAGGAAGAAAGAUGGAUCUCCUAUGACUUCUGAAGCUGCAGAAAUUAUGGUAUGUUUACUUAAUAAAAUUUGAAUUAUUUUAAAUAUUUAUAUGGUUUAAUUAUAAAGGUUUAAUUUGUCGUUUGUAAUGCAAAUAAUGUUAAGUUAUGUUGCAUUUGUUUUUAUUAUAUAUUUUGUUUCUAGCUCUUUGAUUGAUUUAUUAGGAGAAACUAAAGGAUAAAAAGGCGGAGUAUGAAGCGAUUGCUCCGAGUGAUAGUUCUGUUAAUGUCGAAGACAUUGAUAACUGGAUUAUUACUGAAGUUUUGGGUCCUGAAAGGUAUGGUCGGGUUCGAUUUCAAGGAUAUUUUGUUAACCCAACCGGAUAUUUUGGAUCCAACUCGCAAUAAUACAUGCCUUCAGAGAGUCAGCCUCAAGCUAAAGUUCAGAGGUUAAGAGACCAGAUGGCUCAGAUGCAAGAGAGAACAGUUGAGCAAAUUGCUCAACUUAAACCGGAGGCAACAUCGAGAGAAGCUGUGGUUCAAAAAAAAUAUGAAAAACUCCAGCUACAAAGUAAAGCGGAGGCAGUAGCGAGGGAAGCAGAGCAAAGCAGAAAGUACGACGCACUCCAGCUACAGCUUCAGAAUAUGAUGAAGAUGUUUCAGCAGUUGCAAAAUCCUCCAUCUUAGACAUUUGUUUUCUUAUUGUAAGAAUAUUUUUAACAUUGUAACUUUUAACAUUAUUGUAAGAAUAUUUUGAAUUAUACUUCAGUUAUCAAUUUAUAUCAUAUAUAUUUCGUUGAAUUUGAAGUAUCAUUUAAAUUUACUGUUUUUGGUUGGAUUUCAUGCUACAGGAAGGGUUGUAUAUGGAUGAAAAUUGAAUGUUACAAAUCUGCCAAAGUUAGUGGCAUUUUUUCAUAAACGCCGCUAAAGAACGAUGCUUUUAGCGACGUUUGUGAAAAAAAACCCGCUAAAAGUCAUUCUCUAUAGAGACGUUUGUGAUAAAAGCGCCACUAAAGGUUAUGCUCUUUAGCGGUGUUUGUGAUAAAAGCGCCGCUAAAGGUUAUUUUCUUUAACGACGUUUGUGAUAAAAGCGCCACUAAAGGUCAAGUUCUUUAGCAGUGUUUGUGAUAAAAGCGCCGUUAAAGGUCAUGUUCUUUAGCCGCUUAAAAGCGCUGCUAUAGGCCUAAAAAAAGCCGCUAAAAGCCUGUUUUGCUGCAGUGAAUUAGUUACAGAGUUUUUGAGCGAGAAAAAGAAAAAGAAAAAGAAAACAAAGAUAGGGGAGAUGAGGAAAUUGUUCAAGACGCUCUUGAAGCUAAUAUUCAUUUUGCCAAUACCCUGUAAUUUUUUUCUUUUUUUUUCCUUCCUUGAUUUUUUAUAGAUGUAUAUCAUGUGUUUUUUUCUUUUUGUAGAUAGAAAGGGAUUUCAAUUUUAGGUUGGGAUUUAUCUGCAAAGACUACAAUAUUUUUCUAUUCGCUAAUUGCUCUAUCAAUGCAUCAAUGAUUUCCCUUUGGAUUUUCUCUUAAUUUGGGGUUUCUUUUGUUUUGGUAAGUUUAAAAUUUCAUUUUAUCUUUUUUUUUUGUUUGUUUUGGGUUUGAAGUUAAAUUUUAACAAUAAUAAAGUUCAUUACUUUACUGCUUGAAUUUACUUGUUUGCAUAUUUGUUAGAAUGAGAACCGGAUCCAAAGGUCAAAUGUGUUCUGGUUGAGGGAAGCUCAUCGCGUGCGUUUUGUGUAAGUACUUGAAGAAAUAUUAAGCCUUCUUCUUUAGUUGGGAAAAGAUACUUGUACAUAUCAUUUCAUGUUUGUAAUGAAAAAUGUGUAUAGAUAUCAUUCUAGGCUAUGUUUUGUUUUACUAGUGUUAAGGGAGUUUUGGGGGCUAACUAUUCACGAGUAUCACACGAAUGGAUAUUAAAUGUGUUGUUGCUAAAAUCCAGAAGGACAGAAACACUCCUCUUGUGCCAAAGGUUUUUCUUUUUCCUUUCCAUUUGUAAAUGCAUACUAUCUAAACUGCAAACUUCUUGUGCUUAGUUGUUUUUCUCUGUUAUAAAUAUCACAAACAUUUGCAAUUUGCUAAAAUUAAGCAAACAUCUGUAAAUGCAUACUAUCUGAUCAAGCAUUUUCACUUUUACCAUCUUUUAUGGAUGCGUUCCCCAUUGAUUUUUGCUUCUUGAUAUGCCAGUAAUAUUUAUUAUAAUUCAAACCCAGUAUGUAGAAAAUAAAAAAAUAUAAACAAUAAUUUCUAGUGAGAUGUGUAAAUGCAUAAUAUGUAUGUAUUAUUAGUAAUUACCUUGCCUAAAAUGAAAUUUAGUAGCAAGUUUGUGUUACAUACACUUUAAGUAUUGUAUUGAAGGGUAAAGGAUGCUGAGGCAUGCAUAUCUUAUUGACUAUUAAGUUCAGCUCAUCAUAUGCUGUGGAAAUAUAUUAAUAUGUUUCUACUGUGGAAAUAUAACUCAUGGUUCAUGCUCAAUAUCAUUUCAGGUUCAAGAUAGUUUCUUUGAAGCAGUUGUUGCUGCUGCACCUUGCCUCUUCUUUUUUUGAUGAAUUUGAUUCCAUUACCCUUAAAAGAUGACAUGACAACAUUGGAGUAACUGUUCGAGUUGUCAACCAAGUUAGUAUCUUUUUGCUUGCUGCAUUUUAUUAUUUUGCCUUAACUUUUGAUGUCUUUCUUAUUGUUAUUUUGCUUUCAAACAAUUCCUAACUAAAUUAGAUGGUUUUGAAGUUUUGACUAAUGUAUUUGUGUUUGUUGCAACAAGGUUAGUUCUCAUGGAAUCCUAUUGUAUUAUUUUGAUAGUAUCUAUCCUUAAUCUACGAUUAAUCCCCACAAUGUUGAGUUUGACUCGUUAUUAUCUUCACGUGAUCGAUUUUGACAUGAGAUGCAUACCCAAAUAAGAUAGUUUUUCAAGUAGCACAAAAUUUUUAAAAGAGAAUACAUUUCUUGAUUUCAAGGUUUUCCAUAAAUAUAUGAGUUUCUUAUUUCAUGGUUUUUCCUUAUGAGUUGCAUAGCUAUAAUAAAAAUUUACUUGAAUUCUUCUAUAAGCAGUAGACCAGUUUUGCUUGAUGCUGCAUUGCUGAGACUAGGUAGGCUUAAUCGCCUCCGUUUAUGUGAUUUUCCAUCUCCGCGUGAAAGGUUGGAUAUUCUAACCUUUCUUUCAAGAAAGGUUAGUGAUAUUGUUUUUAUGCCUCAGUUUUCUACGCUCUCUUUUAUUUUUUUUUGUUUCAUCACAGAAAUCGGAGGUAUAAAACUCUUCUUCAAGUCUCUUUUAUUUUUUUUGAUUGUUUAUUUGUAUGGUUGAUUAUUUUUUGUUUGUGUUCAAUGGAUAUUUGUAUUGAUUCUGUAACUUCUGUGUGUAGGGGAACCUACCAGUCGUAUUGCAGGUCUCUUUUUGAGGAUCCUUUGCUAGAAUGCUUUGAGCUCGUUGAUGAUUUCAAUUUUCAAGGUUUGUGGAUUAUCUUUCUCUAUGUUUUAUAAUUUGACAUUGGUCAUGACUCGAAUGCAUUAAAUUGGCUUUGGAUAGGUUAUUUUGUAUGGUAUGAGUUAUUGAAUUACUUCAUUAAAGAACUCUAUAAGGGGAGGGUGUCAUAAUUUGAUAGAAAUGUGCUUCUUUAUUUCAUGUUGUUUUCUAUGUAUGUUAAGACAUUUGAUGUUGUUCAACUUGUUUUAGAGGAGUUUGGUCAAAGCAUCGGUGAAAUUUUUUAGAAUUUUGAUGUAAAUCCUCUUGGUUCUGCAUCAAUCGCACAAGUAUUACUUUUUCAUUUCUUUACCUGGCUUGAAGUUUUAUAUGAGCAUGCUGGGAAGGGUAUAGGUUUAUGUAUUUAAACAUAUAAAAUCUUUGAAGGCUAAACAUUUAUAUUAAAUAAGCUUCAUGCUUGCCAACAUACAAUAGGAUAUGACACAUUUGCUGUUUUAAUGCUACCAUAAAGUUUAACAGUUUUGUGGGCUUCUCGGGUUCCAAAAAUAGGAUAAUGCUUACAAGAACCGAGUGGAUAUACCUUAACAUAUGUUCGUAUCUGAAUUAGAUUUAUCAAGUAGGAUUGAGAAGUGAUAAGAUCGAUGUUGUUGUUAAGGUAAGUACCUUUGAAAAUGAUUUUAAAACCUCAUAUGUCUAUGUGAUUUUGACCAUUCAAGUUUAUGGCAGGUGCAACAUCCGGGAAUCCAGGAUCUUAUGAUAACUGACAUCUGUAACUUGCAAGCAUUUGCACUAUAUAUUCAGAAGAAUGAUAUCAAAAAUAGGUAUAUGUAUUCACACUGAUGUUCCUUGCAAAACACAUCUAUCCUUCUUUUAUGUAUUUUUCAGAUUAUGUAAAUUGAGAGUAUCGUUCCACUUGGAUUUGGAUUUCUUUUUUGUUCUGCAUGUCGUUAAUUAUUUAUCCUUUGUGCUAAUUAUUUAUCCUUUGUGUUGUCAAGAUCGGAUAUGAGUUUGACUUUCUAAGAGAAGCCAAUGCUAUGGAGAGAAUUUGCUAUUUCUUAUACGAGAAUAACAUAAAGAACUAUAAGUUUUUUAAUAACAUAAAAUGAGGAAUGGCUUUUGAGACAGGGAUUACGAAUCUCAGCUCCUUCUGUAUUUAUGUCGAGUUUUCUUCAUGUUUUUGAAUAACAUGAACUGAGUUUUUAAAUGACAUAAAAUCAAGGACUAUGGUUUUUGAAUAAUAAAGGACUAUGACUUUUGAUUUUUUAUUUCACAUAUGAAAAGAACUAAUGUUACUAAAAUUUAGUAAUUUUUAUGUAAAAUUUGAAGGUUUUUAUUUCACCAAAAGAUUGCUAUAAAUAAUUAAUUUGUUAAAGAGUAUACCUUAUAAUGAAUUGUUGUUAUCAUGUUAUUAUAAAGGAUAAAAUAAAAUAUUAAAAAAAUAUGUUUUCUAUUAAAAUUGACUAUUAAAAUAAAAUGUUAUUAGAGGAUUAUAAUAUCGUAUGUUAAACUCAUUUUUAUAUUGGCGACUGUGACCUAAGAGAACAGGUGAGAGGCUAGAUUAAAGCAAAUAUAUUAGGCAAUGAAAUAUUCUUAAUAAUAAUUUUAUAUUAAAAUUAUUAUUAAAUAUUAUUAAUAAUUAUAUUAAGAAUGUUAUUAAAUUAUAUAUUAUUUUAUUAAAUUGUAUUUAAUAAUAAUUAUGUUAAAAUAUGAUUAAAUUAUUUAUUUUUAUUUUUAUUAAAAUAUAUUUAACAAUAAUCAUAUUAAAAUUUAAUAACAAUAAUCAUCUACCUACAAAAAUUCUGUUAAGGGUACUUUGGUUAUUUAAGCCUUUUUCCUUAUACUAUUACAACAUCUAUUCCAUUCAACCAAACAUAAGAAUUCUAUUACAACUUUACUGCAUUCCAUUCAACCAAACAAUUGAAUUACUGAUUACAACUAUAUUCCAUUACAACUCUAUUUUUUUACAGCUCUAUUCAAUUACAAUUUAAUUCCAUUACAGUGAACCAAACGUACCGUUAGAGAUAUCAUGCAACGAAUUACAAUAGUUUUACAACUAAACAAAACUCGAAAAAUUGGAGAUAUCAUCUCAAUUUAACACACUAUAAUAAUAAAUAUAGAUAACUAAUCAAAAUCCAUUAAAGAUUUAGAGAUAAAAUAUUCAUACCUGAAACUACUAACCAAAUCCGAUCUCUUAUAAUAAACUCCUUAAAUGGAGCAAUAAUUGCCGUCAGCUUUAUCUUGUUUAUCUCUAUCCCCUCACUUUCUGUAUAUAAACGUCACAAGUUAGGAAGGAAUAAUCAUACAUGGUAUCUUCAAUUUUCACUAGCUACUUGACUUCUUUGCUUAAUUAUUAUUUGCAGAAAGAUGAGUUCAAUUAAAUCGCAUGCAGUAUGUCUUCCAUUCCCAGCACAAGGUCAUAUUAACCCCAUGAUGCAACUGGCCAAGCUCUUGCACUCUAGAGGCUUCUAUAUAACCUUUGUCAACUCCGAGUUCAAUCAUAGACGGUUGAUACGGUCUAGAGGGGAAGAAGCUGUUAAGGGCCUGCCUGAUUUCCGGUACGAAGCCAUACCCGAUGGGCUGCCACCUUCCGAUUCCGAUGCGGCUCAGUGCGUUCCAGCAAUAUGCGAUUCCACACGAAAAAAUUGUUUGACUCCAUUCUUGGAGCUACUAUCUAAGCUUAAUUCAUCACCCCAACUGCCCCCUGUUACUUGCAUAGUUUGUGAUGGAAUCAUGAACUGUGGUACCAAGGCAGCUCAACUCAUUGGGGUGCCUUAUGUUCAACUCUGGACUUCUUCAACCGUUAGCUUUCUGGGAUUUCUGCACUACAAAGAACUAGCUCAAAGAGGCAUUGUUCCAUUCAAAGGUUACAAAUUUUAUGUUUUCUUUGUGCUUUAUGUUCAUUCAUAAUAAUCACUUUGAGGUUCUAUGUGUUACACGCACGUCCAUGCAUAUUCUUUUGCAUAUUGAAACAAAGAUAUGCUUUUUAUUUUCCUUGUAGAUGAAGGCUUUGUUAGUGAUGGGACACUUGAGAUGCCCAUUGAUUGGAUCCCUGGUAUGCCUAACAUGCGCCUCAAGGACCUUCCAAGCCUCAUAAGAACCACCGACCCCGAAGACACCAUGUUUAAUUACGUCAUGGAAGUAUCACAAGAAUGCUUAAAUUCAUCUUCAAUAAUCUUCAACACAUUCGAUGAGUUCGAUAAAGAAGUGCUACAAGUAAUUGCUUCCAAGUCCCCUAAUAUUUAUGCAAUUGGUCCACUCACCUCCCUAAGUAGGAACCUACAUAACUCACUAAAUUCAAGCCUAUGGAAGGAGGAUACAAGUUGCAUCGAAUGGCUUAACACAAUGAAACCCAAGUCGGUGGUGUAUGUGAAUUAUGGGAGUGUAACAGUGAUGUCGAACCAUCAUUUGGAAGAAUUUGCUUGGGGACUUGCAAAUAGUAAAUACCCGUUUUUAUGGGUAGUUAGGCCUGACGUUGUGAUGGGAGAAUCGGCUGUUUUUCCAAGAGAAUUCAUGGAGGCAAUAAAAGGAAGGGGCCUCAUAACAAGCUGGUGUCCCCAACAACAAGUGUUGUCCCACCCAGCGGUUGGCGUUUUCUUGACACACUGCGGAUGGAAUUCUUUGUUGGAAGCUGUAUCCGAAGGUGUGCCUUUAAUUUGUUGGCCUUUUUUUGGUGAUCAACAAACGAAUUGUCGAUAUUCGUGCACCACAUGGGACAAUGGAAUGGAAAUCAACCCUGACGUAAAGCGUAAGGAUGUGGAGGCUCUUAUUAAAGAGAUAAUGGCAGGAGAUAAUGGGCAAAGGAUAAGACAAAAGGCAUUGGAAUGGAAGAAAAAAGCUAAAUCUGCCAUUAGCGUUGGAGGAUCUUCUAUUACCAACUUUGAUAGAAUGAUCAAGGAGGCCCUACGUCAAGGUUGAACAUUAAAAUCAGAAUACUGUUGUGUUGUAUGUUUUGUGUAUGUUUUUCUUAAUUUUAUAUUACAUUAUUAAAUAAAUGGGUUAGCAUUUGAUAAAUCAAUAUUAUACUUUUUUUAAUUCCACAAGUAAACUUAAAAAAAUUGUUAUGUAUUUGGUUUAUUUUAUAAAUUUAUUUUUUAAUAUUUUACUAUAGGUUAUAGGAUACUUAUCAUUACUCUAAACCUACUUCUAAAGUCCAACAACCCAAUUAACCCUGUACAAAAUAUCUCCUUAAAUAUAAAUACAAAAUAAAUUAUCAAAUGUCAAGAUGAAUCCAAAAAAAUUAAAUUUCUUAAAGUCUCAUGCCCAAAAUCUCAUUACCAAAUAUCAUAAUUUAAAUACAAGACAUUUCACCUUCUAUAACUAUUGUUAGGAAAAUCAAGGAAAUAUCUUGUCAGGUUCUAACAGUCAAGUUCCAAUUCGUGAAUAGGGAACGGAAUAAGGUUGCUAAUUGACUAGUCAAAUAAUGUCUUCCUAAUAUGUCAAUUUAUUUAUGUUGAUGUUCUUACACCUUAUGUGAGGAGACUAUUUUUAGAAGACAUAUUAGGUGAUUCUCAUGUAUAAAUAAUUUGAUUUAAAAUAUUGUAUUGCUUUCUCUUAUCUAUAAAAAGAAUAUAAGACAUUUAAUAAAUAUAUCAUUCUAUAUUAAACAUAUUAUAAUGUUUAUUGAAAAGUAUUAUUUUUUAAUAUAAUGUGCCAAAUUGUAGAUCAUAAUGGGAUUUCCUUUGUCGUUUCACCUGUUACUUUUAUUGCCUCACUUUUAUUUUUUAUUUGUCUUCUUUUUCUUUGUUUUUCUUUUGGGUCAAAGAAGAAACCAAACAUCAUAAAGUUCUCUGUAGAGAGAAAAACAGAUACAAAAAAAUAUAUAUAAUAAAUCUAUUGUAUUAUAUUAAAUGUAUUGAAUUUGUUGGGAAGGCGAUCUUAGCCCUUGGAGAGAGGUUUUAAAGUGUUAUUUAUCGGAUAAUUAACUGAAAUUUUAACAAUAGUAAAUAUUAUUUUUGUGCAGUAGUUUUGUUUUUUUCUCCUCCGAGACUCUUGAAAAAUACAAGAGUGAACACCUCAAAUUGGUAGAGAUACAACUUGUUUGUAGUUUGAGUCCUCCAACUCUCAAGUAUAUUUUAUAAUUAAUAUUACGCAUUGAUAAUUAUCCCGUGAGCAUUGCAAGUUGUAUUUUCACCAAAUGGGGUGUUCUCCUUUUAUAAACUCUUUAGGAUCUUUGAUAGAGGCGAAAGACGAAACCUUACUGAGAAUAUUACUAACCAUUAUUGAAAAUUUAACUAUAUAUGCCUAACAAGUGAUACUUGGAAUACUUUUUUCGAAAAAGUUAAAAAGGUUGUUCAACAAUAUUGAAUUUAAAGAUACUCUAUAAUAGGAUGAAAAAUAAUAGUUAUAAUGUUUUUAUCUAUAUUGUUUUUAUCCCUCAACAAAUUAUAUGUAUUUCACCACGUAGGGAGGUUUGAUAAUGGGUAGCUCAUGAACUUGCAAGGGUUGGAAUGGGUAUGGAAGGGACUCUCUGUUGAGCUCCAUUUUGCUUUUGGUAAUAGCAACACAUUGUUUGAUGUAACGUUUUACCAAUAUUAAUGAAUUUAUUUCUUUUAAUAGUAAUAAGGCUAAAUUACACUAGUAAUCACUUAAGUAAUAGUAAAUUUUUUGUCAUUCAAUUAUAAAAAGUUACAAAAUUAACAUGAUAACAACUUUAAUCCUCAACAUUUAUAAAUUAUGUCCAUUUAGUCUUUAUUUUAAAAAAAUUUAACCCUAAACAACACAUUGUGUAAUUUGAUCUCUUUUUUAUUAAUUUUUUGUAAUUUUGUGACAUUAAGGUUUAAUUUUAAAAUAAUAAGAUUGUUGUAACAAGUAUUACACACAUACAUAUAUUUCCAUCGAGGUUAUAACUUUUUAAUGAGUUUCUUAUUUGCUCGUUUAUGAAUUUAUGAACCUUUAUGUAUUAGCAUAAGUAAAUUUUAAGACAAAAAAAAAAAGGUAAAAAGACCGCUCCAGUCAUCAAUUUCAAUAUUGAGUAAAUUGGUCUCUUUAAAAAAAUUGAAGCAAUUUAAUCAUUGUGAAUUUCAAAAGUAAACAACUAAGGAUAAUUUAAAAUUUUUUAUUGCCAAUACGAGAAGGGAUUGUAUGAACUGUGAUUUCCUUAUAUUUAUCUAAUUGCAUAAUGAUAAAUUAGAUUUUUUCUCUUGAUUUUUAAUUUUUUUCUUCCUAAUAAAAAUCAAAUCCAAUUAAAAAUGCUAAAAAUCAAGAAAAAAAAUCUAAUUUAUAAUUCUCCUAUUGAAAAGAGAUAAAGAUGACAUGAAAUCACAAUUUUAUAUUAUCCUUCCUCUUGCCAAUGCAGUAACCUAUCAAAAUUCUUGAGAAGCAGCUGAUAUUUUCUCAGCCUCGUCCAUGACAAUUAUUUUACACCACAAUUGCCAACAGCGUUAUCCUGUUUUUCUUUAUCCCCUCCACAAGUUAGGAAGGAAUACUCAUAUAUAGUAUCUUCAAUUUUCACCGCCUACUUGACUUCAUUGCUUAGUUAAUAUUUGCAGAAAGAUGAGUUCAAUUAAAUCGCAUGCAGUAUGUCUUCCAUUCCCAGCACAAGGUCAUGUUAACCCCAUGAUGCAACUGGCCAAGCUCUUGCACUCUAGAGGCUUCCAUAUAACCUUUGUCAACACCGACUUCAAUCAUAGACGGUUGAUACGGUCUAGAGGGGAAGAAGCUGUUAAGGGUCUGCCUGAUUUCCGGUACGAAGCCAUACCCGAUGGGCUGCCACCUUCCGAUUCCGAUGCGACUCAGUGCGUUCCAGCAAUAUGCGAUUCCACACGAAAAAAUUGUUUGGCUCCAUUCUUGGAGCUACUAUCUAAGCUUAAUUCCUCACCCCAACUGCCCCCUGUUACUUGCAUAGUUUGUGAUGGAAUCAUGAACUGUGGUACCAAGGCAGCUCAACUCAUUGGGGUGCCUUAUGUUCAACUCUGGACUUCUUCAACCGUUAGCUUUCUGGGAUUUCUGCACUACAAAGAACUAGCUCAAAGAGGCAUUGUUCCAUUCAAAGGUUAAAAAUUUUAUGUUUUCUUUGUGCUUUAUGUUCAUUCAUAAUAAUCUCUUUGAGGUUCUAUGUGUUACACGCACGUCCAUACAUAUUCUUUUGCAUAUUGAAACAAAAAUAUGCUUUUUAUUUUCCUUGUAGAUGAAGGCUUUGUUAGUGAUGGGACACUUGAGAUGCCCAUUGAUUGGAUCCCUGGUAUGCCUAACAUGCGCCUCAAGGACCUUCCAAGCUUUAUAAGAACCACCGAUCCCGACGACAUCAUGUGGAAUUAUGCCAUGGAAGUAUCACAAGAAUGCUUAAAAUCUUCUUCAAUAAUCUUUAACACAUUCGAUGAGUUCGAGAAAGAAGUGCUACAAGUAAUUGCUUCCAAGUCCCCUAAUAUUUAUGCAAUUGGUCCACUCACCUCCCUAAGUAGGAACCUACAUAACUCACUAAAUUCAAGCCUAUGGAAGGAGGAUACAAGUUGCAUCGAAUGGCUUAACACAAUGAAACCCAAGUCGGUGGUGUAUGUGAAUUAUGGGAGUGUAACAGUGAUGUCGAACCAUCAUUUGGAAGAAUUUGCUUGGGGACUUGCAAAUAGUAAACACCCGUUUUUAUGGGUAGUUAGGCCUGACGUUGUGAUGGGAGAAUCGGCUGUUUUUCCAAGAGAAUUCAUGGAGGCAAUAAAAGGAAGGGGCCUCAUAACAAGCUGGUGUCCCCAACAACAAGUGUUGUCCCACCCAGCGGUUGGCGUUUUCUUGACACACUGCGGAUGGAAUUCUUUGUUGGAAGCUGUAUCCGAAGGUGUGCCUUUAAUUUGUUGGCCUUUUUUUGGUGAUCAACAAACGAAUUGUCGAUAUUCGUGCACCACAUGGGACAAUGGAAUGGAAAUCAACCCUGACGUAAAGCGUAAGGAUGUGGAGGCUCUUGUUAAAGAGAUAAUGGAAGAAGAUAAUGGGCAAAGGAUAAGGCAAAAGGCAUUGGAAUGGAAGAGAAAAGCUAAAUCUGCCAUUAGUGUUGGAGGAUCUUCUGUUACCAACUUUGAUAGAAUGAUCAAGGAGGCCUUACGUCAAGGUUGAACAUUAAAAUCAGAAAAAUUGUUGUGUUGAAUGUUGUGUAUGUACUUUUUAAAAUUUUUUUUUUUAUAAUACACUAUUAAUAAAUGGGUUAAUAUUGUGUAAAUUGGUAAUAUACUUUUUUUUUAAUUCCGUAAGUAAACUUUAAAAAUUGUUAUGUAUCUAAUUUAUUUUAUAAAUUUAUUUUUAAUAUUUUAUUAUAUUUUAUAGAACACUUAUAAUCACUCUAACCCUACUUUGUAAAUUGUAGAUCAUAUAAUUGAAUUUGCCUUAUUAUCUCACCUGUAACUUUUAUUGCCUCACCUUUAUUUUUAAUUUUUCUUUUUUUCUUAGUUUUUCUUUUGGUUCAAAGAAGAAACCAAACAUCAUAUAGUCCCCAUGUAGAGAGGGAAACAGAUACAAUAUAAAUUAACACAUGAACUUACUUAAAUAUGAUUCUAAAAUUAAUCUAUAAUUUUUUUCUGCUUUUAUAUUCUGAUUGAUUUAUUUCUUGAUCCAUAUAAUUUACAAUGGGAAAAUUUUCAUUUAGGCUAUUAUUUAUAAAAUUUUAAAUUAGUAAUGAUAAAAUUACACUUUGGCCCCCUUAAAAAUGAUAAAAAUUUGAUUAAUUCUUUGAAAAUUAUAAAGAUAUAAACUAAUAAAAUGGUGAAAUUACAUUUUUAUUAUCAUAAAAUAUCCAAUUUAAUUCCGCCCUGAAAAACUUUUCUAUUUCCACCACUGCUUUAUAUUUAAAUUAAUUACUUCCUUUUAAGAGCUUGAACUAGAAUGUCACAUUAUUCUCUCUAUAUAUAUAUUUUUACUUUUAGAUUUAUAAUAUUUUAUAUUUAAUAGUAUAUUUUAUUUCAAAUGUUCCAUAUUUAUACUCAAAGUCAUUUAAAUUUUGAGUUUGUUUCAUAAAAUUUUAAGAAAAAAAUAAAAAUAAAAAUAUAAAACAUAAAACUUUUAUAAUUUAAAAUUUACAUUUAUCUAACAAUCUAUUUAUAUUUAAUAAUUAAUUUUAAGUGAUAUAUCAAACAAAAUUUAUAAUUUAAAUUCAAUAUAUGUAAUUUUUUAACACUUAAUUUUUAAUUUAUUUUUUAUAGAAACAUUUUAAUUUUUUUAUCCAUAUUCAAAUAAAUGUGUAAUUGAAUUUAUGAACUUUGAAACUUGAAUUGCACUUCAUAUGUAUACAUAAAGCUUUGAUUGUAUACAUUUAAAGAAAUGAAUACAUACAUUUAUUUUCAUAUUGGAUAAUAUUGUUUUUUUGUGCAUGCAAUAUAUCAACAUAAAAUUGUGUUAAUUCGAUAAUAUUAGUCUCUGGUUUGUGAAUUUUGAAUUAAAUUAAAAUUUCAUGUAUAAAAUUAUACAAAACAAAAGCUCAUGUAUGACAUUGCACAUUGGAUCAAAAUUCAUGUAAAGCUUUGAUAGUUUUCCGUAAAAAUUAUUUAGAGAGUGCGUUUGGAUGGGUUGUAAGUAGUAAUAUUAAUUAUUGUAAUAGUAAUAUUAGUUACUAUAACGGUGAUAAUAUAUAUAUGUUUGGAUUUAAUCAUAGUAGUGAAAGUGGGGUAAAAUAUAAUAAGAAGAAAAACUGAUUAUUAAACACAUAAUAUUAAAAUUUAUAUGGAAGAGAAUUUUUGAAACUAUUUGAUAUUUGUAAAGUUAAUAAUUAUAAAUUAUUAAGUUUUUAUAUAAAUAUUUUAAUGAAUAUAAAAUAUUAAGAUGGAUGGUAUUGUUUCAAAUAAUAUUUUUCAUCAUUUUUAUAUAGUUAUUUAAUUUAAUUAACUUAUAUUAAUUAUAUAAAUAAAUAUAGUUUUGUUAGUCUUAUCUUAUAAAAGUAUAUUUGUAUAUACUUUUUUUAAAUAUUUACUUAUUAUAUAAUUAUUAACUGAAAUAAAGUAAUGAAAAAAAUUAAUAUCACGAGAUAUAUAAAUACUUUUGUCUUAAAAUAUUUUCUUAAAAAAAUAAAAUGAUAAAAGGACAAAAAACUGAAAGGACGUGAUUGGAAAAACGGAGGCUGCAAUGGAGAUGAAAAUUUUUAAUCUUAGCUCACUAGUUGAUCCCAAGGACCCGAAAUUAAUUUUAAGUAAAUUAUUCAUAUAGUCACUCUAAAACUAUUUCUUUUUGUCAAUUAAUUUUUUAUCAAUGAAAGCUAUUGACACUAUUUUUUUGAUGAAAACGGGGGUCGACUUGGGUUUUGAAAAAUGAAAUCGAAUGUGGGAGUCGCCGCCAAUCCUUUUUGAUAAGGUGUGAUCGGAUCACCUUGAAAAGUGGUUGUUUUCAAUAAACGAUUUGAUUUUAUUAAAACAACGAUUUUGGUCCACGAAAUUCAGAAAAACGGGUUCAGGAGUCGGUUACGUACGAAGAAGGAUUAGCACCCUCGUAACGCCCAAAAAUUGGUACCUAGGUGAUUAGUUAAUGUCUUAAUGUCGAAAAUUGAAAACUUUGAAGAAAUUUUAAAAUAUGAUCCUUAUUUUUUAAGAGAAAACUUAUAUAAAUCAAGUUACUCGUUAAGACCUUUUCGUUUCAGAAAGAGAAAACAUCACACCCAAUGCGUUAGGGCACGAUAUUUUACCUCUUCAGAAAUAAGUUUGUCUAAAAACUCGCACAAUGAAAUUUAAAAGGGUAUUCAAUUGUUUAAGUCAGAUAAGAAAAAUCGCAACCCAAUACGUUAGGGCACAAUUUCUCAAAAUACUAAACAUUGAAUAUUGUCUAUAUUAUUAUUAUUAUUUUAGAAAAAUCUUUAUAUCGAGAAAACAACGUGUCAUAUCCAAUGCGUUAGGACACAACGUAUUGAAUUCCCGAUAAUGAGCUUUUUGAUGAGCAUUAUCGAUUAUUUAGAUUCAACGAAGAAAAUCAAAACCCAAUACAUUAGGGCUCAAUUCUCUCGAAGAUCUCAAAUACCGAGUAUUACUUAUAUUUUAAAAAAAAAAUUUGUUUUGGAUCUGGGUGAAAAUUGACGUAAUGGAGUGACAAUUACGAUGAUGUAAGCAAAAUAAUGCAAGCAAUGGCUAGAAAAUAAAAUAAAUAUAAAGACAAACUAAUAUAGUACACAAUCACAAGCAUAUAAGCAAUAAAAUUAAAACAUUCUUUCAAAACAAAUAAUGAAAAUGUAAAUAAAGAAAUAAACAAAGAAAAUGUAUAAAACUAUAAAACUAUAUAUGUAUAUACAUAAAAUUAUGGAAAUAUGAAAAAUAUAUGUAUGUACAUAUUUUAAAAUUAUUAUAUAAUAUAUAUAUAUAAGUAAGCAUAUACAUAUAUACGUAUGUAACUAUCAUAAAAUAUAAAAAGUAUAUAUAUAGAUAUAUGUAAAUCAUAAAAUAUAAAGAACAUAUAUAAAAUACAUAUUUAAAAAUAUGAAGAAUAUGUAAAUAUAUAUUUUUACGAAAAUAAAAUACAUAUAUAGACAUGUAUAUAGAUAUGUAUAAAAAUUAUGAAAUAUAAAAAUAUAUAUAGGUACGUAUAUGUAUAUACAUAUUACAAAAAUGUAUGCACGUUUGUAUAUAUAAAUUAUAAGUAUAAAAAUAUAUAUAAGUAUGUAUAUAUAUAAAUCAAAGGUAUGUAUGUAUAUAUAAUUAAAUCUAAAAUUAAAAAGGUACAAAUGAGUAACUAAUAAUAAUGAUAAUACAAGAUAAUAGUAACAAAUUUAUUAAUUUUAAUAAGGAAAUAACCAAAAUAAAAAAGGGUAAAUUGAAUACUAAAACAAACUUUUGGGGUCUAAAUCUGCAAAUAAACAAAAGGAGUGGUGCAGGACCGAAAAGAGGUACGUUUAAGGAACGAGGGACCAACUAGGAAAUAUUUCCAGCCCUCAGACGCAACGUUUCGGUCUGGACUAAGAUGGAACACGCAGAAAAUUGAGAGGCCAAAUUAAAAAAAUAAAAAAGACGAGAUUGCACAACAAUACAAAAUAGGAAGGACUAAAGCAGUAAAUAUCCCAGAAGCAAAAAAAAGCGCGGAUCCUGGGGCAGGCAGGUCGGGUCUUCGGGUCUUAAGUCAAAACCACGCCGUUUUUCCACUGGUGACCUCGGCUCAAAACGACGCCGUUUAAUGUUGCUAUAAAGCCCAAAUUUUUUUUAAAAUUUUCAUUUUUCCUUCUUUCUCAAAAUAAAACAGACAAAAGCUCUCAAAUUUCCUCUCCCCCUCUCUAGCACUGCCCAGAAUCCGGCGAGGAGAACCGCCGUCAACGCCGUUGCGCCGGCCACCGGGAAAAUUCAAAGGUAAUUUUUUUUACUUCUAUAUGUUAUUUAUGUAUAUAGUUUAAAAAUAAAAGAAAAAUAAAAAAAAUCGAAUACAAACAGUCGAAAAUCGAAAACAAAGAGAGAAAAAAAAUAAUAAAAAGAAGGACCUUUCGUAUUGCCCUUGUUUUUGAUCUCUUUUUUUUGCUGAUUUGCUUGAAUCCUUGUUUGAAAGUGUUAUGUUUUUAUUUUUUGUUCAUCAAAAGGGAAAAAAGAACCCCCCAUUACAGAUUUUUCAUGGUUUUUAUAGCCAUUUUUUACAACGUUUUUAUAUUAUUUUUUGUCAUUUCUUACAGGCCACUUGAAGGCGGUGGAGCAGUGGCGGUGAUGGCAGAGGGCAGGUGAGCGGCAAUGGGACGUGCGGCGCCUGGGGCUAAGGGGCAGAAGGCUGCGGCGCUAGGAGCGGCGGUGGCAGGGCAAGUGGGCAGAAAACCUCUUUUUAACUGUUCCAACUCACCAAAGCAAAAUACAAACUAAAUAUGAGCUUCACAUGCAUACCUCACACAACUGCAUUCACUUACAAAGGAAAAAAAGCAGAAAUAGAGACAUUGAAUGAUCCCCAUUCAUUAUUUAAGUAAUUCCCCACUAACAAUAGUAUUUCCAGUUAACCAUGUUUGAGAGCUUCCUUAACAAAUCUGUCGAAAUCAAUAUAAGAUGAUCCCCCAACUUCAACCGCUUCUUCCGCUUUCUUCUUCCAUCCCAAUGCCUUCUCUUUCUUUUUCUUUCCUUCCUCACCUUCCAUCAUUUCCUUAACUAAAAACUCUAUGUUCUCUCGCUUCACAUCAUGAUCCACCUCCAUGCCAAUGCCCCAAUGAGUGCAAGCAUAUCGACAAUUGGUUUGCUGAUCAGCAAAAAAUGGCCAACAAACUACUGGCACACCUUCUGAUAUGGUUUCCACGGUAGAAUUCCACCCACAGUGUGUCAAAAAAACACCGACUGAAGGAUGUGAAAGGACCUCAUAUUGGUUGCACCAGCUUGUUAUCAGCCCUCUUUCCUUCAAUCUCCUUCAGGAACUCUAGAUCCAGAAUUGCAGAAUCACCCAUCACGACAUCUGGUCUAACGAUCCAUAAAAAUGGGUGUUUAGAGUUAGCCAACCCCCAUGCAAAUUCUUUGAGAUGCUUCGCCGACAUGACAGUAAUGCUUCCAUAGUUCACAUACACAACUGAAUUGGGUUCCCUUUCGUUAAGCCAUUCAAUGCAGCUUGUAUCUUCCUUCCAUAGGCUUGGGUUCAUUGACUUGGAGGGAUCGGCAUGUAGGUGCCUGGCAACCAAAUGAAGUGGUCCUACUGUAUAAAUUCGAGGAAAUUUGGCAGCGAUGGCGUCGAGCACUUCAUGUUCGAACUCUUCAAAUGCGUUGAAGAUUAUUGCUGAAGCUUUUAGGCAAUUUUGAGCUUCGGAUCCUAAAUAAUCAAACAAAAUGUCAUUCGGAUCGUUGGCUCUGACGAAGCUUGGAAAAUCUCUGAGGCGAAUGUUACUCAUUCCAGGGACCCAGUCAAUAGGUUCAUCGAGAAAUGUUUCACCUGACACGACAAAGAGUCAAAUUUGAGUUCCUUUUAGAGAAUUUUCUUAGCUAUAAAGUUACAAAGUUGAAAUAAGAAAGUACUUACUUUGGAAUGGAAUAAUGCCUCGUUUAACCAGUUCACUGAAGUGAAGAUAUCCCAUGAAACUACAUGCUGAGGCAGUCCAAAACUGAACUUCUGGUAUGCCAAGUUGUUCAGCAGCCUUAAUAGCAAAGCUCAUAAGUCCAUCAGAGAUUAUGAAAGUAACAGUGGGCACUUGGGGCGAGGAGUUUAACUUAGCUAGUAGAUCUACGAAUGGUGCCAAGCAAUGCUUUCGUAUCGAAUCACACAGAACUGGAAGAUCCUGUGUUGCAUUUCGAUCGGACGAUGUCAGCCCUUCCGGAAUUGUUUCGAACUGGAAAUCAGGCAGACCUUUAACAAAGUCAGGGCCUUUGGACCUGACCAAACGCCUAUGGUUGAACUCAGUGUUAACAAAGGUUAUGAAGAAGCCUCUAGAGUGUAAGAGCUUAGCAAGUAGCAUCAUGGGGUUAACAUGACCUUGUGCUGGAAAUGGGACGAUUACAAUAUGGGGUUUACUGGUUUCAAGUGAACCCAUCUUUGCAAAGCAAUAACAAAGUUGUAAAAUUAAGGUGUUUGCAGAGAAGCUUUCCUUGCUUUCUAGCUUCUCUAAAGCUUGACGAGUAGCAACAUGCAAUAUAUAGGAAAAGGAUGGCGUGAAAGAGUUCAUUUGUAUUCCUUUUUCAAAAACUGUCAGAAAAUUCAUUAUUUUUAAUUUAGGCUAUUUAUAAUUUAUAAAAUUUUAAAUUAGUAAUGAUAAAAUUACACUUUGGCCCCCUUAAAAAUGAUAAAAAUUUGAUUAAUUUUUUAAAAAUGAUAAAGAUAUAGACUAUUAAAAUGAUAAAAUUAUAUUUUUACUAUCAUAAAACAUACAAUUUAAUUCCGCCCUGAAAAACUUUUCUAAUUCCGCCAUUGUUUUAUAUUUAAAUUAAUUACGCUAGAACUAGAAUGUCACAUUAUUCUCUAUAUAAUUUUUUUUUACUUUUAGAUUUAUAAUAUUUUAUAUUUAAUAGUAUAUUUUAUUUCAAAUGUUUCAUAUUUAUACUCAAAGUCAUUUAAAUUUUGGGUUUGUUUCAUAAAAUGUUUAAGAAAAAAAAUAAAAAUAUAAAACAUAAAACUUUUACAAUUAAAAAUUUAUAUUUAUCAAACAAUCUAUUUAUAUUUAAUAAUUAAUUUUAAGUAAUAUAUCAAAUAAAUUUUAUAAUUUAAAUUUAAUAUAUGUAAUUUUUAACACUUAAUUUUUAAUUUAUUUUUUAUCCAUAUUUUUCUUCCCUUAUUGUGGGAGAUUCGGCCCCACCUUUGAAUAUUCAAAUAUUAUUGUUAUCAUAUAAUAGUUUAUAAUUAAACUGUUGUUGAUAUAAUAAAUUUAUGUAUUUAUAUUCCAACUCCAUUAUAUAUUUGAAGUUAUUGUUUAAAUUGAAGAUUUUAUUUUUCAAAAAUAGUUUAAUAAUUUUUAAUAUUUCCAGGAAUUAAUUUAUGAACCAUUUUAAUUUUAGUUGGAAUAACAAAAAAAGAAAAAGAAAGAAAAAAACUAUAAUAUCUUCUUUCGUAGCUAAUUUUUGUACCUAUUUUUUUAUAGAAUUUACAAUUAUUUAUACUAAAUUAUGUCACAUGUUGCGACUCUUUACCAUUAGAUCAGACCAUUGCCACUAUGUUACGUCUUUUUAGUUAAUCAAUUUGAAUAUAAAUCAUAAUUAUUCUCAAGUUAAGAUGGAUAAAUGAUGGACAAAACCGGCUGUCAGCGUGUUGUAAUGUUCUAUGAAUGUUGAGGCUAAAGUCUUUGUCGUAUUGAUGGAGUUUGUCCUUCAUUGUCGACAAUGGAUGUUUUUUUUCUUUUCCCCAAAUUGUAUGGUCCCAUUUGUGGAAUAAAUUAAUAAAAUUUUCCUUUCAAAUGAUAAUAAUUAAAUAUAGAGGUAGUUGCAUCGGGUGUAACACCCCAAACUCGGCCUGGACGUUAUGAUUGAAUCUGGCAAUGUCACAUGAUAGUGUGUUUGAAAACCGAUGCUCGUGUUGAAAAAACCGUAACUUUGCUUAAAACAUUUUCCGUUUAGAUCUCGUCGUUAUCUUUUAUUAAUCCUAAAAUAGUGAUUUUUAUUCAGUCGUUAGUUUGCAAAAUAUUAUAUGUUGCAGAAGCUUUUUAAAGUAGUUUGUGUCCUUGUGGGUAUUUUGCUAAAACACAUGCAUUUCUUUUAAAAACUCGUGUUUUAUCUACCUCUAGCAGAUAUAAAACAUAAAGCAAUAUAAAAUCCAAAAUUUAAGCAAAAACUCAUAGCGGCCAUUAUUACAGAAAAAUACCCCAAAUAAAGCCCCAAAUAAAGCUUUAAAAAAUAAACCUAAUUAAAUACGAAACAGUAAAAAGGAGUCGUGUGGCCAUAGCUGAGUCCUCCGCCGUUCCGAUCCGCCUAAGUCUGGGGAUUACCUAAAUAGAUGAAUCAGAAGGGUGAGUUUACGAAAACUCAGUGUGUAAUCCCCACACAAACAAGCAAACAAUAUGCAAUCAUAGUUUGGGCUUAAGCCCAUUUCGGUAAUAGUUUCAGUUUCAGUUAGGGCCUUAGCCCAUUACAAUACAGAAGCAGACGUGCAUUUGGCCCUUGGCCCAUUACAAUAUCAAUACUCAGUACAGUGACAGAUAUGCAGUGUCAAAUCCUACCCAGCCAGCUUCUACACUCCAGCUCUGUCCAACCCUACACUCCAUGUGGGGAAAUGAUCAACCCACCCAUCCCUACACUCUAAAAAGUACCAAAUGCGGCACUAGACAGUAGUUUACAGUUGAGCUGCCAGUAAUUUAGGCUCGAGGCCUUUCAGUACACUUCCUCCGAACAAUAUAACCCAACCCCAAUGCAAUGCAAUAUAUAUAUGACAUGUUAAAACAUAAUAACGUGCAUAAAAUCAGGGCAUACAGUAUCAAACCAGUGGUACAUCAUCAUGCUUAAUAACAUGCAUAAUCGUAUCAGUCAUACAGUCAUUUUAGUCAAUUAGGGGUCUAGGAAAGCUUAUCGACCCUACAGUAGGUCCACAGUCGACUCGGGCGACCCGUGUAACCUUAGUAGUCAAAUAGUGAAAAUGGGUCGACGACCCAUGUUGCAUGCCCAUGUGGCCCAUACGGCCUAAAAUGGCCUUGGCCGUGUGGAUCUCACGGCCUGGCCUAAUAUUCCCAUACGCCCGUGUAGUUCACCUGUGUGGGGCCCACGCACCCGUGUGGUCCACACGACCUAAUUCAGCCCGGCCCAUGAAUCGUACAUGGCCAACCUCAUCGAUCACGCGCCCAUAUUCAAUCACACGGCCUACCACACUGGCGACCGCACGCCCGUGUGGCGUCGACAAUCACAUUUUUUGGCUUUUCACCGAUUUCUGUUUUCAGAGUUGCGUUUACACACCUGGUUUCUAUUCGCUGAGAAGGAAAACACCGAGCCUUUGAAACCUACAUUUGACCAAACAAUCACCAAUUAAUCACUUAUACCCUUACUCAAUCAAAAACACACGAGUUGACCAAGUGUUAACUAGCAACAAUGUUACCUUCAAUCGAGUAAAGAGGGAGGUUUUGCCCACUUAAUCACCAAUUAAUGAUCCUCCACCCCUCGAAUAACUCCUAGGCACCAACCAAAAUCAGAUAAGCAUUGAUUCAUUAGGCAAUAAGAUAACAAUAUACUAUCUACCCUUACCAACAACGUAAGAAGAGUACCAAUUACGAAGUGCAAGAACUUAUUAGCAAGUAGAUAUUGAUAACCAGAAAGACAGCACAGGAAAAACAGUCAGCUGCAAGGGAAAGAAAAGAAUCGACAAAAAGAAAUGAAAGGAAAGAAUGAAAAGAGGGGGAAGACUCGGCCAAGGGAAGAGGGGAACAUUUUCUUACCUUUUUCUAAAUAGUAAAUAUUUUGGAAAGCCAAAAGAGAGAGACCACAAGAACACUAAUUCGGCAGAAAACAAUAAGAACAUAAUCAACACAAUGAAGGUAGAAAAGGAAAUCGGCAAGGAAGAAAAACUAGCAGAAGUUUCGGCAGAGAACUUUCAGAAAUCAAAAAGAAAAUUUCGAUAAUGGGGAAACAAAACAACAGAGAGCAAAUUGUUAAAAAUGAAAGAGUGAGGGGAAAGUCGAACUUGCAACUACAGUUUGAAUGCUCUCAAACUCCUCACUCCUUAAUUUUCUCACCAUAUCCCUUAAUCCUCUCCCCAAAAUCGUCCACCUCUCCCUCAACCACCUAAUUCAAAUUCCACUCAAACUCUUCAGUAUUUCGGCUAAACUAGAACACCCACACGGCACAAGUAACAAAAUAAAACACUCCCUUGCAUAUACCAAGACCACCAACACUUUACCACUCCAUUUAUCCACUAGACUAGCAAGCCCAUUCUGACAUAUUUCACCAACAUUUAUUUAUAAGCAUACUGAUUAGAGAUAUGAGUUUAUUCAUUUAAGAACAAAAAUUUACUCAAGCUAAGAGUUGAACUUAGGACCUCCCAAACACUCCCAGAACACUUAACCACUGAAGCAGACAAAUAUUUGUAUCACAAACAUACAAAAAUAAAUAUAUAAAGGAUUUUUGGGGCGUUACAUCGGGUAUCCCCGAACUAUGAUUCUCAUUUUAAUUUGGUUUCCAAACUUCAAAAACGCUUUUAAUUACAUAUUCAAACUAUCAAUGUUAUAUCAAUCAUGCCCUUCUAUUAUUAAAAUCAUUAAUUUAAUCAGUAAAGGACACUUCAAAUCUUAUGUGACAUAAUUUAAAAUGAAAGUUUUAAAGAAAAGUAAAACAUUACCACAUAAAAUUUUAAAGUUAAAACUAAAAAUAAAGUAAAACUGGAAAAAAGAGAUAGUGAACAAUAAAGCUUUUGUAAAAGUUUCAAAAACCUCAAAAUCAAGAUUUUUACAACAUCCAUUUUUACAAUAUUCAUUUUUCUUUAAAAAUUUCAAUUUAAUCUAUGCCAUAUAAUAUUUGGUAAUUGAUUUAAUGGUUAAAUUAACAAUUUUAGUAAAAGGACAUUAUUGAUAUAACCACAAUAGUUUGAAGAUGUAUUGAGUGUUUUAAAGUUUGGGGACCAAUUUAGAAUAAAGGUUCUAGGUUGAGAAUAUAUGGUAAAACAAUUGAAGUAUAUUUAAUAUUAUUGAUUUGAUGUGUUUAUUUAUUUAAUUUAUUUUUAUUCAAGAUCUAAACUAUUUUUUAUUUUAGUUUCGUAGAUAUUACAUAUGAGGUAUUAUUAUUAGUUUCAAAACUUACGUUUAAUAUUCUUAAUAUGAUGUAAUUACCUAUUUAAAUUUUAUUUUACUUUCAAUUUAAACUAAUUUUUAUUUUAACUUUGUACAUGUUGCUAUUAGUUUCAAACCUUACGUUUCAUUAUUUAUUAUACAUUAUUUUUUUAACACAUACGCGUGUUCUAAAUGCACAGUUUCUAUGCACAUACAUGUUCUAGGAUAUUAUAAUCGUAUUUAAAUAUAUCGUGUCUUAUUUCUUAUGUUUUAAAGUUUAUUAAAUGUAUUUUAUUUAUAAUUUUAAAUUAUGUUUAAAGUUGGGUGAAAGUACCUUUAAAGUCCCUAUAUUAUAGAGUUUGGAUCAAAUUAAGCCCUCUAUGAUUAAAUGGAUCAAUUCAAUUAUUCUACGAUUAAAAAGAAUCAAAUAAGGCCAAAUUGGAACAAAUUUAUAAUUUAUUGUUUAAAAAAUGACAUAAAAAUAUUUUUUUUCAUUUAUAGUUCAUCUUCAAACAAAAAAAAUUCAUCUAUAAAAUCAUAAGAAGCUUUCAAAAUAUAACUUUGUUAAAUAGUAAAUGACAUCUUUUAAACAAUAAAUGUUAAUUAUGUUCCAAUUUUGCCUUAUUUUUUUUUAAUAGUACAAAGACUAAAUUGAUCCAUUUAAUAGUAGAGGGAUUAAUUCGAUAUGACCCCUAUGAUAGAGGGACCUGCUAGAUACAUUUAGCUUUAAAGUUGUGACUUAGCGAGACUAUUUCGAAAACUAGUAUCCUUUAAAAUAAUGUUUCUAUUCCACGAUCUAACUUGAUUAAUUAGUUAACAUGACCCGUCAACUGACAAGAUACUAGUGUCAUAGAUAAAUGGUAGAAAUAUUCAUUCCAAUAAAAAAAAUUAAUAUUAAAAAUGAUAAAUACACAAUAGUUACUUAUAUUUAAUAGAAAAUUUAUUGAAUUACUUUUUUUCUUUUAAGAUUAUACCAUCCUUUUAAGGCAGUAGCGGAGCUAAGGGGUUGGUAGACCCCUACCCCUUACAAUGGGAAAAUUUUCAUUUAGGCUAUUUAUAAUUUAUAAAAUUUUAAAUUAGUAAUGAUAAAAUUACACUUUGGCCCCCUUAAAAAUGAUAAAAAUUUGAUUAAUUCUUUAAAAAUUAUAAAGAUAUAGACUAUUAAAAUGGUAAAAUUACAUUUUUACUAUCAUAAAAUAUACAAUUUAAUUCCGCCACUGUUUUAUAUUUAAAUUAAUUACGCUUGAACUAGAAUGUCACAUUAUUCUCUAUAUAAUUUUUUUUUUACUUUUAGAUUUAUAAUAUUUUAUAUUUAAUAGUAUAUUUUAUUUCAAAUGUUUCAUAUUUAUACUCAAAGUCAUUUAAAUUUUGGGUUUGUUUCAUAAAAUGGUUUUAAAAAAUAAAAAUAAAAAUAUAAAACAUAAAACUUUUAUAAUUUAAAAUUUACAUUUAUCAAACAAUCUAUUUAUAUUUAAUAAUUAAUUUUAAGUAAUAUAUCAAAUAAAUUUUGUAAUUUAAAUUCAAUAUAUGUAAUUUUUUAACACUUAAUUUUUAAUUUAUUUUUUAUCCAUAUUUUUCUUCCCUUAUUGUGGGAGAUUCGGCCCCACCUUUGAAUAUUCAAAUAUUAUUGUUAUCAUAUAAUAGUUUAUAAUUAAACUGUUGUUGAUAUAAUAAAUUUAUGUAUUUAUAUUCCAACUCCAUUAUAUAUUUGAAGUUAUUUUUUAAAUUUAAGAUUUUAUUUUUCAAAAAUAGUUUAAUAAUUUUUAAUAUUUCCAGGGAUUAAUUUAUGAACCAUUUUAAUUUUAGUUGGAAUAACAAAAAAAGAAAAAGAAAAAGAAAGAAAAAAACUAUAAUAUCUUCUUUUGUAGCUAAUUUUUGUACCCAUUUUUUUUAUAGAAUUUACAAUUAUUUAUACUAAAUUAUGUUACAUGUACGUGAAAACUAUUAUAUAAUAAAUUUAUUAAAAUUGAUAUGAAAAUUAAAUAUUGCUUGGAGUAAAUUUGAUGAGAAUUUGAGUUUAAAUCCCAUUAUAUAUAUUUUCUUGGAUUCUAUAGGAAAAAGAUAAAAUCCUUAAAAUAUUAUUUACUAUUUUGUUAAAAUAAUGGUCUUUAAGCUAAUUGUGUUGAGACCCGAUUGAACAGUUACACCAACUCAAAUAAAUUUUUUAUAAAUAAUAGAAAUAUAAAAUCAUACUCAAUAAUUAAUAUACCUAAAGAUUUUUAUUUCCAUUUAUGGAAUAAAAAACAUACUCAAUUAUUGAAGUUCAAUGAAUUUGGUGUGAAGAAAGUAGAAAGGGCCGGGCUGCCUCAAAUAAAACUUUUCUGCCAAUUUGUUUGGCUUCCAACAUGACACGUGCCAAUUAGGAAAUACAUACGUAAACGGAAGGUAAGAAAACAACAGGUUGCGACUCUUUACAAUUAGAUCAGACCAUUACCACUAUGUUACGUCUUUUUAAUUAAUCAAUUUGAAUAUAAAUCAUAAUUAUUCUCAAAGAUAAGAUGGAUAAAUGAUGGUAUUUGUCGUCAUAAACUUUCACUUAUCACUAGUAAUUCUUUUUCGAAAAAUGGGUUGAUAGUAGAUAUUCGAUUGGUGACUUUUUUUCAACUUUUUAAUUGAUUUCUAUUUGAAGAGUUUUUUAAAAUAAUAAAUGAUUUCACGAAUCGAUUUAAACUCUGUUGUCUUUUAAGUCUUUACCUUUGAAAGUUUUGUCUUGUCUUGUACAAGCUUUUUAGUCUUGCUUUUGUAAGUAAUUUUAGAAAUGAUUUUUCGUUGUCCUCUCCUGUUUAGUGGAUGCUCGGUUCUUUUGUUGGUUCUGCACAUCGCUUUGGACCAUUGGGGGUUGAUUUCUUUAUCCUGAUAGUUGCUUGCAAUAACUUCAAAUAUGCCGUGCUUGAGUUGUGACAAAACCGGUUGUCAGCGUGUUGUAAUGUUCUAUUAAUGCUGAGGCUGAAGCCUCUGUCGUAUUGAUGGAGCUUAUCCUUCACUGUUGACAAUGGAUGUUUGUUUUUUUUUUCUUUUCCCCAAAUUUUAUGGUUCCAUUUAUGGAAUAGAGUAAUGAAAUUUUCCUUUCAAAUAAUAAUAAUUAAAUGUAGAGGUAGUUGCAUCGGGUAUCCCCGAACUAUGAUUCUCAUUUUAAUUUAGUUUCCAAACGUCAAAGCGCUUUUAAUUACAUAUUCAAACUAUCAAUCUUAUAUCAAUCAUGCCCUUCUAUUAUUAAAAUCAUUAAUUUAAUCAUUAAAGGACACUUCAAACCUUAUGUGAUAUAAUUUAAAAUGGAAGUUUUAAAGAAAAGUAAAACAUUACCGUAACUUUUAAAAGUUAAAACUAAAAAUAAAGUAAAACCGGAAAAAAGAGAUAGUGAACAAUAAAGCUUUUGUAAAAGUUUCAAAAACUUCAAAAUCAAGAUUUUUACAACAUCCAUUUUUACAAUAUUCAUUUUUCUUUAAAAAUUUCAAUUUAAUCUAUGCCAUAUAAUAUUUGGUAGUUGAUUUAAUGGUUAAAUUAACAAUUUUAGUAAAAGGACCUUAUUGAUAUAACUACAAUAGUUUGAAGAUCUAUUGAAUGUUUUAAAUUUUGGGGACCAAUUUAGAAUAAAGGUUCUAGGUUGAGAAUAUAUGGUAAAAUUAACUCUUAAAUGUAUUAACCUUCUAAAACAAUUGAAGUAUAUUUAAUAUUCUUGAUUUGAUGUGUUUAUUUAUUUAAUUUAUUUUUAUUCAAGAUCUAAACUAUUUUUUAUUUUAGUUUUGUAGAUAUUACAUAUGGGGUAUUAUUAUUAGUUUCAAAACUUACGUUUAAUAUUCUUAAUAUAAUGUAAUUGCCUAUUUAAAUUUCAUUUUACUUUCGAUUUAAACUAAUUUUUAUUUUAACUUUGUAUAUGUUGCUAUUAGUUUCAAACCUUACGUUUCAUUAUGUAUUAUACAUUAUUUUUUUAACACAUACGUGUGUUCUAAAUACAUAGUUUCUAUGCACAUACAUGUUCUAGGAUAUUAUAAUCGUAUUUAAAUAUAUCGUGUUUUAUUUAUUAUUCUUUAAAGUUUAUUAAAUGUAUUUUAUUUAUAAUUUUAUAUUAUGUUUAAAGUUGGGUGAAAGUACCUUUAAAGUCCCUAUAUUAUAGAGUCUGGAUCAAAUUAAGCCCUUUAUGAUUAAAUGGAUCAAUUCAAUUAUUCUACGAUUAAAAAGAAUCAAAUAAGGCCAAAUUGGAACAAAUUUAUAAUUUAUUGUUUAAAAAAUGGCAUAAAAAUAAUUUUUUUUCAUUUAUAGUUCAUCUUCAAACAAAAAAAUUUAUCCAUAAAAUCAUAAAAAGCUUUCAAAAUAUAACUUUGUUAAAUAGUAAAUGACAUCUUUUAAACAAUAGAUGUUAAUUAUGUUCCAAUUUGGCCUUAUUCGAUUUUUUUAAUAGUACAAAGACUAAAUUGAUCCAUUUAAUAGUAGAGGGACUAAUUCGAUACGACCCCUAUAGUAAAGGGACAUGCUAGAUACAUUUAGCUUUAAAUUUGUGACUUACUAUUUCGAAAACUAGUAUCUUUUAAAAUAAUGUUUCUAUUCCACGAUCUAACUUGAUUAAUUAGUUAACAUGACCCGUCAAUUGACAAGAUACUAGUGUCAUAGGCCGCACAAAUAAGCCGGCGACCAAGGCACACUCUAAUGUUCCCUCUUGUUCAUUGGGGGUCAUUCGGCCCGAUAAGACUGACCCAUUGCUUGGAAGAGAUUUAAGGCCUAUCUACUUGGAUCCUGGUUAAAUUGUAAACAUUGUAUUUUACCAAGGUAAUUAUUGUAAAUCCUAAAGGAUAAACAUGUAUAGGAUUUAAAUCCCUUAGAACUCUCAUAUUGUAGAUGGAAGAGACUAAAGUUCUAACCCUAUGACACUGGUACUUUUUAGGCUUUGUCGAGUCGACAUUGUGAGCAGAAGCUGAUAUUGUUCUCUUUAGAUACUCCACAAAUUCCUCAAGGUUUUUCCAUUUGAAGGUGCAACUCCUGAAGUUCGAACCUAGGACCCUUAUAUUAUAUUCCUUUUUGCAGCCAUCUUAGCUUGAUUAAAUGGUAUGAUGGUUGUGAAAAAGGAUGGGGAGGUCUUAGGUUUGAAUUUGAGGAGACACACCUUUAGGGACAAAGACUUCAGAGACCUAUGGCGGGUGCCCAAAGAGGAUAAUACUAACUUAUGCUUACAACUUUGGCGAUUGAUGGGUUGUGACAUUACUAGGCACACUACAAUAAUUUUUUUCUAUUAGUGGCGUCUAAUGCCAUUAAAAAUUAUAUUCAUAUAACUAUUUAUAUUUGGUGACGUAAAAUUCAUUGUCAUGAUGUUCCUCCUGUUAAGUGUGUCACUAAAGGUUAAGAGAAACAUUUAUUAUUUUUCACUACGUAUUGUCAAGAAUAUGGUGAUGAUAUUGUAUAAUGUCACAUUUUAAUUAAUAUUCAAUGACAACUACUAUCAUCACCAAAUUAUAUAAGAUCUCAUCAUUGGUUAUUCGUCUCAUCAUCAAUAAUGAAAUAACAUUCUAUAUAUAGGUGACGAAAGCAACAUCGUCAUGGUGUUAAUGACGUACUAUAUCGUCACUUAAUAUGAUCAAAUAAUAGCAUGAAUGGCGAUAAUCAGUAGUUGGUUAUAGUUGAUUUCGUCACUAAAUCAUAUACAUAAUUGACAUUGGUUAUAAAAAUUAUCACAAAAUAAGCAUCGUUGCAUAGUUAAUGGCGUAAUAUAUCAUCACUUAUAUGCUAAAAUAAUAUGCAAAAAUGACUCCUAUAUGGGGAGGUCUUGGGUUUGAACUUGGGGCCCAAGUCCGGGGGACAAAAUCUUGAGAGAUGACAAAAAUAGAGUAAUCUCUUGAAUUUUAUUGAUAGACCUCAAGGGUAUAUAUAUACAAUAGUAGUUAUGUUGGAAUCAAAUUGCUAAAAGAUAAUAUCUCAUAGUAAUAUUCUAUGGGGGUGCUUAAAGAGGACAAUACCAACUUGUGCAUACGACUUUGGCAAUCGAUGGGUCGUGACAUUACUUGAUAAAACUCUAGAAUAACGUAUUUUUAUGUAUUAAUUAUGUAUUUAUUCUGAGUAUGAUUCUGCUAAUUUGAGUUAUUUAUGAUCUUUUAUCUCAUAGGGAUUAAAUUUAAGGCAAAAACAAAAUUAAGGGCCAAAAGCGUGAAUUUAGAGAUAAAAUGGGCCAAUGUGCGACACAAGGAAAAGUUGGUGCCAAAAGUGCAAGCAUGGAGGAAACAAGGGUUGAAAUGCAAAAAGAAGAGAUUUUAUUUUAUCAGACUCUAUUUUAAUUAUAUUAGGAUAAUUAAUAUUAAGAUAAUUAUUAAGGAUUAUUUAAUUUUAGGAUUUUAUUUUAUUUAUCUUUAUUUAUCUUCAAUUAAAUGUAUUUAUCUUUUAGGAGUUUAAGUAGGAUUAGACUAUCUCUCCUAGCACUAUAAAUAUGGGGUGAAGUGACUCAAGAGGCAUCCAUCUUUUUCUGUAAACACUCUCUCCCCAAAAGUCUAGGCUUUUGUUCUUCUCAUAUUUCCUUUCAAUAAAAUCUCCAUUUUCAUUUUAUUUAUUUUCUUUUCAACCACAACCAUGAGCCACUAAACCCAUCUAGCCGAAAGUUGUCGAUAUUCCCCAAAAAGGGUUCUUGAGGCUUAGAGUCCGUACUUAGCCUCCUCGUUGAGUAUUCAUCGUUUCUCCGCACUACGGGGGUGACACUUCCAUCCAUCUCCCUUAAGAAGUAAGCUUUUCAACGUAUGCAAAGGCGGUCGCUUUGUAUGUUUUGGGAAGGUUGCACAGUCUGUUCGUUAGCUUACUGUGUCAGAGGUUCGUGAGCCCAAGAGACAAAAUGGCGUGGGAUUCGCCAUUGAGAAGCACUGAUCUAGCAUAAGACGAUCCCACAGAAGCCAUUAUUGGCUAGAGUCAGGUUCCACUAAAUCGUAAGUCUAAAUCCUUGAGCUGGUAGUCAUAGGCAUCCUCUUCCACUAUAACUGGCUUAUUCAAUUUGGGAAGGAUCAUCAAAAAGCCGAGGAUUGAACCCAAUGUGGAACGAGACAACUAGAGGCUGGAAUCUCCCAUAAGAAUUUUCUUUCUCUUAACUCUAUUUUUAAUUUCUCAAAUUUUUGAUUCAAUAUUCUUAAUUCUGUUUUUAUUUUAUUUUAUUUUUUAGAUCCAAACCUUUAAUUUUUUUAUUUUAUUUUUUUCCAGGAACGCAAGUUUUCUUGGGCAAGAUUCUGCUUAGGAUUUCACGGAACAAGAUAGUGUGCAAGUCCAGUCCUUAAGGAUUUUACCCUACUUCCAUUUUACUAUUCUUUUUCAUUAUUUAUUAGGGAUAGGAUAUUUUUGGUGCUUUCAACGACCGCAUCAAAUUUACUAUUCUUUUUUCGUAACUUGUUUUUUGUUUCUUAUGACCAGAUCUGAUCCAGGUACUCUUGCGUUCGAUUCAGAAAUUGAGAAGACUGCUAGAGCCAAUCGCAAGGAGACAAAGUUACGGAAAAAUCAGUCAGCGAUGGUUGGAACUCAAAGUAACCCACCGCCAGAAAUCGAAGUCGACGACGAAGCUGAAACUAGGGUUAACAAAAACCCUACUCAAACACUUGAAAGUGAAAAAGCAGAAGUCGACACACUAGAAGAAGUGUUUAACGCUAGGGUUAACGAAAACCCGAAUCUAGCAUACCAACCAAUGGCUCAAACGAUUCGGCAACUAGCCGAAGCUUCGACAGAACAACCGCCAUUGUGCAUCGCGUAUCCUACUGUGGAUACCGAUUUUGAGUUGAAGUCAGGUUUAAUCCAGUUACUGCCAACUUUUCGUGGGUUGCAAAAUGAAGAUCGCCACAAGCAUCUGAAAGAGUUUCAUAUGGUUUUUCUUAGCAUGAAACCUUAGGGGGUAAUUGAGGAUCAGAUUAAAUUGCGUGCUUUCCCUUUCUCCCUAGCAGAUUUUGCUAAGGAAUGGUUAUUUUAUUUACCCCCUGGAUCUAUUACAACUUGGGUUGAUCUAUCUCGUUUGUUUCUGAACAGGUUUUUUCCAGCGUUUCGAGUAGCUGAACUAAGAAGAGAGAUCGUUGGAAUAAGGCAAAAAGAAGCUGAGUCCCUUUACAACUAUUAGGAGCGGUUUAAAAAGUUGUAUGCAAGCUGCCCAUAACAUGGUAUAACGGAGCAAUCUCUCCUCUAAUGCUCUUUCGAAGGUUUGAAGCCCAUGGAGAUGAAUAUGGUAGAUGUCGUUAGUGGAGGAGCAUUGGUCAACAUGACUCCCCAACAAGCGAGAGGCUUGAUCUCCACGAUGGUUACAAAUUCUCAGUAGUUCUGAGCCAAUACUGAACCCCUAGAAGGGUUCACCAGCUAAGUAAUUCAACCUUAGAGGAUAAAGUUGAUAGACUUACUAAUAUGAUGAACUCUCUUAUUAUAAAAAAAAGCGAAGACAACCCGGUUAUGCGGAAUAUGUACUACACCUGAUCAUGCAACUGAUGCAUGUCCCAAUUUGUAUGAUGAUACCAUGGCCCAUCUGGAUACUGCGGGAAAUUUUCCUGGGCCGCCAUAAAGGCAAUACGACCCCUACGCUAAUACCUACAACCCAGGGUGGAAUAACCACUCCAACUUAAGUUAUGGCGCCAAUCCACGAAAUAACCAGCCAUACCAAAAUCGAUUUCCGCAACAAUCGUAAGGUUCAGGUAAUUUUCUAAAAACCAUGGUCAAUAAGUUAGCAGUUAAUGUUCUUAAUUUUCAACAACAAACUCUUAAUUUCCAAAAAGAGAGGAAGGAUUUCCAACAGAAAACUGAGACGUCCAUCAGAGAGUUGACCACAUCGAUCGAGAAAUUGACCUCUCAAGGGAAGCUGCCGUCACAAACAGAACCAAACCUAAGACAAAAUGCAAAUGCAGUGACGUUACGAAGCGGAAAGGUACUGGAACUGAUUCCUGACAGGAAUCUUGACCAAGAAAUCGCCCAGGAAAAACUAAAGAAAGACGAACAAGUCUGAUCGAAGCCUCCAUUGCCUAAAAUUCAACCUCCAUUUCCAGAACGAUUCAACUAGUGUCGAAGAGGUAAAGAGGACAAGGAAAUCCUUGAAACAUUUAGGAAUGUCGAGAUCAACAUUCCGCUUUACACCAAUAAGCGAAAAUUAAUAGGUAAUGAAAGGGUGAAUAUUGGUGAGAAUGUAUCCGUAGUGUUACAGCGGAAAAUGUCGGCAAAAUGCAAGGAUAGGUGCAUGUUUGCAACACCACGCAAAAUAGGCCAUCUGGGGAUUAAGAAGGCUAUGUGUGAUCUAAGGGCUUCUAUAAUUGUAAUGCCAUAUUCUAUUUAUGAAUCACUUAACGCGAGUUUUUUAAACCAAAAUAGGUGUUAUCAUUCAAUUGGCGGACAUGUCUGUUGUGCAUCCAAAAGGAGUCCUUGAGGAUAUUCUAGUAAAAUUUAACGAGCUUAUUUUCCCUGCAGAUUUUUAUGUGAUCAAAAUGGAGGAGGAUAGCACUCUUGGAUCUUCAGAUCUCCUGUUGGGUAUACCAUUCCUUAGUACAGCUAGUACUAAAACCGACGUUCAAAGUGGAACUCUCACGAUAGAGUUUGAUCGGGAGACCGUAAAAUUUAAUGUCUACAAUGCCAUUAGCCAUCCAAGCGAAAUCUUGAGCGUAAAUUGUAUUGACACAAUUGACUCUUUAGUGGAAAAGAAUUUUGAGUCAAUUUAUGGAGAUAAUUAUAAACUUGAUAAAUUUGAAUUUGUCAAUGAGUUAUUAUCUCCAAAUACUAAACUGUUACCUUCUGUUAUACAGGCACCAGAGUUGGAGUUAGAACCCGUAGGAAAGGCAAGGAAAUUAGACAUCCAAGAGUUAGAAGAAAUUUGCAAUAAUGCCUACGAGAAUGCUCGCAUUUAUAAAGACAAGACAAAGUUGUUUCACGAUAAGAGAAUAGCUCAGAAGCAUUUUUCAGUAGGACAAAAAGUUUUACUUUAUAACUCCGUUGUAGAAGCCCAAAUUUGCCAGCCCAUACUAGCAAAACAAAACCAAACAAAAUGUUAAAAAGUCCAGAUACAUUAAACCCAAAUUCAAGCCCAAUUGCCCAAACCCUAAGCCCAAACCUAAUAGCCCAUAACAAAUUUUUAACAGCAGCAAACCCUAGCCCCUACUGCCCUAGGUGCACCGCAAGCCUCUGCCAGCCUCCCCCGCAUGACGUCGCUGCCGCUACUCGCCUAUCGCCCCAUCCACGCGUCUGACACCUGCAAAAUGAAGCCACACGCAACAGCAAGAAAGCCAAAUAGCAAAGUGACAAAAAAAUAGAAAUAACAAGUUGUAAAAUGGCUAUAAAAAGCCACAAUGAACAAUAGUUCCUUCUUCUGGACGUUUUACGAAUAUCAGAAAUAAAAGAAAUAAAAGGUCGCUGUUUGUGUUCUUCUUCUUUUUUUUUGUCGAUUUAUUAUUAUUUUUUAUAAAAUCGCUUUUUCUUCUUUUUAAAAAAAUAACUAUUAAUAAAUAAAGAAAUAAAAAGGGAGAAGAAGGGUCACCUGAAUCGCCGCAAGCCCCGUCACCGGAAGUCCCUCCUUUGUCGCCGGAAUCGGGCUAGAACGGGUGUGAGGAAUCCUUUUUUUUGGGUUUUCUUUGGAUAAGAAGGCUUGGCCUUUGAGCCCGCCGUAAAACGGGGCUGAAACACCCUUUUGCGCAACACCGGCCACCGGCCACGGCAGCGCUUCGGCGGCUCAUGGCCGGAAGCCUUAACCGGAUUUUAGGGGGGUUUGAGAGAGAGUUUGAGAGACUCUCAGUUUUUUUGUUGAAAAAAAAUGAAGCUAAUGAUUUUUUUGUUUAAAUUUUGAUAUUUAUAUGGUGUUCAAAACGACGCCGUUUUGAUUGUAAGAAACAAUAGCCAAAACGACGUCGUUUUGCGUCUGACCCGGUUCGACCCGACCCGAAUGGCAAAGAAUCCGCGCGUUUUCAAAGUUCAAGGGAUAUUUGCACUGUGGGUCCUUCGCUUUGUCGCACGCUUUCAAUUGGAUCCUUUCUGUUCCUUCUUUUGAGUUUCUUAAUCUGCCCCCAUGUUUUUGCGCUUAUUUCAUUUCAGUCCUGAGUCACACCUCUCAUUUAUCUACAGUUUGGACCCCCCAGAUUUUGGUUUGAUUUUAUUUUCAUCCUUUAAUUCGUUUAUUUACUUUUUAAAAAGAGAAAGAGAGUUCCUUUAUUAUUUAUUUUAAGUUAUAUAUAUAUUAUUUAUCUAAUAUUGUUCUUAUUAUUUGUAUUAUUUGAUUCAAGUCAAUAUAAAUACAUGUAUGCAUUUUUAUAAUACACGUACAUAUUUUUCCCAAUUUAUAUGUAUACAUACUUAUACAUAUAUUCUUUAUAUUCUAUAUACAUUUUUAUUUCCAUAUAUAUAUACAUACGCACUCAUAUAUUUUUGUUUAUAUACAUCUUUCUAUUUUCACGAAUAUAUACAUACUUAUAUAUAUAUUUUAUAUUCUAUAAUUUUUAUGUACAUAUAUCCAUUUCUUUUAAAUACGUAUAUACUUUUUAAGUCUUAUAAUGUUAAAAUACAUAUAUACGUAUAUACUUUUGAUAUUUUUUUAAAUAUAUAAAUUGUCAUUAUUUACUUAUAUUUUUAUUAUUUUCAAACUUUGAUGUGUACUUACAUAUAUAUCUUCUUACAUUCUUUACAAUUUUAUCUAUUUACGUUUUCAUCAUUAUUUUAAAAUAUUUUAAUCUCACUUGCUUAUAUGUUUGUUUUCUUGUAUGUCGUUGAUUUGUCUUUUUUUAUUUAUCUUAUCUUUGAUGCUAUUGCUCGUAUUAUUAUUUUACUUACAUUAUCAUCAUUGUUAUUCCAUUACGCCCAUUUUUACUCAGAUUUGUAAAAAAGGAAGAUUUCGAAAAUAAAUGCAAUACUCGAUACUUGGGAUCUUCGAGAGAAUUGGGCCCUAACGAGCUGAGUUCUAAUUUUUUUCAUUGAAUCUAAAUAAUCGAGAAUGCUCUUUAAUAAAAAAUAAAUAAAAGCUCAUUAUCGGGAUUUCAAUACGUUGUGUCCUAACGCAUUGGAUAUGACAUGUUGUUUUCUUGAUACGAGGAUUUUUCGAAAAUAAAGGCAAUAUUCCGUAUUUCGAAAAUUCGAGAAAUCGUGCCCUAACUUACUGAGCUUCGAUUUUUCUCGCGUUGAUCCUGAAUAACUGAAUAUCCUUUGAAAAUUGAAAUAAAUGAGGUUUAAAUAAAAAAUAAAAGGCAAGCUUACUCUCAAAAAUACGAGGUGUUGUGUCCUAACUUACUGGAUGUGACAUCUUGUUACUUCGAGAUAAGGAGGCAUUUUCCAUUUUGAUUUAUUUGAGUAAUUUUAAAAAUAACACAAUAUAAAGAGGGAUCGUAUUUUUAAAUUCUUUUCGAGUUUUUUUUAAUUUUCGACACCAAUACAUUAAGUAAUCAACUAGGUACCAAUUUUGGGCGUAUCGAGGGUGCUAAUCCUUCCUUGUUCGUAACCGACUCCCGAACCCAUUUUUUUGAAUAUCGUAGACCAAAAUUGUGGUUUUAAUAAAAUCAAACCGUUUAUUAAAAACUACCACUUUUCAAGGUGGUCCGAUCACACCUUAUCAAAAAAGAUUGGUGGCGACUCCUUUUUUUUCGUUUUCAUUUUCAAAAUCCAAGUCGACCCCGUUUUUAUCAAAAAAAUGGUGUCAACAGCUUGGCGACUCCACAGGGGACACUUAAAAAGAGAGUCAAGCCACGUGUUGAUUAUUUUUGUCUUCUUGUCGAAAAUAAAAAACUUGGUUUAAAUGUAUGAUCAUUUCGUUGCAUUUCAUUCGUCUUUAUUUCGGUUUUAUCAUUGUGAUUUGAUUGCUGUGGUUGUUUAAGUUUUGUAUACUGCUGCAUUGCAUUGCAUGAUCGGUUGAUCUUACCCUUUUAAGUGGGAGUAAGAAACUAGUCCUUCGUGAGGUCUUCACCUCCGUGCAGGAUAGUGGAUCGCUUUCGGGAUACAUCCGUACCUAUGUCUUCAUGAGAUUUUCAUCUCCGUGCAGCCAUAGGGAAAUGUAUUCCCUUGAACUGAACUUGGUCCGUAUGAGGCUAUAAGGGGUGAGGAUCGAGGAAUCUGCUGGUUCGGGUACCUUUGCUUUAGAACCAUGCCACAUGUAAAAGACCUUAGGAGCCCCCUAGGUAGAGCCACUCCAAACCCCUAGUGAUCACCCGAACAGGUGCUCUAUUUGUUUCUUUCUUGCUUAUUUUUGCUUUGUACUAACCGUUUCGUGUUGAUGUGGUUAUGAUUACAUUGCAUUUUUCAUCAUAAAAGAGGUGUUGAUUCACGUUCAGUAUCUAAAUAGAGAGCUUGUCAUAAGAAAAUGAGUUUCAUGAUAAAGUGGAAAAUAAUACGGUCGUCCUAAUACGUCUAAGAAAACGUAACGAGGGAAGGAUAAGUGCGUAACUUUGCUUCGUUGCUAGAAGAUUCAAACUGACGAAGAUUAUUCGAGAGCUACUAACGGAGCUAAUGACGUGAGGAUAAAUGACCAAUGGGGCACGACCCAGAUCAAGCAAACACGGUGAUAGAAGAGGCAUCUAUUUGGAGAGUUCGCGAGAUUCGAUCUUAGCAUUUGGAUGUAAGGAUCAAUGUAUUCACUCCGAGUAUUAGGGUAAUAUGUAAAUAUCCGUUUUAUGUAAAGAUAUGUGUUUUCUAGAAAAGUUGUUCUAAUUGAAUUGAACCAAGAAUCAAUGUCUCUUUUUGCAUUCAUGCAUCUGCAUUACAUUUCAUUGCAUGCACCUUUUCAUUCAUUAACAUUACAAUUCAUUGAAUACAAUAAUUUUCCUAAAAUCCAAAAGCACAUUGAGUUCAGAACUCUAGUACAGAGCCAGAUCGAUGAUAAAGAAUUAGAAUUCUUUGAAAAUAUCGAUGGUUCAAGAGGUAAAGAUGUUUGUGCCUUUGAAGAAGGUACUAAAAAAAACCUAUCAGGAAUUUGUUUCUAUAUCCUUAGAGGCGUUCUGGACAACGGGAAUGUGGAGGAGAUUCUUGUGUUUUCAGGACCAGUUCAGAGUAAUAUUCAGAACACUCUUAUUGCUCUAAGCCUGGGAGCAAUAGAAAAUCCUUUUGUGAAGAAGGCACAUGUCCACUAUUCUUUAUUUCAACGAAAUGCAUCUUUGUGUCUUGUUUUGGCAAACAUUCUUUUGUUCCUUCCAUUUCAUUCAUACUCAUACCACACAAAUAAUUCCCCUUUGAUUCAUUAGUUCUUUGAGUCUUUUUUUGUUCCCUAGAACAUGUCUCCAGAUAUCAAUGAUAUGAGCGACACUGCUACUGACUCAGAACUUUCUUUUGAGCAAGAUAUGUUUCUAGAGGAACCUCCAAACUUCGAAGAUGAUCGAGACUGUAGCUUAUCUCCUGAUUUGUUAAGGAUGGUAGAGCAAGUCGAAAAAUAGAUCCUAGCUUACAAAAAAAUCAGUUGGAAAUUGUGAGCUUAGGAGAAGAGCAAAAGGUGAAAAUCAGAGCCUGUAUCACCGCAGAGACAAAGCGGGACGUCAUUGAGUUACUCUGAGAAUUCAAAGAUGUUUUCGCAUGACUAAGAUAUGCCUGAGCUACCAAGGCGUGUGGAUGCUGUUGAGGCUAAGAAAGUAUUAGAAAAUGUCCAUAAAAGUGUCUAAGGAACACAUGCAUUGAUUUUACAAAGGCCAAGUAAAUCAUGAGAUUUAGGUACCGCUGGUCCACCAUGGAAGGGGAUUGCAUCAGUUAUACCAAGAAACGCCACAAGGGCCAAAUUUACAGAGAUAAGAUUUAUGUGCUUCCUUUAUCUCUUCAUUUUAUGACUUUUCCAUUGACUUUCUCUAUGAGGGGCAUGGAUGUCAUUGGGCCGACCUCGCCAAAAGCUUCUGGAGGUUAUUGAUUCAUCUUUGUGGUUGUCGAUUACUUCAUAAAGUGGGUAGAGGUUGUUUCAUAUGCCAAUAUCGCAAAACUGACAAUCAGCAAAUUUCUUGAAGAAUCAUAUGUCAAUAUGGAAUGCCAAAAAGGAUCAUAUUAGACAAUGCAUUAAAUUUGAACAACCGCAUGACAUCAGAAGUUUGCAGUCUGUUCAAUAUUAACACCAUGUCGCCCCAAAAUGAACAGUUCAGUGGAGGCAAAAAAACCAAAAACCAAAAACCAAAAACACAAAACUAAAAUAAAAGAACAAAAUAGACAAAAAAAAAAACAAAAAAAACCUCUACUGGGGCACCUCAUUUCUCAUUGGUAUAUGGAAUAGAGGCAGUAUUACCCAUCGAAGGUGAUAUUUCUUCCCUUCGAGUCUUGUCAGAAUUAAAGUUGGAUGAAGCAGAAUGGAUCCAAGCCCGAUAUAAUCAGUUAAAUUUGAUCGAAGAGUAAGGGUUGAAAGCUAUCCGUCACGGUCAGAUGUACCAAAAGCGAAUGAUACGAGUUCACUAAAAAAGGUUUGCUCCAGAGAAUUCCAUGAGGGGGACCUAAUAUUGAAGAAGAUCCUUCUCAUACAAAAGGACUUUAGAAGAAAGUGGAUGCCAAACUAGAAAGGACCUUAUGUGGAAGGCCUUAUCUGAAAAAGCAUUGAUAUUGACCAAGAUGAAUGGCAAGAACCUGCCUAAUUUUGAGAAUUUUGAUUCAAGCAAUAAAUACUUCACUUGAAAAAAAAGAAACACAAAAAGGAAAGAAAAAAGAAAAGAAGAAAAAUGAAAAAGAAAAAGGAGAGGCCAAGGUGAAAACCAGCAAAGGGCACCUUGAGACCAAAAGGGGUUUUGAAUUGAAAACCCAAAAAUGGGUAGUUCAAAUUUCGAUCAAAUGCGGGGCAUACGGUAGUCUUGCCCUCUCUGAAUUAAUAAGAAGGAGAGAUGCUACAUCUUGGGGCAUCAACAAAGUCUUUUAGGACUUCUAAAUACAUGUCAAGUUCAAAAAGGGUCCUCAAGAAGUUUGGAGCAGAGAAGCUCAUACUACGAUAUCGGGGGCACCUAUUUCCAUUUUAUUUAUUUUUUGUAUUUUGACAAAAUACGCCAUCUUGAUUAAUUUAUUCUCAUUUUGUAUUUUAGCAAAAUUUGCUAUCUUGAUUAAUUUAUUCAUUUAGAGCUUUGCUCUCAACAAAUUUUCAUCUUAUCUAUUAUGAUAAUCUUUUUCAUCUUAUACAUCUCGUAUCUCAGCAAAAUUUGCUAUCUUGAUUGAUUUGUUUGUUUAGAGCUUUUCUUUCAACAAAAUUUCAUUUUGUCCAUUUUGAUAAUCUUUUUCAAGCAUUUUUCAUUGAAAUAACAAUUAAUGGACUGACAAUACUCAUGCAGAAGGAGUUCUGCAUAUUACUCUGAAAGUUUCUAAAUAAUACGAUGACCUGAAAUAGGACUAUUGUUUAGAACUGACCAAACCUGAGGGUUGAAAACAUUUGAGAAAUGAUAGUCUAAUUUAAGACUAUUUCUUUGAAUCUUCUGUCAAAGAUACUUGCUGAACGCGAAAACAUCAGUGAUAGAACCUUGAUGAACAACAAGGAACGACAAUCCAAACAUUAAAAAGGGAUCAUUCUCGAAAAAUGACAUUCUGCAUUCAUGCAAAUAUCAUACAUACAAAUCUAGUUAGGAGCAUUUGAUUCAUUCUAAUCACGACAUCCUAAACACUAGGCAUAAAUAGGUCCAUGAAAUGGAUUUUACAAGUCAUGUUCCCCAGAGAACAGAUCAAAGAAACAGAUCCUGUACCCCUGAAGUUGCAGUGGGAUGGAUUGAAGACAUUAAAGCAGAUCUUGUCUUCAUGUAUUGACGUGAAGUAGAUCGAAGAUUAUAAGUCCUGUCUUCUUAUAUUGGUAGGAAGUGGAUCGAAGAUGCAGGUCUUGUCUUCCUAUAUUGGUAGGAAGUGGAUCGAGGAAAGCAGAUCUUGUCUUCAUGUAUUGGCGUGAAGUAGAUCGAAGAUGGUAGGUCCUGUCUUCCUAUAUUGGUAGAAAGUGGAUUGAAGAUGCAGAUCUUGUCUUCCCAUACUGGUGGUGAAGUAGAUCGAAGAAAGCAGAUCUUGUCUUCAUGUAUUGGCGUGAAGUAGAUCGAAGAUGGUAGGUCCUGUCUUCCUAUAUUGGUAGGAAAUGGAUCGAAGAUGCAGGUCAUGUCUUCCUAUAUUGGUAGGAAGUAGAUCAAAGAAAGCAAAUCUUGUCUUCAUGUAUUGGCGUGAAGUAGAUCGUUGAUAGCAGGUCCUGUCUUCUUAUAUUGGUAGGAAGUGGAUCGAAAAUACAGAUCUUGUCUUCCUAUACUGGUGGCGAAGUAGAUCAAAGAAAGCAGAUCCUGUCUUCAUGUAUUGGCGUGAAGUAGAUCGAAAAUGGUAGGUCCUUUCUUCUUAUAUUGGUAGGAAGUGUAUCGAAUAUGCAAAUCUUGUCUUCCCAUACUGGUGGCGAAGUAGAUCAAAGAAAGCAGAUCUUGUCUUCAUGUAUUGGCGUAAAGUAGAUCGAAGAUAGCAGGCCCUGUCUUCCUAUAUUGGUAGGAAGUGGAUCGAAGAUGCAUAUAUUGUCUUCCCAUACUGGUGGCGAAGUGGAUCGAAGAAAACAGAUCUUAUCUCUCUGAAGUUGCAGUAGAGAAGAUCUUAUCAAACCUUAUCUCUCUGGCGAUGCAGUGGGGCAGAUUAAAGCUACGAUGGCAAAUCUUGCUUCCCCGACAUUGCAAUUUAAAAGAUUGAAGCCACAACGGCGAAUCUUACUUCCCAGGCGAUGCAGUGGGGCAGAUUAAAGCUACGAUGGCGAAUCUUGCUUCCUCAACAUUGCAAUUAAAAAGAUUGAAGCCGCAACGGUGAAUCUUACUUCCUUGGUGGUGCAGUAGAUCAGAUUGAAGCUACGACGGCGAAUCUUGCUUCCCUGACAUUGCAAUUAAAAAGAUUGAAGCCGCAAUGGUGAAUCUUACUUUCCUGGUGGUACAGUGGAACUGAUUGAAGCUACAAUGGCGAAUCGUGCUCCCCGACAUUACAAUUAAAAGGAUUAAAACCACCGAUCUUAUCUCCGUAAGCAGUAGUGGAGUAGAUCGAAGAUGGCGUAUUUUACCUCCCUAAGAUUACAGUGGAGUACAUUGAAGCUAGUAGUUCUAUCUCCCUGGGCAGCAGUGGAAUAGGUUGAAGAUUGUAGAUCUUAUCUCCCUAAGCAGUAGUGGAACAGAUCGAAGAUGGCAGAUUUUACCUCAUUGAGAUUACAGUGGAGUACAUUAAAGCCAGCAGUCUUAUCUCCCUAAGCAGUAGUGGAGCAGACAAAAGAAACUAGAUCUUAUCUCCCUAAGUAGUAGUGGAGCAGAUCACAUCAAGUCUUAUCUCCCUAAGCAGUAGUGGAGCAGACGAAAGAAAACAGAUCUUAUCUCCCUAAGCAGUAGUGGAGCAGAUCACAUCAAGUUUUAUCCCCCUAAGCAGUAGUGGAGCAGACGAAAGAAACCACAGAUCUUAUCUCCCUAAGCAGUAGUAGAGCAGAUCGCUUCAAGUCUUAUCUCCCUAAGCAGUAGUGGAGCAGACGAAAGAAAACCAAUCCUAUCUCCCUGAACUUGCAGCGGAGUGGAAUAAAACCACAAAUCUCAUCCCCAUAGAGUUCCAGUAGAGUAGAUUUAAGUUGUAUCUCUCUGAAGUGCAAUGAAGUGGAUUGAAGCUAUAAGUCGUAUUUCUCUGAAGAUGCUGUGAAAAGGAUCGGAGAAAUAAGACGCAGUGGAAUAGAAUGAGGCUACUUGAAGAAGAUGAGCACAAAGAAGUCAAGACUCGGCAAGCCCGGGCAAAUUUGGUCUUUCUUGGUCUUUGCUCUGUUCUCGUUACAUGAAAACGAGCAAAGAGGGGCAGCUGUAGAAGCCCAAAUUUGCCAGCCCAUACCAGCAAAACAAAACCAAACAAAAUGUUAAACAGUCCAGUUACAUUAAACCCAAAUUCAAGCCCAAUUGCCCAAACCCUAAGCCCAAACCUAAUAGCCAAUAACAAAUUUUCAACAGCAGCAAACCCCAGCCCCUACUGCCCUAGGUGCGCCGCAGCCUCUGCCAGCCUCCCUCGCAUGCCGCCGCUGCUGCUACUCGCCUAUCUCCCCAUCCACGCGUCUGACACCUGCAAAAUGAAGCCACACGCAACAGCAAGAAAGCCAAAUAGCAAAGUGACAAAAAAAUAGAAAUAACAAGUUGUAAAAUGGCUAUAAAAAGCCACAAUGAACAAUAGUUCCUUCUUCUGGACGUUUUACGAAUAUCAUAAAUAAAAGAAAUAAAAGGUCGCUGUUCGUGUUCUUCUUCUUUUUUUUUGUCGAUUUAUUAUUAUUAUUUUUUAUGAAAUCGCUUUCUCUUCUUUUUUAAAAAAUAACUAUUAAUAAAUAAAGAAAUAAAAAGGGAGAAGAAGGGUCACCUGAAUCACCGCAAGCCCCGUCGGCGGAAGUCCCUCCUUUGUCACCGGAAUCGGGCUAGAACGGGUGUGAGGAAUCCUUUUUUUCAGGUUUUCUUUGGAUAAGAAGGCUUGGCCUUUGAGUGCGCCGUAAAACGAGGCUGAAACACCCUCUUGCAAAACGCCAGCCACCGGCCACGGCGGCGCUUUGGAGGCUUAUGGCCGGAAGCCUUAACCGAAUUUUGGGGGGGUUUGAGAGAGAGUUUGAGAGACUCAAUUUUUUGUUGAAAAAAAUGAAGCUAAUGAUUUUUUUGUUUAAAUUUUGAUAUUUAUACGGUGUUCAAAACGACGCCGUUUUGAUUGUAAGAAACAAUAGCCAAAACGAUGUCGUUUUACGUCUGACCCGGUUCGACCCGACCCGAAUGGCAAGGAAUCCGCACGUUUGCAAAGUUCAAGGGAUAUUUGCGCUGUGGGUCCUUCGCUUUGUCGCACGCUUUCAAUUGGAUCCUUUCUGUUCCUUCUUUUGCGUUUCUUAAUCUGCCCCCAUAUUUUUGUGCUUAUUUCAUUUCAGUCCUGAGUCACACCUCUCAUUUAUUUACAGUUUGGACCCCCCAGAUUUUGGUUUGAUUUUAUUUUCAUCCUUUAAUUUGUUUAUUUACUUUUUAAAAAGAGAAAGAGAGUUCCUUUAUUAUUUAUUUUAAGUUAUAUAUAUUAUUUAUCUAAUAUUGUUCUUAUUAUUUGUAUUAUUUGAUUUAAGUCAAUAUAAAUACAUGUAUGCAUUUUUAUAAUACACGUACAUAUUUUUCCCAAUUUAUAUGUAUACAUACUUAUACAUAUAUUCUUUAUAUUCUAUAAUCUAUAUACAUUUUUUAUUUCCAUAUAUAUAUACAUACGCACUCAUAUAUUUUUGUCUAUAUACAUAUUUCUAUUUUCACGAAUAUAUAAAUACUUAUAUAUAUUUUAUAUUCUAUAAUUUUUAUGUACAUAUAUACAUUUCUUUUAAAUACAUAUAUACUUUUUAGGUUUUAUAAUGUUAAAAUACAUAUAUACGUAUAUACUUUUGAUAUUUUUUUAAAUAUAUAAAUUGUCAUUAUUUACUUACUUAUAUUUUUAUUAUUUUCAAACUUUGAUGUGUACUUACAUAUAUAUCUUCUUACAUUCUUUACAAUUUUAUCUAUUUACGUUUUCAUCAUUAUUUUAAAAUAUUUUAAUCUCACUUGCUUAUAUGUUUGUUUUCUUGUAUGUCGUUGAUUUGUCUUUUUUAUUUAUCUUAUCUUUGAUGCUAUUGCUCGUAUUAUUAUUUUACUUACAUUAUCAUCAUUGUUAUUCCAUCACGCCCAUUUUUACUCAGAUUUGUAAAAAAUGAAGAUUUCGAAAAUAAAGGCAAUACUCGAUACUUGGGAUAUUCGAGAGAAUUGAGCCCUAACGUGCUGGGUUCUAAUUUUUCUCGUUGAAUAUAAAUAAUCAAGAAUGCUCUUUAAUAAAAAAAUAAAUAAAAGCUCAUUAUCGAGAUUUCAAUACGUUGUGUCCUAACGCAUUGGAUAUGACACGUUUUCUCGAUACGAGGAUUUUUCAAAAAUAAAGGCAAUAUUCCGUAUUUCAAAAAUUCGAGAAAUUGUGCCCUAACUUACUGAGCUUCGAUUUUUCUCGCGUUGAUCCUAAAUAACCGAAUAUCCUUUGAAAAAUGAAAUAAAUGAGGUUUAAAUAAAAAAUAAAAGGCAAGCUUACUCUCAAAAAUACGAGGUGUCGUGUCCUAACUUACUGGAUGUGACAUCUUGUUACUUCGAGAUAAGGAGGCAUUUUCCAUUUUGAUUUAUUUGAGUAAUUUUAAAAAUAACGCAAUAUAAAGAGGGAUCGUAUUUUUAAAUUCUUUUCGAGUUUUUUUUUUAAUUUUCGACACCAAGACAUUAAGUAAUCAACUAGGUACCAAUUUUGAGCGUAUCGAUGGUGCUAAUUCUUCCUUGUGCAUAAUCGACUCCCGAACCCAUUUUUUUGAAUAUCGUAGACCAAAAUUAUGGUUUUAAUAAAAUCAAACCGUUUAUUAAAAACUACCACUUUUCAAUGUGGUCUGAUCACACCUUAUCAAAAAAGAUUGAUGGCGACUCCCUUUUUUCGUUUUCAUUUUCAAAAUCCAAGUCGACCCCGUUUUUAUCAAAAAAAUGGUGUCAACAUCUGUGUUAAAGUUAUUCCCAGGUAAACUUCAAUCACGAUGGCAAUGACCUUUUAUUGUUACUGAAGUGUUCACACAUAGAGCGAUUGAAAUAGAGAGUAAAGAAUCUUCAAAGCAGUUCGUAGUCAAUGGCCAGCGGUUGAAGCCAUUUUAUGAGAAUUUUCAAGCCCACACGGUUGAGAAAAUCCAUUUGGAACCACCAUUGAACCAAUAACGGCGUCAAGCUAACGACGUUAAACAAGCGCUUGUUGGGAGGCAACCCAAUUUUUAUUUUUAUUUAUUUUAUUUUAUUUUAUUUUCUUUAAUUUAUUUAUUACUUUAAUUUAAUUUAAUUUAUUAAUUAUUACUUAUUUGGAUACUAAUAAAUUUCUCUUCUUUUGCUUAGAUAAAAUAAAGCGAAAAUGCGAAGAAAAAGGGAAAAAGCUAGAAAAAUAGAACCAAACAACCCUAUCCAUGGUACCAAACAACCUCUAUUCCAGAUACUAUUCUAGCCCAGAAUGCCUGCAGCCAAACUACCCUAUUCCUGCAGCCAACCACCCUUAUCCCUGCACCUAAGCACCACCCUCAGCACAAAUUAACCCCCCAACCCUAAAAUUUUAAAACAUUUUUUUCUUUCCUUUUCCCACAAAACCCCCUAGCCGCCGCUCUUCCCUCCACGAUUCUCCCUCACUAUCGAUCGCCACCACCAUGGUUUGGACCCGUAGCCGUGUCGCUGCCAAGCCCUCCUUCACUAUGAACCCACGACGGUACCGUUUCUCCGCACCUCAGCCAUCAUAUACGAUCGACAGUAACAACACGAGAAGUUUUUCUAAACUUUUCUACCUAUUUAUUUCUUUUCGUCCACAUUGAGGACAAUGUGCUUUCAGUAGGGGGAGGUACUCUUCGUUAAAACUGUCAUUUUCUGCUGUAAUUUUGGUUGUUGUUGCUGUUGUUGUUGUGAUUAUUUUUGGCUAGUGUUGCUGCUUGAGGCUCCAUUUUGUCCAUAUUUUUUUAUUUUUUUUAGAAUCUCUUGCCUCUUUUCAUUAUCAAGAUUUUUACCAAGAAUUGCCUACUGUUGACCUACAAUCAUGAUUCUUAUUUUCUGAGGAAAUUACGGAUUUUCCAUAAUUGAUGCCAUCUCUACUGUUUUAUUCUUAUUAGACUAAAAAUAAUUGUGAUUCAUAGAGUUAACUUUAUCUUGGUUUUCGUAAAAUUAAUCAAGUUUAAUACAAAGUGGACACUUAAUAUGUUUGCAUGCUAAAAUAUGUUCAUGACUAUUAAGGUAAUUACUGAAACUUAUUUUUGACACUUGAUUCUUUUAUCUCUAAAGUCCUCAUAAAAAAGUUAUUAUUAAAAUGUCAUUUAAUGUUUUCGUGGUUAUGAGUGCAGCUUAAAAACGUGACUGACUAAGUAACCGGGGUAGGGUGCUUAGGUUGUCAUCCUAUUUCGCUUCAAAAGAUUGUGUGACGUGUUAGGUAAAACUUCACUAACUGGAAUUAAUUUUUAAGAACAUGUUGGGCUGAGUAACCGGGGUGAGGUGCUUGGCUGUCAUCUCUCUUCUCGUCAAAAGGUUCGAUGUGUUCUUAAGAAAAAAUUAUAAUAAACUAGGAGUCUGCUGGGUUGAGUAACCGGAGUGGGGUGCUUGGCUGUCAUCUCUCUUCGCGUUAAAAGGUUCAGUAUAUUCCUAAAGCAUAAAUAAUAUAAAUAAUAAAUAAAAAUCAAAAUAAAUUAAAAAAGGGAAAAAAAAAGAAAAAGAAAAAAUAUAUAAUUUGGGGACUAAAAGAGGAAACAAAUAGGGUGUCUUGGUAGGUUUGGUAAUUUACCUAAUUUUCAUUAAAUAAUUCAAGUCGAUUCUAAUUUUUUUGUGUAUUCAUUGGAAAACUUUUUCUGUUUUACUUAAAGCAAGCUUAAGGUUCUCUUUAUUUUUCAGAAGCAUUUUUGACUGAUUUUUUAUAAAACUUUGGAGUGGUAUUUCUUUUAUGGCAGAAUCUAACUUUCACAGUAGAAGGAACCAUACUUGAGGACAAGCAUGGGCUAAGUAGGGGGAAUUUGAUAACACUCUAGAAUAACGUAUUUUUAUGUAUUAAUUAUGUAUUUAUUUUGAGUAUAAUCCUGCUAAUUUGAGUUAUUUAUGAUCUUUUAUCUCAUAGGGACUAAAUUUGAGGAAAAAGCAAAAUUAAAGGCUAAAAGCGUGAAUUUAGAGAUAAGAUGGCCCAAUGUACAACAUAAUGAAAAGUUGGUGUCAAAAGUGCAAGUAUAGAGGAAACAAGGGUUGAAAUGCAAAAAGAAGAGAUUUUAUUCUAUCAGACUCUAUUUUAACUAUAUUAGGAUAAUUAAUAUUAAGAUAAUUAUUAAGGAUUAUUCAAUUUUAGGAUUUUAUUUUAUUUAUCUUUAUUUAUCUUCAAUUAAAUGUAUUUAUCUUUUGGGAGUUUAAGUAGGAUUAGACUAUCUCCCCUAGCACUAUAAAUACAGGGAGAAGUGACUCAAGAGGCAUCCAUCUUUUUCUAUAAACACUCUCUCCCCAAAAGUCUAGGCUUUUGUUCUUCUCAUAUUUCCUUUCAAUAAAAUCUCUAUUUUUAUUUUAUUUAUUUUCUUUUCCACCACAACCAUGAGCCACUAAACCCAUCUAGCUGAAAGUUGUCGAUAUUCCCCAAAAAGGGUUCUUGAGGCUUAGAGUCCGUACUUAGCCUCCUCGCUGAGUAUUCAUCGUUUCUCUGCACUACGUGGGUGACGCUUCCGUCCAUGUCCCUUAAGAAGUAAGCUUUUCAACGUAUGCAAAGGUGGUCGCUUUGUAUGUUUUGGGAAGGUUGCAAGUCGGUUCGUUAGCUUACUGCAUCAGAGGUUGGCGAGCCCAAGAGACAAAAUGGUAUGGGAUUCGCCAUUGAGAAGCGCUGAUCUAGCAUAAGACGAUCCCACGGAAGCCAUUGUUGGCUAGAGUCAGAUUCCACUAAAUCUUAAGUUUAAAUCCUUGGAGCUGAUGGUCGUAGGCGUCCUCUUCCACUAUAACUGGCUUAUUCGGUUUGAGAAAGAUCAUCUAAAAGUCAAGGAUUGAACCCAAGAUGAAACGAGACAACUAGAGGCCGGAAUCUCCCAUAAGAAUUUUCUUUCUCUUAACUCUAUUUUUAAUUUCUCAAAAUUUUGAUUCAAUAUUCUUAAUUUUGUUUUUAUUUUAUUUUUAAUUUCCAGAUCCAAACAUUUAAUUAUGUUAUUUUUUUAUUUUAUUUUUUUUAGGAACGCAGGUUUUCUUGGGCAAGAUUCUGACUAGGAUUUCACGGAACAAGAUAUUAUGCAAGUCCAGUCCCUGAGAAUUUAACCCUACUUCCUUUUUACUAUUCUUUUUCAUUAUUUAUUAGGUAUAUGAUACUUUUGGUGAUUUCAAUGACUGCAUCAUUACUAGACAUGGAAGAAACAUUUCGAUUUGUUAUUUGCUCAAAUAUCAACCGCAAAAAAGCUUUAUAGUCAUAUGACCCUGGUUUCGAAGAUUGAAUUUCUCUUUAUUGAGAGCUCAUCCUUAGGUAAUUUCUAAGCGAUAAGGGAAACCCUAGGAUGCUUUUAAAGAUCGAAAUAAGAAUGGUAGCACCAAACCAAAAAGGAGUUGGUCUUGAAUUAGGAGAUUUUGAUUUUGACUUGGGAUUAAUUUAUUGGCAAUCAUCCUUAUUAUGAAAAGUCAAAGAUAUGAGUAUCAAAUAUUGGAAAGUCAAAGAUAUAGGUAUCGAAAUAUUGACAUAAGAAAUCUGAGAUAUUUGCAAUAUUUGGUCACUAAUUGUAUAGUGACUUUGCAAGUUGAUCCCUGAACCACAACUAUAAAUAGGCCUAACCAUAUCUCAUUCAUAGUAUCCUAUAUUUGCCAUUCUCUACUUAAGGCAUUGUUCUCUCUCUCUCUCUCUCUUUGUAAAUUUUCACUUGUAUUUUGGAGUGAAAUAUAUUUGGUAGUUCCCAAGGACAUAGGCAAAAUUUGCUGAACCUCGUUAAAAUUCUUGUGUUCUUUAUGGUAUUAUUCUGUAUAUUUUGUGAGUGUGAUUGUAGUGAUUUAUUAUGCUAUUAAAUUACGAUUGAGGGAUAUUCUGGCUAGGAAAGACCUGGUACUAAGCGAUCAUUGUGAUCCACUUCUCUUUCCUGGGAAUUGAACUUAGUGUAAUUUUUUAGUACAAUAAUUUUACUCAUUUACACGCUUUUGCACAAUAAUUGGUAUCAGAGCUAGAUUCGUACUAGGGGAAUACGAUUAUUCACGGCACUGUUCACGUACAGUAGUUGGGAUUGAGGAGAAAAAUAGAAAAGGCAUCGUCAUCAGCAAACACUGCUGUGACUAAUCAAAAUUUGAAGUAGAGAAAUUUGAUGGUACCAAUAAUUUUGGUAUGUGGCAAUGUGAGAUCGUGGAUGUCUUAUGUCAGCAAGAGCUAGACAUAGCCUUUGAAGAAAAAAAUGACAAGAUGGAUGACAAUGAGUGGGCCAAGAUCAAAAGACAGGCAUGUGGAACAAUCUGCCUAUCUUUGGUCAAAGAGCAGAAGUACUCUGUCAUAAGGGAGACAUCAGCGAAGAAGUUGUGGGAUACACUGGAAAAAAAGUUUCUAACAAAAAGUCUUGAAAAUAGGCUUUAUAUGAAAAAGAAACUUUAUCGAUUCACGUAUGCAUCCGGUAUGUCGAUGAAUGACCAUGUGAACUCAUUCAAUAAAAUUUUAGCAGACUCGCUAAAUUUGGAUGAGAAAUUUGAAGAUGAAGGCAAGGCAUUAUUGUUGUUGAAUUCUCUUCCUGAUGAAUAUGAUCAUCUUACCAUCAUAUUGCUUCAUGGGAAGGAUACGAUCACAUUUGAUGCAGUCUGUAGUGCGUUGUAUAGAUCUGAGACUCGAAAGAAAGAUAAAAGAGAUUACAGAGAUACAACUGCAGAAGUCUUAACAGUAAGAGGUCGUUCGCACAGCAACAAAUCUGGUAAAAAGAGUAAGUCCAAAGAGAGAUCUACCAAAGAUGAAUGUGCUUUUUGUCAUGAGAAAGGGCAUUGGAAAAAGAAUUGUCCUAAUUUACAAAAGGGCAAAGGUAUUUCUAAUGCAUGUGUAGCAAAGUAUGAUGAGGAGUCAGACUUUAGCUUAGUUGGCAUUGCAAUGGCAUGUCAUACAGAUGAGUGGAUUUUGGAUUUUGGAUGUACUUACCAUAUGUGUCCUAAUAAGGACUGGUUUUCUAGUCUUAAAGAACUGGAAGGUAGAGUUGUUUUUAUGGGCAAUGGCAGCGCUUGUAAGACAAUGAAAGUAGGUACGAAUCACAAUGGCUCAAUUCAAGUCUUGACAUAUGUUCGCUACAUACCUAGCUUGAAGAAAAAUCUCAUCUCAUUAGGGGUCCUAGAAUCUAAAGGGCUCACAAUCACUUUGAGAGAUGGAUUACUAAAGGUAGUAGUUGAGGUAUUGAUGGUGAUGAAAGGAACAAGAAGGAAUAACAUGUACUAUUUAAAUGGAAGUAUAGUUAUUGGAUCAACAUCAACAGCUUCUGCGAAAGAUACAGAUUCAAAGGCUACCAGGUUAUGGCAUAUACUGAAAAAGCUUUGCAGAGUUUGACGAAACAAGGCUUGUUGAAAGGUGCAAAUUCUUGCAAAUUGGAAUUCUAUGAACAUUGUGUUCUGGGCAAGUAGACGAGGAUAAAAUUUGGUUCAGCAAUUAACAAUACAAAAAGAAUUAUGAACUACGUUCACAAUGAUGUGUGGGGACCUACUAAAGUGGCUUCUUUGGGAGGUAUGCAUUAUUUUGUUACUUUUGUUGAUGAUUAUUUAAGAAAAGUAUGGGUGUAUCUAAUGAAAAGAAAAAAUGAAGUUUUGGAUGCAUUUCUGAAAUGGAAGAAGAUGGUGGAGACCCAGACUGGUCGAAAGGUCAAAUGACUUCGAUUAGACAAUGGUACUGAGUAUAAGAAGGAUCCAUUUCUACAAGUAUGUCAAGAUGAGGGCAUUGUGUGACACUUCACUGUUCGGGAUACACCACAACAGAAUGGGGUGGCAGAAUGUAUGAAUCAGACUAUACUAGAGAAAGUUUGAUAUAUGUUGUCCAAUGCUGGAUUGGGCAAGAAAUUUUGGGUUGAGGCAGUUACAUAUGCGUACCAUCUAAUUAACCGGUUGCCAUCAGUUGCAAUAAAUGAAAAAACUUCUAUGGAGAGGUGGACUGGUAAACCUGCCACUGAUUAUAAUUCUUUACAUGUUUUUGGUUCCACUUGCAUAUUAUCAUGUAAAAGAAUCAAAGUUAGAUCCAAGAGCAAAGAAAUCAUUAUUCGUGGGUGUAACUGGUGGAGUAAAAGGAUACCGUCCCUGGUAUCCUAAUACAAGGAAGAUUGUUUUCAGUAGAGAUGUGACUUUUGAUGAAUCAACCAUGACGAAGAACAAGGAUUCACAAAAUGAUGACAAAACCAGUAAUACUUUGCAGCAGGUGGAGCUUGAAAAGGUUAAUGAUGAUCUAGCUAAUAUUGAAGGAACAAAUGAUGAAGAAUUUUUGACCCAAGAACUUCUACAGCAAUAAUAUUCAAUUGCAUAUAGGAGGCCAAAAAUAUAGAUUCGUAUGCCUGCUCGCUUUGAUGAUAUGGUGGCCUAUGCACUUCCAAUUGCAGAUAAUGAUGUUUCUUCUACUUAUACAAAAGCAAGAAGUAACAUUGAUGGUGUAAAGUGAAAGCAAGCUAUGAAUGAAGAAAUGCAGUCUCUUUAUAAAAAUAGGACUUGGGAGUUGGUGACACUACCUAAAGGAAAGAAGGCAAUUGGAUGCAAAUGGGUAUACGCAAAGAAGGAAGGAUUUUCUGGUAAAAGUGAAGUUUGAUACAAGGCUAGAUUGGUAGCAAAAUUUUACGCUUAGAAAGAAGAAAUACACUACAAUGAAGUGUUUUCUCCAGUUGUGAAGCAUUUGUCUAUUCGGAUUUUGCUAGCCUUGGUUGCGUAAUAUGAUCUUGAACUAGUUCAGCUCGAUGUGAAGACCGCAUUUUUAUAUGGUGAUUUAUAGGACUCAGCCAGAUGGAUUCAAGGUUGCUAAUAAAGAAAAUUGGGUUUGCAAACUGACAAAGUCGCUUUAUGGAUUGAAACAAUCUCCGAGGCAGUGGUACAAGCGAUUUGAUCAGUUCAUGAAAGGGCUAAGGUACACAAGAAGUAAAUUUGAUCAUUGCGUGUAUUUUCAGAAGCUCCAGGAAGGAAUUUUCAUAUACUUGCUCUUAUAUGUUGAUGACAUGUUGAUAGCAUCUAAGAGUAAAGUUGAAAUUGAGAGAUUAAGACUCAACUCAACCUUGAGUUUGAGAUGAAAGAUCUAGGUGAAGCUAAGAAGAUUCUUGGCAUGGAAAUAUGUAGAGAUAGAGCUCAUGGCAGAGUUAGUUUGUCUCAGAAGCAAUAUUUGAAGAAGGUACUACAGAAGUUUGGCAUGAACGAGCAGACAAAAGCUGUAAGUACCCUGUUGGCUUUUCAUUUCAAGCUUUCUGCACAACUAUCUCCUUCGACGAAUACGGAACAAGAAUACAUGUUACAAGUUCCGUAUUCUAAUGCACUAGGUAGUUUGAUGUAUGCAAUGGUGUGUACAAGACCUGACAUUUCACAGGCAGUUAGUAUAAUAAGCAGGUAUAUGCAUAAUUUUGGAAAAGGACAUUAGCAAGCUGUGAAAUGGAUUCUACGAUAUAUUCAAAAGACCAUAGAUAUUGGAUUACUGUUUAAGCAGGAUACUACACUUGGUAAAGGUGUUAUUGGGUACGUUGAUUCUGAUUAUGCCGGUGUUUUGGACAAACGAAGAUCAACCACCGGUUAUGUGUUUACACUUGCUAGAGGACCAAUAAGUUGGAAGUCUACAUUGCAGUCUACAGUUGCGUUGUCAACCACAGAAGUCGAAUACAUGGCUGUAACAGAGGCUGUAAAGGAAGCUAUUUGGUUACAAGGUAUGGUUAAAACAUUGGGAUUGGUUCAGGAACAUAUUAACGUGUAUUGUGAUAGUCAAAGUGCUAUUCAUUUAGCAAAGAAUCAAGUCUAUCAUGCAUGUACAAAGCAUAUCGACGUACGUUUCCAUUUUUGUGCGGGAAAUUAUUGAUGAGGGGAAAAUUCACCUUAAGAAGAUUAAGACUGCAGAUAAUCUCGCAGAUAUGAUGACCAAGGUGGUAACAACAAUCAAAUUCGAACAUUGUUUGAACUUGAUCAAUAUUCUGCAAGUUUAAUAGUUGAAGAAGGCACUAUCAAGUGUUGUUGACAAAGGCAGAGAGAAUUGUGUGAAGAUAAGAUUAUUCGAAUCAAAUCUUCAAGGUGGAGAUUAUUGGCAAUCAUCCAUAUUAUGGAAAGUCAAAGAUAUGGGUAUCAAAUAUUGGAAAGUCAAAGAUAUGAGUAUCGAAAUAUUGGCAUAAGAAAUCUGAGAUAUUUGCAAUAUUUGAUCCCUAAUGGUAUAGUGACUUUGCAAGUUGAUCCCUGAACCUCAACUAUAAAUAGGCUUAACCAUAUCUCAUUCAUAGUAUCCUAUAUUUCUAAUUCUAAUUCUCUACUUAAGGCAUUGUUCUGUUUCACUCUUUUUAUAAAAUUUCACUUGUAUUUUGGAGUGAAAUAUAUUUGGUAGUGCCCGAGGACGUAGGCAAAAUUUGUUGAACCUCGUUAAAAUUCUUGUGUUCUUUAUGGUAUUAUUCUGCAUAUUUUGUGAGUCUGAUUGUAGUGAUUUAUUGUGCUAUUAAAUUACGAUUGAGGGAUAUUCUGGCUAGGAAAGACCUGGUACUUAAGCAAUCCUUGUGAUCCACCUCUCUUUCCUGGGAAUUGAACUUAGUGUGAUUUUUUAGUACAAUAAUUUUACUCUUUUACACGCUUCCGCACAACAUAAUUUGAAAAUUGGAAAACAAGAAUUGAAAAUCAAUAUAUAAAUUAAAGGAAUUCAAAUUGAAAGAAAGGUGAUUCGACGAUAAAAUUAUAAAAGUCCUUGAAUUAAGUAUUCGAAUUUGAGGACUUAGAUUUGAAGUAAACUGAGUCGAAUUUGAACAAAUUUCCUUCUUGUAAUUCUAAAAAUUUAAAGAUAAAUAGUUAGAGCAAUUCAAGAAAAUUCAUAAUUAAAUAAUUGAGAUUGAAUAUUGGAGAAGAUAGAUAAAAUAAAUUGUCCUACCGAACCCUUUGAAGAUGAACUCUCCAACAAAUCCAACAAAAUGCUCUAAUCAAUUCUCUAAAAAAAUAAUCUUAGUCAAUUAAAGACUGAAGACUCCCACCACAAAAUAUUGAGGGCCAGUUAUUUAGUGCUUAAAAAAAGCAUUUUAGACUCCAAAAGUACUUUUGGAAGAAAAGUUGUGCAGAACAAGCUGCGCAGAACAAGCUGCUUUUAGCUGAAAGCACUUCUGAAAAGGAAAAGCUAAAAAUUUUAGCUUUUCCUCUCCCAAAAGCAUUUUUGGUGCUUAAUUACUUUUUCACCCCUCCAUUAACAUAGUACUUUCCUUUUUUUUGUGUGCAUAAUUACAAAUGUGUUAAAAUCAUUAAUUAAAAAUAAAAAAUAUUUUUUAAAAUACUAAUUACAAAUAUUUAAUGGUUAUAUUUAAAUAUUUAAAAUAUAGUUUAUAUAUUCUAAUUAAAUUUUAUAAAUAAUUAAUAUUUAUUGCUUAAAAAUAUUUAAAAUUUAUAUUUCAUAUAUUAAAAUAUUAACAACAAGUUAUAAUAAUUUUUUUAUAUUCUUACUAAAAUAUAAUAAUAUUAACUAAUUUAAAUAUUAUUUAAAUGCAUAUUUGUUACUUGAUAAUAACAUGUCUAAAAUGAACAUUUUAUUUCUCAAAAUCACUUUUUGACAGCAAUGCUAAACAUUCAAAUUUUAAACCAAACUUUUCAAAAGCAUUUCUCAAAAGCACAUUUCUAGAUCACUUUUCAAAAACACUUUUCAAAAGCAUUGCCAAACUAGCCCUGAAUCUAACUUCUGAAAAUUAAUAGUAAAUGAAUCUUGCAAACCUUGAUGUGGUAGCCACAUAUACUUAGUGUGAUGCCACCAUGUUAACAGCUAAAUUAAAAAUUAUAAUUUUUAAAAUAUAUAUGAUUUUUUUAAAUAUAAAAGUUUUUGAAAUCAAAUUCAAAGUUUCAAAAAUUAUAAAUAAACUAGUUUUCUUACUCGUGCGAUACACAGCUUAAUUAGUGUAUAAAUUAAUUAUAUUCUAAGAGUUAUGAAAAUCUGUCCAAAUUUGAAUCUAACAAUAAGUUAUUUAAUAAGUAAAUUUAAUGAAAAAUAGGGAAGAAUAUGUGAGUGUUCUCUAAUCAAUGUGAGAUCAAAAUUAACUUUUUAAUUUCUUAAACUAUAUCUAAAAAUAUAUAUUUUUUAUCUUAUUAAUUUAUAUGUAAAUUAAAAAAUCUAUUGAAGAUGUCAUCAAAACUUAAGUAUGCUUCUUUUUAUUUUAUUAAUUUAUUUUUAAAUUAAAAAAUUAAAAAAAUAUAUUCUAUUGAGUAUGCUUAUAAUAACUUUUUAGACUAAAAAAAAUAAAUAAAUGAUAGAUGUAGGUUAUUUUCGAACUAAUAAAAAUAUGAUUAUUUCUCUCUUUCCUAUAAUAUAUUAUUUUACAUAAAUAAUUUUAAACUAUAAACUCUUUCUCAAAAAUUUAUUCAAAGAAAGAAACUAUAAAGAGUUUACGAAAAUAGUAAAGAAAUUUAUACUUAUUUAUAAUAUAAGUGUGAGCUAUAUGAGUGUUCUCUAGUCAAUGUGAUUAAAAAUUAGUUAAUAAAAAAUUGGCACAUAUCAAUAAAAUGAAUAUGCCAUGUGUUAAAAUAUUAUACUUUCAUGUCAGCCGAGAGUCCAAGAUCUUAUAAUAUAAUAUAUAUAAUUAUCAAAAUUAUAAAAAAUCAAAUACAAAAAAUUAAAAAUAAAAUAAAUAUUUUGAAUAGUGGACAAAAGAAUUAAAUUAGAAUAAAUAUAAAAUGUAUUAAUGUGGGGUUUUGGUUUGAUGAUUGAGCUUGUCUAUGCUUUUAUGUUUGACUCUGAUUUUAUUUGUUGGGUUUAUUGGAAACUCAAAUUGUGGAAAAUGAAAUAUGAUCCCAAUCUCUUUUUGAAUCAUUUAACAUACUGACGGUUGCAUUGUCAUGUCAGCUUUCCAAUAGUCCUUCCAGUGUGACAUAUCACUCAUUUCUUCAUAGGUAUGUCCGGAUGCUUUCUCCUCCCUCUGCUUCUAUCUUGUCUUUACAACGAGGGUGAGUUUAGAUGGACGACUGGGUGCAGUGCGGUGAGUUUAGCUUACUUUUUGUCUCACGCUACAGUAUCGCUACACUAUCUAAUUUUACCACCACCGCUAUUUUUACACUAAACACAGGUAAACGCACCGCCCAUCCAAACUCACCCUGAAAAAAAUUUUCUCAACCUUGAGCUGGACCGAUGGUUGCGACUUGCAAGUGUUGCAUUGUGCAUGUCAAUUUUCUCAGCAACAAGACAAGAAAUGUCACCCAUCACUUUCCAUCAUUUGGGACAUUCUCACCCUCCUUUCAAUUUUAUUAUUUUUAUUGUAGGUAUUUGUUUUUUUUUUUUGAGUGAGUUCAAUAACUAAUCAUUCGUAUUCUAUAGUUUUAUCUAUUAAAUAAUAUAUUUUUAUAAUUUUAAAAAAAAAUAUUUGUUAAUUAAAUGAGUAUUUAUCUAAUUUAUAAUAAAAAUCUAUUAAUUUUAAAAAAUAAUUUAGAGAAUAAAAUAAAAAAUUUUAAGUAAAGAAAAAAGAAACAAUCAAUAAUAUAAUAUUAAAUAAUUAGAUAAAAUAAUCAAUAGUUAGCAACAUAAUAUUAUUAAAAUCACAAAACAAUAGGAAACAACAUUAUUAAUAAACAUUGCUUUACAAAGAAUUAUUACUUUUAACAUAAUAUUUUACAACACAAUGAUAAAUAAUAUUUACAAUUAUAUAAAUAUUAUUAAAAACAAAUAUUAGCAAAUAGUAAUGAAAAUCGUAUCUUUUUUUUUGAUAGAAACAAACCCUAUUUAAAACAAAUUUUUUUCAAUAAUUCUUGAGACGUUAUUUUGAACAAAAAUAAUUUGUUAAUGGAUAUAUUUAUAGUGCUAAAUAUUAAAUUUAAUUGAUAUAUAAUUAUAACAUUAAUUAAGUGAUAAUUAAUCUAAAAUAACAUAUGUACAAUCAACACUAUAUUUAGUACUGAUAAUGUGUUAAAUAUAAACACCAUUCAUUUCUUUCUUUUUUGAGAAUAUUUUAAUGUUUUUUGUUCAGUUUCAAAGUUGACACAUGUCUUGGACAAUCCAACACAACUCUAAGGGUCCGUUUGUUUGACUAAAAAUGGUUUCUGAAAAAUGACUUGCUUUUAUGAAAAAGCUAAUAUUUUCUGGUGUUUGGAUGAAUGUGUAAAAUAUUUUCUGUUGUUUGGCAGAUUUCCUGAAAAUAUUUCAUAAAAUCUGUUUUAAAUGAAACAAACAUACAUUUGAGAAUUUAUUGUCUUUUCAUUGUUUAAUUGAGUUUAUUUUAUAUCUAUUAAAUUUAUAUUUUAUAUUAUUAUUUUUUACAUAUUUUGCAAUGAUAUAUUUAUAAAUAAGUACAUCAAAUUAAAUAUAUAACAGUAAUCAAUUUUUUUAACAAAAAUAACAGUAAUCAAUUAUUAAGCAAUAUAUGGGCCAUUAUUGCUCUUUAGUCUAUCAACUAAAGUCCUUCCGAGAUCCUCUAUCUCUUUCGCAUACUGGAGAGCCUCGUAAUUGGCUCGGCACCUUAGCCUUUGAAUGGAGUUUGGAAUGUCAUUAUUAGCAAGCCUUGAAUAUGUAUGCGUGAACUUCAUCACCUUAUGUCGCUUUAGUAACGGGAGCACUUCCCUCAUGUAGUAAUUAGCCUGCAAAUGAAUCAAUUUAAGACACCUUACCAAAAAAAAAAAAAACCAAAUGGAAUAUCACCGUUUAUUUAACACCAAAUUUGAUCAUUUCAAUACACUAGGCCAGGAAACAAGGGCCUUUACUAGGGGUUUUAUUAUUGAGUACUUAAGGGAAGAUACCCAACAAUAUCAUAUAAUCUUUGAGUACAUUAAUUAAAUGCCUCCAAUAAAAAAAUAUCCUUGAAUUCACUGUGCACAACGUAUUCAAAAUGUAUUCAAAACAUUAAUGAAGAGUUGGAAAAAUAGGUUGAGGUGCACAAAUAUGCUUGAGUGUUGCAUAACUAAACCCCUUUGGCCCUAUAGAAAAUCUCGUCUGGAACUGAUGCUGCUCCACUUGUCACACUCACUUUUCGAGUUGGAAGUGUCUUUCUAUCAAAUCAUUCAAGGUCUAUUUAUAGAAAAUAAAUGCAAUUCAUCUAAUAGAAACAUAGCAUAUACAUACAUCCCAAUUUAACAGACAAUAACAUUAAAAUAUCCCUCCAGAUUGAGUUUCACUUAUCAUCUAAAUCAGAAAUUAGUUGACAAAAAAAAAUUCCAACAAUAGUAUCUUAGAGCUAGCGCAUGUGUAUAACUAUACAACCAACAUAGAUAAGCAUGCUAACCAUUUAAUAAUGGUAAUUUAGCGAGUCAAUAGAAAACCGCUUCCAUUGCAUGUCUCUAUUUAAGUAAGUCACGAGAUCCAUAAGUUGCACUAGGUAUCUUUCACUUUCCAUCACAUUUUGUGCAUCUGCAGAGAUAUAAUCAAUCAUCGACGAAAAAAAUGGAUCAUGUAAAUAAAUCAUUCCUCAACUAUAUAUGUUUGGAAGAAAAGAAAUUAACAAGAAACCAAAUAUCAAACUAAUGUUUACAAAGUUCAAUAUAAGGACCAUUAGCCAAAAGUUUCAAACUUAGAACACCCAGAUAGCAAAUUAGGAAGGAUAACUACAUGCAAAUAUGGUUCCUUGAAAGAAUGCAAAGUUGUGAACUACUUGCUCAACCAUAUUAGUCAUAUGUUGGAACCAAUAACCAACCAUCUUGGAUAAUAAAUAUAGGUUCCGUUUCUCUUUUCACUUCCCUUUCUUCUAAGAAAGUUUCAAGAGUUCCCACAUAAACAUUGCAAUUCUCAACAACAUGAAUCGUUCAUAUUUACCUAGUUUUGAAUGGCUAAUCAACAAUAGUAUCACUUCACAAUGUGCUAAGGUGUUUUGUGUUUGAAAACCUAUUUGCAAUUUAGGUUUUUUCCUUUUUUUUAUCCAACUAAAAACUACACUUGGAACAAAAUGUAAGAAAUCCAUUUGCAUUAAACAAAAUGUAAGAAAUCUAUGUGUAUUAAACAAAAUGUAAGAACACAUGUGAGCAUGAGAUUUUUUAGUGUCAUAAACAAAAUAAAACUUGGAACAAAUAGACAAAAUCACCUUUUUCCCUCGAAUAACAACUCUGAGUUCGCCUUGGAUCACCAUGUAUUUUGUGCCACCAAGUCGGAGCAAGUGAUCCAGGUUCAGCAAAGUCAUUCAUGAUGCUAGUGAUUUCUUCUGGAUUGAACUGAAAUCAACAUAAAACCAAAGAACCAAAGGUAUCUUUCUCUACCGAUUCCAAUUCAACAAAACUUUGGCACAUGCGACUGGGUCAUAUGAGUGAGAAAUGUAUGAUAGUCUUUUGCAAUAAAGGUCUUUUCAAAGACACUUGUAACAUCUCAGAAAUUGGGGUUAGAAGUUUUGAGGUUUGUAGUGAGGGUCAGAGAGUAGGUUGAACAAUUGGGUUCAGUCUCGUGUUUUAGUGUCAGAAUGAGCUUGCUGGUUCGGUGGUUGGAUGUGUGUUAAUUUACCUUUGGGUCCAGGGUUCGAGUCCUUAUGUGUGUUUUGAGGAAUUAAUCUGAUUCUACUUUUGUUUUUAAGUUUUAAAUAGUUAUUUAUUAAUUUAUUUAUUUAUUUUUAGUUUGGAAAUAGGAAGUUACUCAAAAACUAUUUUCACUUUUGUUUUGUUUAUUUUUUGCCAAUUUUGGAUUUGACCUCUUUUGGCAUCCAUACUUCUCUAUUUCAACAGUUCUUUCUUUUUGUUUUAUUGCUAAUCUUCCCUUUACUCUUUUGUUAUUCAAUUUUUGUUCUUUUUUAUUUCAAAUUUUUGCAAAUAAUUAUUGUUUUCCAAAGUUGUUCCUUGUUCAAUUGCUAAGCAUGGAGUCAAAAACGGUGGAAUUAAGGCGUUUCGAUCUUCGUUGGUGUUUGGAAUCAUAAUUUUAGGUGUGUUUCUAAACUGUUUGAAUUCGGUAGCGAAUUACUGUUGGAUUUUAGGGAAAUCUGCAAAAUUCUGAUAUGUCUUAGAUGGUUAUCGAUUGGGGUUCGUUCUGCUGCUACAAAACUAUGAUUUCGGCCUAUUUUUGUGUGGUUUCGUGACCACACGGCGGUUCACACGACCAUGUGACUUUUGGAAUUAGGAAUUUUGGACCUUUUUUAGUGCCACACGUUCAUGUGGCAACUAUUUGGGGAUUUUGUUAUUUUUCACAUGGGCGUGUGCCUUGGACACUAGGGGUGUGCAAAAUUCGGGUAAAACCGAAAAAUUCGGUUAACCGACCGAAUUCAGUUAAUCGGUCAGUUAACCAAAUUUUUUCGGUCGGAGGUCGGUUAAUUAUUUUUUAAUUUUUCAUUUAACAGUUAAUUCGGUUCGAAACCGGUCGGUUAACUAAAAAAAUUAAUAAAUAAAAUUAUAAUAUAUAAAUAGGCCCACUAUUCACCUAAACCCAAUCUAAACCCAAGUAUUCAACCCAACCCAAUUACCCAACCCAACCCAAUCAUAAAAUUAAAUUACAAAUAAUUUAAUAAAUAAAAAUAAAAUUUUAAAACUAAGACUAAAACUAAAGUCUAAAAGUCUAAAAAUAAUUUAAUUAUGUAGUGAUUCAAUUUGGUUAAUUCGGUUAAUUUGGGUAAUUCGGUUAAUUCGGGUAAUUCGGUUAAUUCGGUUAAUUUGUUUAAUUUUUAACCAAAAAUAAAAAAAACAUAUAAUUUUCGGUUAAUUCGGUUAACCGACCGAAUUAACCGAAAAAAUUUCGGUUCGGUUAAUUUUUUUGAAAAAAAUUUCGGUUCUGUUAACAGUUAAAGAUUUUGAAAGGUCGGUUAAUUCAGUUAAUGUUAUUUCGGGUCGGUUAACCGAAUGAACACCCCUAUUGGACACACGGCCUUGUCCCUUAGCCACACGGGUGUGUGAGUUUUCCAUAUGGUCGUGUCUGCUCUGUACUUUAUUUUGGCACUUUUAGACAGUGAGUUACACGGGCUAAUCACACGGCCAUAUAACGCAGUCACACGGGUAUGUGUCCCCUCCAUACGGGUGUGUGUAGCUUGCACAUGGGCCUGUAUACCACCACGCGAGCGUGUAGACCCCCACACGUCCUAGGCAUUUCCACACGAUCGUGUACAAAUUUGACUCAUUUUUGUGUUUCUAUAUGUUUCGACCCUCGGUUAAGCUUUGGUAACUGUGUUUGGGAUUCCAUUACAAUUUGGACUUGUGUGUGUAUUUGAAUUCAUAGGAUUAAGUUUAAGUGUUAUUGUGAUGUUACUUUCUAAUUGAAUGCAAGCAUAUCCGAUUCUCGAUUUGAUCAACCGAAUACGUGUAAUUCUAUUUUUGUGAGAUUAUCUACAUUUAGUGUGUAUUUUGCAUUUGCAUGAAAAUUCUGGGAUUUGGUUAAGAAGAGAAGGAAGACUGAAUUGGCAGUUUAAUUGUAUUGUUUCUGUACAGCCAUUUACCGCAUUAUUUUAUAUAUGUCAGCUUAGCUGCAUAUCAUUAUUUAGGUGGCUUAGUCCCACUAUCGGGGUGUGUAGGGUGGAUGGGCUUAUCAAAGCUCUUGUGGUGUGCAGGGUGGAUGGGUCUAUUAUGACUCUAUUGUGGUGUGCAGGGGGUCAGAGUGGUGUUCUAUUGGAUGGGUAGGAUUUCUACUUGUUGCAUAUUUUACGCAUAUGAAUUUAUGUUUGUUUGUAUGAUCGUCAAGACGUUUAUAAAAUGCUUUGAAUAGUCUGUUGCGAUUGGGUUACAUGAGUGUUUGGAAUAAUAAUAUAAUUGUGUUCUGUUGUUAAUGGAAACUUUCCUUAUGCUGGAUUACCGUUUGAGAUAUUUGUAUGUGAUUUGUAACAUAUGCUAUUUUGGAAUAUACGUUGUGUUACUCCGUCUUUUGCCUGUUGCCAGUUUCGGACUUACAUUGAGCUUGCGUAGCUCACCCCCUCUUAUUUUUCUCUCUUUUAGGUAAUUCUCGUGUUUGGCAUUGGACUCAGUGCAUCGGUGAUCUCAGAACUUUUACUCGGGUUUUUCUCAAUUUGGAUUGGACUAUUUAAGUUCAAUAAUUUUGAUAAAUCAUUUCCUAUAGGACUGUUGUAAUUUUGUUUUAUGAACUGUGGUAUAACUUAAUUUGGAAUAUUUGUUUUGUAAGCGAUUUUGAUUGUUCUAAAAUCUUUGGUUUAAACUUUAAUACGUUGUAAGUUUUAAACAUAAAACACUAGCUUGGGCUUUGCAUUUAAAUAGUAAGUAUUAUGUUAUCCGCUAUGAACUAUUUUCUUGUAAUGUCAGUCUUUUAAAUUUCCAAAUCCGUAUGAUUUCAAAAUCGAAGUAAAAAUUGUUAAACGAUAUAGUUCAAUUUGAGCAAACUGUAUUCGGAUUAAGUUUUUAGAAAUUCUUAUGUAAAAUGUUUCAAGAUCACUUCGGUGGUCAAUGAAACCUCUGAGGUCCGGUCAAAACUUCUAGGUCGGGUUUUGGGGUGUUACAAUACUGAAGUUGGUAAGUUAGGUAUUUGCGAACAUUACAUUUUCGAGAAACAAACCCGAGUCAGUUUUUAUUUAGUAGUGCAUAGAACAAAAUAGACUCUAGAUUACAUUCAUUCCUGUUUAUGGCUGUCCAUCUUAUGAAACCUCAAAAAGAGGUAGUAAAUAUUUCUUAACUUUUAUUGAUGAUCACUCUAGAAAAGUUUGGGUUUAUUUCUUGGAACAAAAAAAUGAAGUCUUUGAAAUCUUCAAAUAGUGGAAGACAUUGUUAGAAAAACAAACCAAAAAAUCCAUGAAGCGGUUAAGAACGGAUAAUGGUCUUGAGUUUUGUUCAUUAAGGUUUAAUGAUUUCUGCAAACAGGAAGGAAUUGAAACGUAUUGAACCGUUGUUGGAACUCCGCAGUAGAAUGUAGUUGCAGAAAGAAUGAACAGAUCCUUGCUAGAAAAGGCUCGAUGCAUGCUUUCUAAUGUAGGCUUAGGGAAGGAAUUUUAGGAUAAAGCCAUAAACUUAACAAGUUAUUUGGUAAAUCGAUCUCUUCAUCUAGCAUAGAACGGUAAAGUUCUAGAGGAGAUAUGGUCAGGUAAUUCUCCUAAUUAUUCUAAUAUUAAAAUUUUUGGUUGUCCUGCUUAUGCUAAAGUUAGUGAGGGAAAGCUCAAACCAAAGGCCAUUAAAUGCAUCUUUCUGAGAUACUUUACUGGUACAAAAGGUUUUAAGUUGUAGUGUUUGGAAUCCGAAAAAAUAAUUAUUAGCAAGGAUGUUCCGUUUGAUGAAUUUGUCAUGUUUUGAUCAGAAAAUGGAACUUUUACUUUUAUUUUUAAAGACACAACAAAUCAGAGUGUCUUGAGCUAGGUGGAUUCAAAAGCCAAUAUAGGGGCGACAUCCUAGUGAGUAAAUGCCCUACGUCGUAAUGAUGUGACGAACAAAAGUCUUGUCUCGAUGAAGAGUCACACGACAUCAUGAUGUCACAACAAAAUUUUGAUUCUUACUAGUUUGAAGUUGUUUCGAAUCUGUUUGGGGCUCCAUCCAACCUUCAAGUACCCUCACCAUCUUAGUUAACUAAUUAUAAGUUAGCUCGUAACAAGAAAAGACGAGAGAUCCGACCACCACAGAAAUAUUGUGAAGGAAACCUAGUGGCUUAUGCUUUAAGUGUUGUUGAAAGCAUUGAUUCAAUCAAUCCUUCGUGUUAUUAUGAGGCAGUUCAAGCCACCGAUUCUAGCAAAUGACUCGUUGCAAUGGAAUAAAAGAUGGGAUUACUUCAAAAGAAUGAGACUUAGAGGCUAGUUAAACCACCCAUUGGUAAAAGAAUCAUUGGUUGCAAAUGAAUAUUGAAAAAGAAGGAAGGUUCGGGUCCUAACGACACUAGGUACAAGGCAAGACUGGUUGCAAAAGGCUAUAGUUAAGUUGAAGGAGUUGAUUUUCAUGGUGUUUUCUCUUCCAUUGUGAAACAUACAUCUAUUCGGCGGUUUUGGCCCUUGUUGCAUCAAAUAAUCUUAAGUUAGAGCAGUUAGAUGUAAACACUGCUUUUCUUCACGGUGAAUUUGAGGAGGACAUCUACAUGCAACAACUGAAAGACUUCAAAUUUGAAGGUAAAGAAGAUCAUGUUUGUCUCUUACAAAAGUCUUUGUAUAGUUUGAAGUAGUCUCCUCGACAAUGAUAUAAAAAGUUUGACUCCUUCAUGUUGAGUAUUGAUUUUUUUCAAAGUAAGUAUAACAGUUGUGUUUAUCUACAAUGUCUUAAUGAUGGUUCUUUUAUAUAUUUGCUACUUUAUAUUGAUGAUAUGUUAAUUCCGGCUAAGAAUCCAUUUGAAAUUGAUCGUCUUAAAACCAUGCUUAACUCUAAGUUUGAGAUUAAGGAUUUAGGUGUAGCAAAGAAAAUUUUGGGGAUGAAAAUUUUGAGAGAUAGACAUUUCGGGAAAUUAUUUUAUUGCUACAAAGUUACAUCAAGAAGAUCCUUGAGAGAUUUGAGAUGCAAGAUGCAAAACAGGUAAGUAAUCCUUUAGUUACACACUUUAAACUCUCAAUUUUAGAUUCCCUACAGAAUGAAGAAGAUAAACGGUACAUGUCAAAAGUACCUUAUUCAAGCGCAGUUGGAAUUUUGAUGUAUUCAAUGGUAUGCAUUCGUCUUGAUAUUUCACAUGCUAUUAGUAUUGUUAGCCGAUACAUGACCAAUCCUGGUAAGUUACAUUGGCAUGCAGUUAGGUGAAUUUUUAGAUAUUUACGAGGUACUUCUAGCAUAUGCUUAAAGUUUGGAAGAACUCAAAAGGGUUUAGUUGGAUAUGUUGAUUUUGAUUAUACAAGAGAUUUAAAUCGAAGAAGGUCUCUCACAAGUUACCUAUUUGCUUUUGGGAAUUGUGUCAUUAGUUAGAAAGCGAUUCUUCAAGCUACAAUGGCUUUGUUGACUAUUGAAGUAGAAUACAUGGCAAUUAAAGAUGGAGUAAAAGAAGCAAUUUGGUUAAAAGGCUUGUCCAAUGAACUGGUAAGUGAAAAAAGGACAACUGUCGUAUAUUGUGAUAGUCAAAGUAUCAUAAAUCUCACUUAAUAUAAAAUGCAUCACGAGAGAACGAAGCAUAUAGACAUUCAUUAUCAUUUCGUUUGAGAGAUGAUCAUUCAAGGGGAUGUUAAGAUUCUUAAAAUUGGCACAGAACACAAUCUGGUCGACAUGUUGACAAUGAGCCUUCUACUUUCAAAGUUUGAGCAUUGCUUGGAUUUGGUAAGUAUCGGACGAAGAAUCAGUUAAGCUCGUAAUAGGGCUUGGCAAGAGAGUUGGUCCAAAUAUGAGUCAAGGUAGAUAUUUGUGAGAGAAUGCCUCUUAUUUUCACCAAAGUUUAUUUUGGCUUUUCUUCUCCUAAUUAAACUCUGUUUUUAGUUUCUCACUUAAACUCUGAUUAACCUAGAGUUGUUGUAGUCAUAUAUGCCACGAAUUUCAACUUAUCACGCAAAUUUUACGUGGAAAAAUUCCUUAAAGAGGAUAAAAUCUACGGGCAAAAGAAGAUUUCACUAUAAAAAGGAGAGUACAAAAGAUGGAGAAAAUUAAAAUAAAAACCCAAAGCCCCACAAGAAAAACCCUUCAAAACAAAAAAAACAAAAUUCUCUCAAACUAAAUAUUUUGUUGUGUAAACUUAGAGUAACUAAAACCUAUUUUUUCGAUUCUUAUUUAUUUACUUUGUUCGUUGUUUAAUUGGGUUUAUCCCUUACAAGAAAAAUAAUUGUCCACUUUUAUUGUGAAAUGAUGAAUUGACAAAAGAAUUAAAUUUAAAUAAAUAUAAAAUAUAUUAAUAUCAUGCGUAAAUUUCACUUGUAAUAUGAGGUUUUGGUUUGUUAAUUGAGUUUGUGCUUUUUCGUCUCUAUGCUUUUAUGUUGUCCUUUAUGUUAGGACUCUGUUUUUAUUUGUUCGGUUUCAUUGAAAACUCAAAUUGUGGAAAAACAAGAAGUUUCUCCAUCUCGUUUUGAAGUAUUUAACAUACUGACGGUUGCAUUGUAAUGCCAGCUUUCCGAUUGUCCUUCCGGUGGGUCACAAGGCAAAGAAAUAUUACUCAUUUCUUCAUAGGUGGAGCUAUUCCUAUUAUUGCGUCCGGAUGCAUUAUCCUCUCGGCGCUUCUAUUUUGUCUUUACACGGACUCUCUUCUGUUUGGCUACAAUGAAAACUCAGCUUUGGAAACAAAAUUUUCUCAACUUCGUGGUGGACCGAUUUGAUAUAGCGGAGGUUGCAUUGUGCAUGUCAAUUUUCUCGGAAUAUCACCCAUCACUUACUUUCCAUAUUGUUUUGUGAGAUUCUUACCCUCCUUUCAAUAUUCAAUUUUUUUAUUUUGUUAUAUUAUUAGUUCCCAACAAUAUACAUAUCUGUUUUUAAAAUUCAUUAAAUAAUAAAUUUUUAUAAUUUUAAAAAAAUAUAGUUGUUAAUUAAAUGAGUAUUUAUCUAAUUUAUAAUAAAAGUAUUAAUUUUUAAAAAAUAAUUUAGGGAAUAAAAUAAAAAUUUUAAAGUAAAGAAAAUAAAAAUAUGAAAAAUAAUUGAUAAUAAAAUAUUAAGUAAUUAGAUAAAAUAAUCAAUAGUUAGCAACAUAAUAUUAUUAAAAUCACAAAACAAUGGUAAACAACAUUAUUAAUAAACAUUACUUUACAGAGAACCCUUACUUUUAAUAUAAUAUUUUACAAUAUAAUGAUAAAUAACAUUUUCAAUUAUUUAAAUAUUAUUAAAAACAAAUAUUAGCAAAUAAUAAAAAAAUCAUAUAUAUCUUUUGUGAUAGAAACAAACCCUAUGUAAAAUAAUUUUUUUCAAUAAUUCUUGAGACGUUAUUUUGAAUGAAAAAAUUAUUAAUGCAUAUAUUUAUAGUACUAAAUAUUAGUUUUAAUUUAUAUAAUUAUUUUAAUGUCAUUUAAUAUGAAUACAAGCAAUCAACACUAUACUUAUGUGUUAAAUAUAAACACCGUUCAUUUCUUUCUUUUGUUCUUUUUUGAGAAUUUUUUUUUUCAGUUUGAAAGAUGACACGUGAAUUUGACAAUCCAACACAACUUUAAAUGCACAAACAAAUACAAGUACAAAAAUGAAAAGACAGAAAAGAACAGGUUAGCGGUGGCGAAAUUAGUGGAGCUCGCGGUGGUCUCCGACUCCCCUAAAAUAAAUUUUUUUCAUAUAAUCUUUUUAAAAUUUUUAAAAUUUUAACUUAGUAAAUGUAAAAUUAUAUUUUAACUCCCUAAAAAUAUAAAAAUUUAAUUUAAUUCUUUAAAAAUUAUAAUGAUAUAAUUUAUUAAAAUGAUAAAAUUUUAUUUUUUAUCGUAAAAAUUACAAUUUAAUUUGGUCCCCAAUUUGUUUUUUGGUUUCGCCAUUGCAAAUUAGUACUUAGUAAUUAUCCAUUGGAUUAUAGACACCAUUUUGUCAUAUAUUUUAGGCCUUUUCUAUUAGAUUGUUUAUUCAAUCAAAUUAAUUACAUGUAUUAACAUUUCAAUGCUACCUUUAGUAAUGAUGUUAUUUUUACAUGUAUUUUAAUAUAUGAGUUAGUAAUAAAUUAAUUUAAUUUAUAAUAUUUAGUUAUUCUCAUAACUUAGUUUUAGUAAAGAAAAUAAAAUAUUUUUAUUUAUUUUGAAGAUGUUUUAUUUUUUACAAGAAUUUUUAUUUAUAUUUCUAUUUUCAAGUUUAAAUUUAUUAUAACUAUUCUUAGUUUGAUAUUUAACUAUUGUAAUACAUGUACCCAAUAAGAUUUUUCUUCAUGUUAUUACAUUAAUAACCAAAUGAGGCAUUAAUAUAUUUACAUUAAGAGUUAAUUUCACCAUAUAUCCUUAAACUAUAACCUUCAUUCUAAAUUAGUCCUCAAAUUUUAAAAUAUUUUAAUUACAUCCCAAACUGUUGAUGUUUUAUCAAUAAGGUCAUUCCAUUACUAAAAAAUAAUUAAUUUAACCGUUAAAUGAAAUGUCAAAUCUUAUGUGUCAUGUUUAAAAUAAAGAAUUGUAAAAAAAAUGAAUGUUAUAAAAAUAUUGGGUUUGAGGCUUUUGAGGCUUUUACAAAAGCGUUAUUGCUUACUUUCUUCUUUUUUCAGUUUUACUUCAUUUUUAAUUUAAAAGUUAUGCAAUAAAAUUUUAAUUUUUUUAAAAAAAUUAUCAUUUUAAAUUAUGCCACAUAAGAUUUGACAUAUCAUUUAAAGGUUAAAUUAAUUAUUUUAAUAAUUGAAGGACCCUAUUGAUAUAUCAUCAAUAAUUUGGGAAGAUAAUUAGACGUUUUGAAAUUUAGGGGUCAAUUUAGAAUAAGUGCCAUAGUUUGGGGAUAUUUAGUGCAAUUAAUCUUAUAUUAAUUGAAUUUAUACUAUGUUUGGAUUAAAAAUACUAAAGGAAAAGAAAAGAGAGGAAAAUUAAGAAAAGUAAAUAAUUAGUCAGUAUAGUUAAAAUUAAUAAAAAUAAAUUUAGCAAUUUUUGUUUGGGUAAACUGUAAAAAGGAAAGAUUAAGUAUCAUUAUUUUUUUUACAAUUAUAAUAUUUUCAUAAAACUAUUUAUAAAAGGAAUAGAGAAAAAAAUAUUUUAUGUCUUAAAUUUUUGUUUUGGUUUAAUUCCUCUAACUUGCCCCCCAAAUUGGGACAGAUAAAAAAACUUAACACAGCAUUGAGUUUGUAACAAUAUUUUUUAUUUUCAUUUUCAGAAAAUAAAUUUAAAUUUUUUUAUUUUUAAAAAAAAUUAAAAAAUAUUUGAUAAAUAAAAAAUAAUUGUUUUCAAUAAUGAAAACUUAAAAACAUGUUUGGUAACUAUUUUCUUAUGAUAGAAACGUGGGGAAUAAAAUAAAAAAAUUACAUUUAUAUGGAUUUGAACGAUGGUACCGGAUUUAAUAUUUGAAAAUUUGUUAAAAGAAUAGAAUAUUUUUGAGUUUAUAUAUGCUUGAACCAAUACCAAUUCAUUUAAAGUUAAAAUUUUUUAUUUUUAUCAUUUUCACUUUUACAAAACAUUUUAAUUGAAAAUAAUUAAAUCAACUUUUUAUUGUAUUCUAAUUUUCACAUAUUUUUAUUUUUAAGAAAUCAGUUUUAAAAUUUCAACCAAACACAUUGUUUUCCAUGUUUUCCAUUUUACAGUAAAACAAAAAGAAAAUAUGAAAUGCAAACUAAACUUUCAAUAGAAAACGUAAUACUCAAUUUCUCUUGUUUAAAUUAUAGUCUUUCUGAAGAAAGAAAAGAAUGACGGUUUCCUUAUUUUCCUUUCCAAUCCAAGCAUACAUCAUAUUUUAUCAUAUACAUACACACACUAUAGCAAAGGUUUUUUUUUUUUUUUCUCUCUUUUAUAAUUAAUUUUGGUAACGUUCAAUUCUAGACUUCUUUGCUUCACAAGUGAUUACACCUCAUCAAAUUCAACAAUUUAAUUAUCUAACUCAAAAUUAAGUAUAUAUAUAAAAGAAAAUAUUUGAUAUAUUGUCAGUAAAAUUUUUAAACUCCACAAACAAAAUAAACAGUUGGCAAAUGUCUUAUAGGAAUAUAAUAAAUUAUUAAAUAUAUAUUUUAAAAAAGAGACGCAUAUCAAUUUUUUAAAAUUAUUUGUGAAAUAAAAAAAAAGUUAUGCUGCCAAUGUAUGAAAUCUUUUAAAUAUAUAUGUAUGAUUUACAUUAAUAAAGGCAAAAUUUAAGCAAUAAAAAUUGGCAUAUUUUCAAAACUUUGAUUUUAACUGAUAUUAUCAAGCCUAACUCAGGUUUUUGGUUACCACUUGAAGUUUAUAAUUAAGUAAUUUUUUUCUCUCAUUUUUAAUUCGUAAGUUUAGAUAAAUUUAGCAAUCUUUAAUUUACGUAAUAACAUUAUAUUUAAAUAUUGCCUAAUAUUCCGUUAUUGACUUGAAAUAAAAAUAAAAUAUUCCUAUAGUUUAGGUAAUACUUAUUCCCCAUAAUACAAUUGCGAUAUAAUGUAAUUUAAUUGUAUUUUCAAUUUAAUUUUUCUUAAAAGUACUUAGUCGAUUGAGUCUUAAUCAACAUUAUUGUUAGUAUAAGACGACAUGGGUUUAAGUGCAUUAAAACUUAUUUAUCCUUCUAUUUAAGGAUUGGAAAUGAAUUAUGUGUAGUUCUAAGCUUUGUAUAAUAUUUUUUUCUUAAAAACACUUGAAAUUUUUCAUAAACCCUAUAAAUACAUUAUUUUCUUCCACCAUACGUGGAGUUUAGAGUUUUGACACACAUUGGUAAGUACUUUCCCAAAUAAGAAUAUCUUUUUCCUAUUAAAUCUUGAAUCAAUUAAAUUAUUUUUUAUUAAAUCUUUCGGCAAAAAUAUUAUGGAGACCCUUAUAUUAAGAGUUAGAUUAUAUUUUGCCCCCUCUACUAAAAAGAUGGACAAAUUAGUCUCUGUAUGUUAGAUCAAAGUGCAAAUUAGUCAUUCUGUUUAAAGUUUCAUCCUUUUGUAAUGUUAAAAAUUAUUUUUUGUACGUCACCAUAAGGUACACGUGACAUCCUACUUGUAACUAUCUGAUUAUUUUAUUAGCCACGCCGAUUUUUAACUAUAACAACCUAAUUUUAGUUAGUGCCGAAAAUUUUGGUUUUGAAAUUGAAUUCCGUCAAAUAAGUUAGUUGGAAAUAUAGUUAAGAUAAUUAAGUGUUUAGUAAGAACUAAUAAUAUUAGUAUAUCAAGAGAUUAAAUUGAUUAAGCUAUUAAAAAUAAUGCAGAAGCUAAAUUGCAAAAUGACUAAAAUUAGUAAAAUUUAAUUGAAGAGAAUUUAAAGAAAUUUUUUUUAACAUUAAUCUCAUUAGGUUCGUAUCAUAUCUGCUCUUUUUGAUACAAUACCUAGAACUACCUAUAAUCCCUCCCCAGCCCUUAAAUAAGAGAAUAAUGUACUUCAGUGCACUUGAAUCUACGUCCUCUUGCACUUGUAAUAAUACUAAUGCCAAUCGAGUUAAGACUCAAUCGACAGAAUUAAAAGGCUUUAAUGUGCAAUUUUAAAUCAUAGAAAUGCUUUAGCAUGAUUAUAUCAUCACAGGCAACUAACCAUCAUUAAACCAUAUUGUUAACUAAUAAAUAAAAGUUUAAUUAAUGUUAAUUUAACUAAUAUAUAUAUAUAUAUAAUAUGAUAAGUGGGAGAGAGAAGAGGUGACCAUUAUCCUCAUCCUUUCACCACCGAAACCAAAGAAAGGAAAGAAAGAAAAAAUUUGAAAGUUUCCCAAGCUUUUGCCUAUUCAAAAUUCACAAGAAUGAGAUUUUUAUAAAAUUUUUAUGGAUUUUAUUUCAUGAGAGCUUGGUUUAUAUGACCCAACUCUUAGAUUUUUCAAUUACGAUGAUUUUUCAAAUUACUAUUAAUGGAUUUUAGAGAAUUUGAAGCUUGAUAAUGAUGGAUUUAUGAAUGAUAGGCUUGGUAUAUAUAUUAGGACAAUAUUUGAAGGUAGUAAAAAGUGUUAAAUUAAGUUAGAAUUUGAAGUAAGCUUGUUAGUUAAUUUUAUGACAUUAAGAAUUAAAUUGAAUAAAGUGAAAGCUGUUGGAAAUUUGGUUAUAAAUUGAAAGUACAAGGUCCUUAGUGAAUGGAUGUGAAGUCGGAUUUUGAUUCGAUUAGGAAAAUUGAGAGAUAUGAACAUUUUGGAUAUUAUGGUUUAAAAGGGGACUUAAUUGUAAAGAAUACAAAUAUGCUUGGUUGUUGGUAUGUUUUUUAUUAAAUGAGGAAUUAACGUUGAUUUUGUAUUCAAGUUUGUCGUAUGUAGUUAAUGAAGAGAUUGGGACAUCGAGGAUCAAAGGCGAAAAUGGGCAAUGAAUAUGAACUCAAUUUGUGCUCUCAUAGUUUGACUUUAACUUAUAUUUUAUUAAAUAGCUAAAUAUAAUCAAACAAGCAUCAAACAGAGAGUUGCAUUGCAACGAAGAACCCCUGGUGUAACAACGUUAACCCAAAAUUUUAGAACCCUUACAAUUUGGUCCUAUUUUGACCUCGAGUUAGUAAAAAAACUUUUGUAAGCUCGUAUAAGAAUUGGAAAUGAUUAUGUAUUAUUUAAUGCACUUGUUUUAGUUACAUUUGAAUGUUUAACAAUUUGAAAAUGAAUAUAAUUUGACCUUAGUUAUUUCUGCAAUAAAUGUGGCACCUUGUAACUCAGACGUGAUGAUCAGGUUGGGUAAUGGGGUGUUACAUAUCCGAUCAAGUAAAAUAAACACCUUGAAGGUGAAUUAAUAGAUAAGUAGCACGAAUGUUAUGUGAAUUGUAAUACUAAUAUAAAACUUAUUAACACAUGAUGUAAUGAUUCCCAACCUUGUCAUUUAUUUUGACUUCAUGUUACUUAUAUAUUGGUUUCAAACUAUGUUAGCACCGUUGAGUAUAAAUACUCAACGUAUGGUUAUGUUUGUUUUCUGUGCGCAGGCCUCAAACAAGUUUCUAUGAAAUCGAAGUUGAAAAGCAUCCAAGGUCACUAGCUCAGCUCAACUUAGCUUGUAUUAAGUUUGGGUUCCUUUUUGGAAGUAUGUAUUAAAUCAAGGACAUGUACCUAGGUUGGUCUUGGUUUGAUGCCUAAAGUAAUGAUUUGAUGUAUUUUGGUAACUUGGCCUAUAAUGUUUUGAAAGUUGAAUUUUAGGUCUUGAUUAAUAGAUAAUCGUGCAUGUUUAAAUGUUUUUGGUUAUACAAUUUGUUUGGUUGGAUGUUGAUGUAUUAGGUGUUAUAAAUUAGUGGUGUUUUAAUGUAUUUUCAUAUGUUAAGUUGAAGGGUUUGCAUUGUUGUAAUGUUUAAGUAUGUUUUAGGCUCAAUUGGGCAGAGUUUGAAUGAUUGAAAAUGUGCACCUUAGGCUAUUUUUCCAUUGAGUCUAGAGACAGAAAAAACAUUUCUUGAGACCAUUAGAUAAAAAAAAUUACCAUAUUGAGCAUUUGAUUGCUUAAUUUCUCGAGACUUGUCAAGCUAGUCUCGAGACAAUCUCAUCUAGGUCUCGAGACAAAGGGCACUUUAUCUCGAGAUAAAGAAACAUUGAAGCUAAAUUAAAAAAAUAGGGGAUGUUGGUAUUGAGACCUAGUCUCGAGACGUAAUAGACCUUGCCUCGAGAGACAACUUCUAAUGUCUCGAGACAUGUUAACAUCGAAGCUAAAAUUCUCUAAAAAUAAAAUAAUACUUGUCUCGAGACAUGAAGUUCCCUAUCUCGAGAUACAACACUAAAAUUUGAUCAUUGAGUUUGGAUUUGAGUCCUAACUCUAAAUUUGAUCUUGUAUAACUCUGUAAAAUGAUGAAUUUGAAUCUUAAACAUUAUGAAUGUAUAUUUGUGGACAUAAUUGGUAGUUAAGUGAAUUGAAUGAUAAUUCUGAACUAAAUUUAUGAAUAUGUAACAAAUUAGCCUGAGUUGCUUCGGCAACGGAAUGUGACAUCACACAUUCAACUCUGGCAACCAAGUCAGGUGUAGGGUGUUACAUUAAUAGUAGAAAUGGAUGCAAAUUUUAAUAGAAAAAACCAAUUUGUUCUUUGAUUUAACAUUGAUGGACUACUUUGCCUAAUUUUUUAGUAAAUGGAGGAAAAUACAAUUUGACUCUUAGUAUAGGAGCCUUCAUAGUACAAAGAUUUCCUUUCUCGUUCAUAUUUGCAUUACAUAUUUUCUUUUGCACAAUUUUGUCCUCUGUCUUGUUUAUUGCAUUUCUAACUGAAUUAGUUUCACGAGUUAAUUGGACAUUAGUUCAGUUGGAAAAUGAUUAAAACUUUCCUCCUUUCACAAAAUAAUAUAUAUAAUGUGUAGUCUGAGUUGGUGUCACGAGUUAAUUGAACAUUAACUCAGCUGAAAAAUGACUAAAAACUCUCUACUUUAACAAAAUAAUAAAUACUAUUUUAAUGGUAUUUUUAUAUUUUAUAUAAAAACUAUAUUAAUAAAUUUAAAUUAACAAAUUAUGUAAUUUGAACAUAAACCUUCAUAAUUUUCAAAUAACUUCACCAAUUCAAUCAAACUCUUAUUUGUUUUUAGUAUGAAAGUUUUAAUAAAUAUAUUUGUUAUACAAUUUUUUCACCCACAUUGUGAAUAAGUCAUAAUCUGUUUAUAUUUAAAAGGUUAAAUGUUGUUAUUAGUCUCUGUACUUUGCGAAAGUUAUGGAUUUAGUACUUGUACUUUUCAAACUUUAAAAUUUUAGUUCCCACCAAAUGAUAAAUGUUAAAUUCAUUAAGUUAAGUUAUUUCCAAAUUUUGAUGCGCCAAACAUAUCAUGUGUGUAAUGCCAUGCCAACUUGCUAUUUUGAUAUGUUAUUCACUAAAAGUUCAGUUAAUGGGCUAACGACUAUCAUUUGCAUCAAGACUAAAAUUUCAAAAUUCAUGAACUAAAAUGAUCCACAUUGGAAAAUAUGGAUGAAAUAUACAAUUGUACGUAUAGUACAGGACUGAUAAUUGAAUUUAAACAAACAGAUUUAACAACUACUGUUUGGGUUAAGAUUAAAAUUUUAAAAUUAAAAAAAGUAAAAGGACUAAAAUUGAUCAAUUCGAAAAAUACAAAUACUAAAAUUGAUCAAAUUAAAGUACAUAGACUAAUACUUUCCUUGAUCGUACGGCAUCCGUGUUGUGAGCAUAAUGAUAUGGGAUAGACAUCCACGUUGGUAUGGUUUAGAUAUUAUUACUUUCCUAAAUUGUAUCCGCCAAUUAACACGUAUUUAGUGUUUAAGGAUUAGGUUUAGGCAGUUGAGAGUACGAGCUUAGUCAAAUGCAUGAUGGGGCAAACAUGGCCUUGCGUAGGCUAUGGGACGCAUGCAGCGUGGGGGUUAGUGGUCUCAACGUGAAACCAUCUUAGCAAAGCAAGAAGACAGUUGGAAAAUUAAGGUCUUUGCAGGAAAAAGCUUUCCUUGCUUGCUAGCUAGCUUCAAUGAAGUUUGAGAAUUACACGGUAUUAGCAACAUUAAAUGCAAAUAAGGGAAAUGUCCUUAACUAAUGGUUUUAGGUAAUGAGUAGGGUUAUAACUCACAAAUGGUCUUUUACAUCUAAUUUUCUAAUGGCUUAAUAUAUCAUUUCGUACUAUAGUUUGAUACUUUUUUUUAGUGUAGUACCUGUGUUAUUUUUUUGGUUUAAUCUGGUACUUGUAUUUGAUAAAGUUGUACAUUUUGGUACCCAAAGGAUAUGUGUUGACUUCUUAGUGUUUAAUUCGAGUUUUAGGGCUGAUUUGAUAAAAAUUAAUUACAAAUAUUAUUAGGAUUGAGUUUUUCAUGAUUUUGUUAAUAGAAUAAAUUUAGUUUUAAUUGUAAAUUUGUUUAAUUUUUCAUUUCAUUUGUCAAAUAGUCUGAUCAUGGAUGUGAUUUAAUUUAGGUUUUAGGGUUGAUUUGAUGAAAGUUAUCUGCUAAUAUUAUCAAAUCAACUUUAAAAUUCGAAUUAAACACCAAAAAGUUAAUAUUGUUACUUUCAGGUACCAAAAUAUAUAGCUUUUGUCAAAUAUAUGUACCACAUUGGACAAAAAAAUAACACAUGUACCGCAUUAGAAAAAAGUGUCAAACAUAAGUACCAAAUCUAUACUAGUAUUUAAACUCCUAAAAAAUGUUGGUGUUACAAGUCAAUCGGGCACUAACUCGAGAAAAUUACAGGAACGCACAUCCAUAAUUAAAAUAAAGAAUAUUUUUUGAGUGUAUUUUAGUCUUUUCACUUUAAAAAUCAAUAAAAAGCAAGGAUAUGAUAGGAUUCAAACCCAUGCCAAGUGCAUUAAUAAAAUAUUUAAUUUACCACUCAACUAAAGCUUCAUUUUAAUAUUUUUAUACAUUUUAGUUUUAUUAUGCACAUUCUAUUAUCUCCAUUAAAUGUAUAUUUAUAUCUAUCUAUACUAUUGUUUAAAAUCUUGACUGAGUUGGUGUCGCAAGUCAACCGAGCACGAACUAAUUGGUUAGGAAAUUAUGGGAAUGCACAUCCUUAAUUAAAAUAAGUAAUAUUAUUCAGGGUAUUUUAGUCUUUUUAAUUUAAAAAAUGAAUAAAAAUAUGUAUAUGGUGAGAUUUGAAUCUACACCAAUUGCAUUAUAAAACCUUUAAUUUACCACUCAACUAAACAUUAAUUUUAAUAUUUUUAUAAAUUUUAAUUUUAUUAUGCACAUUUUAUUACCUCCACUAAUUAUAUAUCUAUACUUGUAUAUUAUUUAUACUAUUAUUUCAGCUCCUGCUGAGUUGAUGUCACCCUCAACCGGGUCACCAACUCAAUUAGGAAGUUAUGGGAAUGCACUUUCGUAAUUAAAAUAAAUAAUAUUAUUCGAGUGUAUUUUAGUCUUUUCACUUAAAAAACCAAUAAAAAUAUACAUAUGGUAAAAUUUGAACCCACACCAAUUGCAUUAAUAAAACAUUUAAUUUACCGUGCAACUAAAGUUUAUAUAUAUUUUUAUACAUUUUAAUUUUAUUAUGCACACUUUAUUACCUUCAUCAGUUGUAUAUCUAUACUAUUAUUUAAAUUCCUGAUAAGUCAGUGCCACCAUCAACCGGAUCACCAACUCGGUUAGGAAGUUACAAGAAUACCUUUCCAUAACUAAAAUAAGUAAUAUUAUUUGAGGAUAUUUUAGUCUUUUCACUUUUAAAAAACCAAUGAAAAUAUGCAUAUGAUAGGAUUUGAACCCAUACUAAUUGCAUUAAUCAAAUAUUUAAUUUACUAUUUACUAUUCAGCUAAAGCUCUUUAAAAAAUAUAUUUUUAUACAUUUUGAUUUUAUUAUGCAUACUUUAUUACCUUCAUCAGUUGUAUAUAUUAAUAAUGUAUUUGAUUGAGUUGAUGUCAAAAUUUAACUCGACACCGACUCAAGAUUGAUGACAACACCAUGAUAAACAAUUUAAUCUAUUUUUUUGUUUUAAUAAAUAUAACACCCCAAAACCUAGCCUAGAAGUUAGACCGAAUUCCCGGAGUUACAUUGGCCAACCAAAAUGGUGGAGAUAAAAUUCAUUUAUAACCAUAGAAAAUUCUUCGCUAAACCUUUAUGCUUCGUAAUUUUAGUAGAUUAAAUGAUAUGUAGUUGUUUUUGGAAACAACAUAUAACAGACGUUUAAGAACCGUUAGGAAUAAAUCAAAUCAGUGUUUUUGAACAAUUUCAAAGUAACUUAAAAAUCCCCGUACCACAGUACACAUAGACUUAUGUGAAAAAACAAAGGUGCAUAAUUUGAAUAGUUUAUCAUAACAUUAUUUGAAAUCAACCGAUCAAAGAACUCUGAAACCUCCGCUAUCCCGAGUCUAGCUCCAAAACACAGAAUGUACUUGAAAGGAAAAACACUACAGAGAUGAGCUACGCAAGCUUAAUGUGAGUACGAAACAUAAACAGAUGGUAAAAGACGGGGUGACAUAGUAAAUACUUCAAACAAGCAUAUGUAUAAAUAUAUCACUUAUGAAAAUCUCAAUCGGUAUGUCGAAUACAAUAUCAAACUACUAAAAUGAUGUUCCAAUCAUAUGCAAUAAUCAGAACAUAUUACAUGACAUUAGCUAUAUUGUCAAUAACCAAAUGUUCACACAAAUAGACAAAAUGUUCUGAUAAACAGACGUAUGUUCAGAUGCAAACGGAUGCAUAAGUCAAAAAUCCCACCCCACUAACCAAACACCACUUCGUCCAUCCAGCACACCACAUAAGGGCUAUGGUAGGUCUAUCUACCCUGCACACCACAUAGAACCAUAAUAGGUUCAUCCACCCUACACACCACAACGUAGAACUAUGCCACUUGAGUAACUGUAUACAGUUGAGCUGAUAUACGUAUAGGAUAGUGCGGUAAACCGCUGUACAAAAGUAUCGCAGUUAAAACUGUUAAGUCUAUCUUUCUUCUCUUCAUAGCCAGAUCCCAAAAUUUUCAUGCUAUGCAACAAUGCACACAUUGCACAGACAACAUAUAGAAACGAACAUUAACAUUUCUAGCUGAACAAAUUUAGAUUUGAUUACACUUGUAUUCGAAUGUUCAGUUACGACAAAAAUAAAAAAACUCAUACUUAUUCAUCACAUAAACAAGCAAUAAAAUUAAAGCCCAUAAAUGUACAUAUAUACACGAACUAAACUACAUCAAGUCCCAAACACACUUACCGAGGCUUGACCGAGGGUCGAAUUACACAGAAAUAUAAAACAGACAGUUUAUGACUCAAAACAAAAAUUCUAUAAAAUAGGGACAUAUGGCCGUGUGGAGGCCUACAUGCCCAUGUAGAGGAGACACAUGCUCGUGUGACCAAGUUACAUGGCUAUGUGAGUAGCCCAUGUAACACAUUGUCCAAAAGUGCCAAAAAAAAAGAGUAGAGGAGACGUGUGAAGAUCUCACACACCCGUGUGGCCAGGCCGUGUGGUACCAAAAAUUAUUGAAAACCCUAAAUUCCCAAUUGCACACAGUUGUGUACGGCACACGCCCAUGUGGCUGCUCGUGUGAUCACGAAACAUCACCGAAAUAGGCUGUAAAUUAUACUUUUGAUGUCUAAACGAUCCCCAACCCUUGGUAACCUAGAAUUAUGCCAAACAUACAGAAUUUCAUGCAAUUUAGUAACAAUAUGAUACUUCAAAUAACCAAUUUCAGAAACACAUAAGACAUUACCAAAUUCCACCGCAAUUCGAUACUGAAGUUAAACCGUUUCAGAACACACACCUUAGAACACGAUAUCAAGCACCAAGGACCAAUCGAUUCGCUCUCACCAAACUGUUCAAAAACUCGCUUCACCUUCGAUAAAAUGAAACACAUGAGGACAAUCAGUCUUGAUAGAAAACACGUAACAUGAGUGUAAAAUGGAAGAAACAAGAAAUCAAAAGAACUGAAAUUUGGUGAAAGAACCGAAAAAUAACAAAGGGAACAACAAAAAAAUAGGGAAAAGGAAAUGGAAAAGAAGGUGAAACUGAAAAACCUCCUCUUUCAAAUUUUAAAAGUAAAUCUUUAAAAAUUAAAAAGCAAAACCAAAAUAAAUUAAUUCCUCAAAACACACAUGAGGACUCAAACCCAAAACCCAAAGGUAAACUAACACACUCACCACCACCGAACCAGCUCAUUCUGACAUUAAAAUGUGAAAAUCCACUCAAUUGCUCGUCUUAUUCAAUCACCCUAACCACAACCUUAAAAAUGAAACCCAAAUUUUAGGUUAUUACAAUAACGUUCAUAUUUCAUGUAUUAUUAUUAAUUAGUUUUAACCAUACAUUUCAUUAUUUUUGUAUAUGAUUUUAAAAUAGACAUUUGUGUUCUAAAUUUGUGGUUUCCACUUGUAUACGUUUGUAAUAGAAUUUCUAGUUAUUAUUAUUUAAGUGUUUUACUGAGUUGGUAAAUUAUAGAAAUGGCCUUUCGUAAUUAAAAUAAGUUAUAUUAUUCGAUGGUAUUUUAGUCUUUUCAUUUUAACAAAAACCAAUAAUAUAUAUAGUGAGAUCUGAACCCCCACCAAUUGGAUUAAAAAACUAUUAAAUUUAUCACUUAACCAAAUGUUCAUUUUAAUAUUCUUCAUAUAAUUUUAUUUUAAUAUGCCCAAUUUGUUAUAUCCAUCAGUUGUAUACAUUAAUAAUGUUGUUAAUUGAGUUUGUGUCAUAAGUUAACUUCACACUAACUCACAAUAGAUAACAACACUCUACUUAAACAUAUAUGCAAUUGAGGAUACUCAAACAAUCUUAAACCGAAGCUUCUAGUGCUAACUGACUUAGCUAAACUAUCUACAAUUAAGUUCUCUUCUUUAGGUAAAUUUUAAAUCUUCCACUGCUUAAACAUAUUCAAGACUUGAAUUAUUCUCCUGAUUAGGGUAGAAUUAGAGUUUCUGGAAGAGUCAUUUUGACUAAUAUUAACGGCAUCAAUACUGUUAGUUUGGAUUGAGACUCUAUCGAAUCAUCUUUCCAGAAGAAGGUUUAACACAUCCAAGAUCCCCCAAAGUUUAGCCUCCUUCUUUGUGCAAUUACCUAAAUAUCGACAGAACCCAAUGAUCCACCCACCAUUAUGGUCACAUAUGUAACCACCAGCUGCUGCAAAACCUUCGUCAAGCCUAACCAAACCAUCUGUUCUCAAACAAACCUAACUAUUAGCUAAAGGUGAAGAGUGGAGAUAAUUGUGAAGCUUAUGAAAUGCAAUUUUGGAGAUAAAAAUGUAUUGCUUUGCCCAACUGAACGAAAAUUUAAGAAUCUCAUCAUUACUCAAAGAAAUUCCUUGAAAGGUAAGCAAGCUCCGAUUCUUCUAAAUAUGCCAAGAAUCGAUCCCAAAAAGGCAUGUCCAAUCCAUCCCAUCCAAAAAAAUGUUGAGAUAAUUAUGAUGGUUUUCUGUCAUCCAAAUAGGGAGGGAACUAUUGUAAAACCUUGAGAGUCUGUCAUUUGGAAUAAGUUUAUCCCAAAUAGUUUUUACAGCAAGGCAAUCUCUGAGUACAUGCAAUACAUCCUUAUAAUCCUGCCCACAAAACCCGCAAGCGCUGCUACUCCCAAUGCCUUGCCUCACCCUUUCAGCAUUCGUAAGUAUGCGUUGCUUAAGGGUGAGCCAUAAAAAGAAACAGAUCCAUUGAGGGCCUUUAAAUUUCCAAGGUAUCUCCAAUAGGUGUUCUUUCAAAUUCAAUAUAACUUUUCGAAUCUUCCCAUAUGCACUUUUAAGAGAAAAAGAACCAGUCAAAGUAGCUCCCCAAGUUAUUUUAUCAGGACCCAAAGAGGGGUGCGGUGGUGGAACACCUGUAAUUUUGUUAAUGAUCUCUUCUGAGACCCACAAUCUGAAAAGGUCCAAAUUCCAUGAUCUAUCACCUGCAGCCAUACUACUAAGAGGACAAUCCAUAUUAGGUUAGAAAGAGAUGGAAUCUGUAUAAAUAAGGGACCACUAUUUGGAACCCAAGGGUCGUGCCAACAUUGGUUACUAUUUCCAUCUCCAAUAGACCAUAAAAGGUUUUCGCUAAUGAAGGGUCAUACCUUAGAAAUGGAUCUCCAUAAAAAGGAGCAGCUUCGCCGUGCUAAACACUAUAUAAGGGCUCAACAUCAAUAUUAGGGUUCUUAAAACAUUGUUCACCUAUCUCAAGAACAUUGACAAUUGUUUCCUCUUUACCAUUCUUACCCUAACCAUCACCCAAGGUUAGAUUGAGUGAUUGAGACAAGGACACAAAAUCUUAUACUUGGCUUGUGCCAAAAGUAGUGCCAAUAAGUGAUGGCAUUGAUUCUUCAAUAAAGGUUUCAUGAGAUUGAGAAAGCUCCCUUGCUUGCUAAUCUUGCCGAGCUUUUUCUCAUAGUCAAAUUAAUAAGUGAUCUUAAUGUGUGCUAUUGAUAAGAAUCAAGAAUUUCAAUAAUCAAGAGACACUUGAAAGCAAAGGCGACUACGAAUAAGGAAGCUUUGAGAGACCAUGUUACUAUUAAAUUGGCGAGGAGAGUUUGUGAUAAGUUAUAACACAACCAAGGUAUUUAUAGGGUCAUGUUUCCUUAUACCCUUUCCUCUAAUAAAUUUCCCUCCAAGAAAGGAAAUUUGAUCAUCAAAGAUAUACUUUCCCUCCAUAAAUAAUGAUUGCAUGCAUGACUAUACCAACUAUAGAGCUUGAUCUCUGAAUUGCAAAACGACACCUAUAAUCGUCAUUCGGAUGCUUCCCAGAACAACUGCCAAAUGUUAGACUCAACACACCCAACUAAGUUCCUUAGCGCUUCGAACCUUGCUGCAUUAAGAGCCUUAGUAAGAGAUCAACAAGUUGAUUUUUAGUCUUCACAUACUACAAUUCGAUUAUACCAUUUUUCACAAGUUCACGAAUGAAGUUGUGUUGAAAAUCAAUGUGCUUAGUUAUAUAAUGCAUCAUAGGAUUUUUUGAUAUGUUAAUUGCACUUAAGUUGUCACAGUAGUCAGUGGCCUUUGGUAGUGCCAUUCCAUAGUCUGUCAUCAUUUGUUUCAUCCAAAGCAACUGUGCACAACAACUUCCAACUGCAAUAUAUUUUGCCUCAACUGUUGGCAAGAAUAUGGAAGAUUGCUUCUUAUUAUACCAAGAUACAAGAUUAGAUUGGUAAAAUAGCCUCCAGAUGUGCUCUUUCGAUUAGCUACAUUGCUUGCCUAAUCUGCAUCACUAUACCUAACCAAGAUCAUUGCACUAUCUUUCGACAUUCAUAUGACAAAAUCAAGUGUAUCAAGAACAUACAUGAUGAUGUGUUUUACAUCCUUUACACGUGCCUCUUUGGGGAUACCACAAACACCCACACUGAAGCUUAAAUGAGGCUUGCUUAUAGUCAGGUACAAUAAACUUCCUAUCAUACUCUAGAAAUAGUGGCACCCCUUUUACAUCUGUUAAUUUUCUUGCUUGGUGACAUAGGGGUCCGUGUUGGCUUAGCUAUUUCUAAUCCAAACUUCUUAAUUGAGUUCCUUGCAUACUUCCUAUAAUUUUUAUAGGUUAUAUUAAAACUAAAGAUUAAUUAGAAAAUAUAUUUACAAAAGCUUUGAAUGAAACUCGAGUUAAUCACAUUUAUGAUAAAGUGGGCAUGAUUAAUAUCUAUACCCUAAUACAGUGAAUAUGAGCUUCACAUACAUACUAAUACAUACCUCACACAACCGCAUUCACUUAUAAAGGAAAAAAAUAGAGAAAAAAAAGCAGAAAUAGACAUCGAAUGAUCCCCAUUCAUUAUUUACGUAAUUCCCUACUGACAAUACUAUUUACAGUUAACCAUGUUUGAGAGCUUCCUUAACAAAUCUGUCAAAAUCAAUGUAAGAUAAUCCCCCAACUUCAACAGCUUCUUCGGCUUUCUUCUUCCAUUCCAAUGCCUUCUCUUUCUUUUUCUUUCCUUCCUCACCUUCCAUCAUUUCUUUAACUAAAAACUCUAUGUUUUCUCGCUUUACAUCAUGAUCCACCUCCAUGCUAAUGCCCCAAUGAGUACAAGCAUAUCGAUCAUUGGUUUGUUGAUCAGCAAAAAAUGGCCAACAAAUUACUGGCACGCCUCCUGAUAUGGUUUCCAUGGUAGAAUUCUACCCACAAUGCGUCAAAAAAACACCAACUGAAGGAUGUGAAAGAACCUGAUAUUGGUUGCACCAGCUUGUUAUCAACCCUCUAUCUUUAUCUCCUCGAGGAACUCUUCAUCCAGAAUUGCAGAAUCACCCAUCACGAUAUCUGGUCUAAGGAUCCAUAAAAAUGGUGCUUAGAGUUAGCCAAUCCCCAUGAAAAUUCCUUGAGAUGCUUCUCCGAUAUGACAGUAAUGCUUCCAUAGUUUACAUACGCAACUGAAUUGGGUUCCCUUUUGUUAAGCCAUUCAAUGCAGCUUGUAUCUUCUUUCCAUAGGCUUGAGUUCAUUGACUUGGACGGGUCAUCAUGUAUGUGCCUAGCAAGCAAAUGAAGUGGUCCUAAUGUAUAAACUCCAGGGAAUUUGGCAGCGAUUGCUUUUAACACUUCAUGUUCCAACUCUUCAAAUGUGUUGAAGAUGAUUGCUGGAGCAUUUAGGCAAUUUGUGCUUCGGAGCUCAAGAAAUCAAACAUGAUAUCAUUUGGAUUGUUGGCUCCUAUAAAGCUGGGGAGAUCUCUGAAGUGAAUGUUACUCAUUCCAGGGACCUAAUCGAUAGGUUUAUCAAGAGUUCCAUCACUGAGAAAAGUUUCAUCUGACAUAUACAGAAAAGAAGGGUCAAAAUUUUAGUUAUUUUUAGACCAUGUCAAUAAGGACCUACCCUACAAGAGGUGUUAAACAUGCCAAUACUUUGAACACUAUUAGUGUUUUGAUGGUGAGGGGUACUAUUAGAAGGUUGAGGGAGUAAAGUGAAAGCUGAGCCAACAACAUUGGCAUAUUUAAUUUUAGUAGGAUGUUUUUGUAUGUUUUGGCUAAAGAUUUAUUGAAAUCUUAUUUUGACAAUAUAUCAAAAAAAAGAGAGAGAAAAAAUAAUAGAAAAUAAACAUAAUAUGUAGAGCAUAUAUUAUGUAGAUAAUUAAAUUUGUAUAUUGAAAAUGAAAUUAAAAAAAAACUUUCAAAUAAUCAAUUGAAGUACUAGAGAAAAUGAAUUGAAGUAGAAUGUGUUAGAAACAAUAAAUUUUAUUUUAUUUUAAUAGAUUAAUACCCAAACCAAAAUAAAUUUAGACUAAUUUUGUCUAAAUCUUUUUUUGACAUUUUCAUAUACAUGAAAAAAUAUCUUUCCCACUAAAUCACAUUGUCAUAUUUAUGAGAAAGUAAUUCUCUAACACAAAAUUAAAUUCCAAAGAAGGUAAAUAAAUUUUGAAAAACCAAGAAUUAGAAUAAAAUUUCAAGUGAUUAAAAUCUGAAGAAAGUACUCACUAUCCAUCGUACCAAAUUCUACUUAGGUGUACUUGGUAAAGAAGAUGAAAAAAUUGAAAGAAAAAAAAUCCAUUGCUUAGGUAGAGUUGAAAAAUGAGAAAGAAGAAAAUAUUUUUUUUUUGAAAAACACAAUUUUGAAGUAAUAUAUAUAUUUCAUUUUCUCUCCUCUUACCAUUUCAACUUGGAAUUAUUUGUUUUUAUGCAUUUGUUUUUAUUUCUUUGUUUGGUAGAGUUGAAAAAGGAAAGAAGAAAAUAAAACAUUUGAAAAAUGUAUAAUUUUGAAUUAAUAUACGAGGAAGGAUCCUAUGGAACUGUGAUUCCAUGCCAUCCCUAUCUUUUUUAAAUAAGAGAAUGACAAAUUAGAUUUUUCCUUAUGAUAUUUAGCAUUUUUAGUUUGAUUUGAAUUUUUAAGGAGAAAAAAAGCUAAUUUGUCAUUCUCCUAUUGGAAUCCCUUCUCUUAAUAUACAUCUCUUUCAUUCUCAUUUUCUCUUCUCUCAUCAUUAUUAUUUGAAAUGAUUGAUUUUUAUAUAUUAUAAUAUAAAGUGACCUUUUUCUAAUUUCUUUCCUACUAAGCAUUCUCAACUUUUAUUUUCUUUUCCAUUUUUUCACUUCCUACUUUCACCCCUUUAUAUUCUCACUCAAGCACACUCUAAGUUCUAAGGAGAGAGGAUUCCAAGCAUGGUUGAUUGAUCGAGACUGGAAAAAAGUACUUACUUUGGAAUGGAAAAAUGCCUCAUUUAAGCAGUUCACUGAAUUGAAUAUAUCCCAUGAAACUACAAGCUGAGGCAGUCCAAAACUAAACUUUUGGUAUACCAAGUAAUUCAACAACCUUAAUAGCAAAGCUCAUAACUCCAUCUGAAAUUAUGCAAGUAACAGUGGGCACAUGGGGUGAGGAGUUUAACUUAGCUAGUAGCUCUAAAAAUGGUGCCAAGCAAUUCCUUCGUACUGGAUCAUUUAGAACUGAAACAUCCUGUGUUGCAUCACGAUCGGACGGUGGUAGCUUGUUUGGGAUUGUUUCAAACUGAAAAUUAGGCAGACCCAUGACUGUAACACCCCAAACCCGGCCUAGAUGUUAUGACCACAUUCAGAGAUGUCUCAAAGAAGGGUUUUUGAAAAAUGAGUUGUUUCGAUAAAUCAUUCAAGUUUUGCAACUCUUAUUUGUUUAUAACCAUUAUCGAAAGCAUUGUUUAAUUAAUUUGUUUGCCAAAACAUAAAUUAUAGCGAAAGUCACGAAAACGUUAUAUUUGGAAAUCCCGAUCGUAUUUUUCAGAAAACUUUUAUUUUAGUAAAAAUGAUGUUUUUAGCAAAUCGUCUCAAAUAAAGUGUUAAAUCAAAAAUUCCAAACCUUAAAAUUAAACCAAACCGUCCAAAGAGUCUAAUUAUUACAGAACUCCCAGAAAUAAACUUUAAAUUAAAUAAAAAUCAAAAUCUUAAACAGUUACGAACUCGUGGUCACGGUGAGGCUCCAUCACACCGAUCCGCUUAAGUUCGUGGAUUACCUGAACAGAACAGACAAAUAGAUUUGAGUUUUCAUAAACUCAGUGUGUAACCCAAAAAAAAUAGACAUGCCAUUCAUAUAAAUAUCACAUACACAGUCAAAUUCAGAUUCAGAUUCAAAUUUGGACUUAAGUCCUUUUCAGAUACAGAUAACAUAAUCAAAUAUGCAGAAUAGAUAUACAGAAUCCUAGCCACAUCCUCUACACACCAACUCUGACCAUCCCAUCACACCUUGUGGGGUUAAAAAAACAUUCACUCAUCUCUACACACCAUAUCGUGUCAUGACAACACAUAUCAGAUAAUAUGCAACCAAGCUGCCAUAAUAUAGGUGAAGGUUGCCAUACAGAUCACUUCCUCUACAUAAUCAAUUCCCACCCCAAACGUAUAUACAGAAUACAAAUACAUAAAUAUCAUGCUUGCAUGCUAAUAUACAAAUAACAUAUAAAUAUAUACAUAACAUAUUAGUUAGGCAUGCAUAACAGUGUCCUACUCAAAGCAGACUAUCGGAAUAUCAAAUCACGUAAUUUAGGGUUUGAUUAGCCCUUAUUGACCCUACGGUAGGCCCACAGUUAAUUGGAGCGACCCGUGCGAACCUAGGGAAAAUUUUAGAAAUAUAGGCCCAUAUGCCUGUGUGUCCCACACAUCUAGAUUAACCUUGUCCUUAUAGCCCACAUGGCUUGGCUCAAGACUUACACGCCCGUGUGGGCCACACACCUAACUUGGCCUUGCCCGUGUGGCCCACAUGGCCACACUCACACCACCACAGGGCCGUCUCUUGCGCACGACCAUGCCCUUGUCAAACACACCAGCACCUAACUUACCAUCGCAAAAAUGGCUACAUGUAGUAAGCUAAACCGUUGGAGUGACAACCACUGCCUCAUUGCCUUCUCCUACACAACAGAAUUAAUUGAUUACUCACCAUUUAUUGACUAUUAUAACAUUGCCCACAAUUCCAAAAGUCAAUCGUUAACAAAAAACAAAACUUCACUUACCAAGCCGAUUAACGAACCCAAAAAAAAUCACAGUAGCAACAAUUAAAUGAGAAAAACAACAGUAAUCAGAAGAAGGAAACAAAAAAUUGAAAGUGGAGGACAAGGAAGGAGAGAAAAAAACGUUAGGAAAGGAAGUUUUGGGAAAAAGAAAACAAAAAUUAAAAAAAAUUAGAAAUCUGAUAACCUCUUUAAUUUUUCUCCUACUAACCCACUAACUCACAACCACCUCAGAAUUGUAGCUCUACCAAAACUCUAUCAGUCAACCGAACAAAAAUUAACACCCUCACUCACGCAAGGAUUCAAAUACAUGACCUCUAACACAAUAACCCUUUACCACUUGAACCAGCAGACUCAUUCUAAUAUGGGUUAACAGACAACUUAUAUAAGCCCAUUCAACAAUGAUAAGGCUAGGAUUAGAAAAUUCACAAAAUUUGCAAAUGUGGGACUUGAACCCAAAACCUCAUACACACACCCAAAACACUUAACCACUAAAUUAAAUACACACUUGUGUCAUGUAUUUACAGAAACAAAAAUAAAUUAAGUGGGGCGUUACAGCUCUACCCCUAAAAGAAAUUUUGACCUCGAAAUUUACCUAAUCCGGAUAGAUGAAGAUACUGCUGACGCAUCAAGUCCUUAGGUUUCCACGUGGCUUCCUCAGUGCCAUGAUUCCGCCACAAAACCUUUACUAAUGGAAUAGACUUUCUCCUCAGAUCCUUUACAGCACACUCUAAAAUCUACACUGGUUCCUCCUCAAAAGUCAAAUCCGGUCUAACCUUGAUCUCCUCAACAGAGACAAUGUGAGGUGGAUCAGACAGAUACUGCCUCAACAUUAAGACAUGAAACACAUAAUGGAUACGGUCCAACUCUGGAGGUAGCUUCAACUGAUAAGCGACCGGUUCCACAUGCUUCAAAAUUCGAUAAGGCCCAAUGAACCUAGGGCUCAACUUUCCCUUACGAUUGAACCUCAGAACUUUCUUCCACGGUGAAACCUUAAGAAAAAUGAAGUCACCCAUAGAGUACUCAAUAUAUCUCCUCUUUAGAUCUGCAUAGACUUCUUACUAUCAGAAGCUGCCUUUAGAUAAUCCCGAAUCAGUCUAACCUUAUUUUCGGUCUUAGAAACCAACUUAGGACCCAAAAUCUGUCGCUCACCCAACUCAGUCCAACAUAGCAUAGUACGACAGUUACGACCAUACGAAGCCUCGUAAGGUGCUAUCUGGAUGCUAGACUGGAAACUGUUAUUGUAGGCGAACUCAGCUAACGGCAGAAAAUCCUCCCAACUACCUCAAAAAUUUAUCACAAACCUCUGAAGCAUAUCCUUCAAUAUCUAAAUCACCCUCUCAGAUUGACCAUAGUACUGAAGUCUAAUAUCGAACCCAGAGUCUCAUGUAGUUUCUUCCAAAACUGAGAAGUGAAGCGAUAAUCUUUAUAAAAAAUUAUCGAAACAGGUACCCUGUAAUAGGCCAAUUUUGGCCUGGCCCAAUAUUAACCAAAUUAAAAAAACCAAUAAAAAUAAUAAAAUAACCGUCUAUUUAUAAAGUCCAAUAACAUGUCCAAAUUACAAAAGCCCAAAAUAAUAAAAACCAAUACAAUCCUAGACCCAACUAAAGCCCAGUUUGCAGCCCGCAACACUAAAAAACAAACAGAAACCCUAGCCUUCAACCUUCAGCCGCCGCUCCUGCCCUUCGCGUGCACCAGCCUCUUGCCUCAGCCGCACGUGCGCCUUCACUCCGGCUGGCCUCGCACCUGCAACAAACAAGCAGAAAAGAGCACACUGGAAAGCUAAUUUUUGUAUUUUCAUUCGGAUAUAUAAAGCUAAUUUUUGCAUCUGUAAAUGGAUUCACGAAUUAAUAGAAAAAUAUUUAAUAUCACAAGCAGAGAUCUUAUAAUACAAAAAAGAUAGAUUUAAGGUAGAUAUUUGGUUUUUUUUCUCUUCUUCUUUGUUUCGAUUCAUUUAAAAAAAUAUAUAGUAAGAAUUAAGAAAAAGAAAAGGGAAGCCUUACCUUGCAACGCCUUCAGAACCAUGCGAAAAGGAGCUAAAAAGCCCUUUAUGGUGCAGCUCCAACCACCGUUCACGGUGGAAUCGCGACGGAGGCAUGGAGGAUUAGCCUCAGUUUAGGAAACCCUAGCAGAGGAAAAAAAUAAGGUUGAUAGUUUUUCUUUAAAUAAAUGGCAUAAAGUGAUUUAAUUUUUUUUAUUUUAUAAUAGGUACGAAACGGUGUCAUUUAGGGCCUAUUUCAGUAGCCUCAAAACGGCGCCAUAUAAGGCAUGACUCACGCGGUGACCAGACCCACAGGGAGGAUCCGCGUGCUUUUGAUUAAGGGGCAAUUUGCGCAUCUGGCCCCUCCGCAUUUUUAAUUAUUUUAAUUUAGUUUUUUUUUAUUUUCUUUAAUUGAUACUUUAAAUUUUAUUUGGUUUCUGAUUUGGUCCUGGUGAAACGGCGCGUCUUAAAGGGUGGGGAUAUUUCCCCAUUCGGUCCAUUUGAGUUAUUCGCGCCUUUCAAUUGGGUCUUUUAUUUUAUUUAUGUUUUUUCCCUCUAAUUUUGUUUUAAAUCCAAUUUAAUCCUUAUUAGUUUAGUUUAAUGUUUUUAAUUUAUUUAAAUGUAUAUUCUUUCAUUUAUUUAAAUAUAUUUAAUUUUAAAUCUAAUUUAAUGAUUAAGCUCAAUUAUUAUUUUAAAUUUAUUAUUAACAUUGUUUAAAUUUAUCAUAUAUUAUUACUUUAAUUUCCAUCUAUUAUUUUAUAUAUUCUUUUAUGUAAUUUUCAAUAUAAUUUUUAUUUUUUAAUGGUUUUAUUUUAUAAUACAUUUUUUAAGAUUCACUUAUAUAUAUAUUUCUUUGCUUUAAAGAUUUAUACGAUAAUAUUCUUACAUAAUAUAAUUUUAUACAUAUAUACAUAAUUUAUAUUAAACUAUUUUUAUUAUACAUAUAUACAUACAUAAUAUAUUAUUGAUUUCAUAUUAUUAUUAUUUUUACCUAUUUUCAUAUAUAUAAUUUAUUUCUUUUAAAGACCCUAUUUUAUUAUAUUUUACUUAUUUCAACUUUUUGCAUAUAUUAUUAUAUAUAUUAUUAUCUAUUUUGAGUUUUUCAUUCCAUAUAUAUUACUUAUUUAGAUUAAUAUAUAUACUACUUUGUAUAUUAUUUAUUUUUGAUUUUCUUCUUAUUUAAUAUUCACUUUAAAAUUCGUUUAUAUAUUACUAUUACAUAUAGUAUUUAUUUUUAACUCUAUUUUUGAUUUAUUUCAAACUUUCGUAUAUAUCAUUUAUUUUAAAAUUUUUGUACAUAUACUUUAUUGAUUUAUAAUUUCCCUUCUUUCAUGCCAUUCGUUUCUUUAGUUUUUUUAAAACUUGUACAUUUUGUUUGUGUUUGUGUUUGUGUUAACUUGUGUGGUGUCUUUCUUUUAAUUAGUUUUUUUUAACUAGCUUUUAAAUAUUAAUGCUAGUAUUUACAUAAUUAUAUUAUGUGAGAUUAUUGCUAUUAUGUGUAUUAUAUUACUUAUUUAUAUUUAUUGAUUAUUUGUCGUUCAUUAGACUACUUUUUGGUUUAAAAAUUAUCACUCCGCGUUGUACAUUAUCAUUCUAUCGCAUUCUAUUCGCUUAAAAGGUUAUGUUUAAUAUCAUUUAAGUAUCGAAAUCAUUUUAUUCAAAAGCUUUCAAGAUAACGCAAUACUCGAUAUUUGAGAUCUUCGAGAAGAUUGAGCCCUAACUUAUUGGGUUUCAAUUUUCCUCGUUGAAUCUAAGUAAUCGAGUAUCUUUUUUAAUCAAAACAUAUAAAUAAAAAGCUUAUUCUCGGGAAUUCGAUACGUGGUGUCCUAACUCAUUGGAUAUGACAUGUUGUUCUCUUGAGAUGAGGAUUUUUUUUAAAAAUAAAAAAUAAAAACAAUAUUCUAUGUUUGGAAUUUUAAGAAAUUGUGCCCUAACUUACUGAGCUUCGAUUUUCAGCUGACUUAAACAAUUGAAUAUCCUUUUUAAACUUUACUGCAUGAGUUCAAAAAAAAUCAAAAGACAAGCUCAUUUUCAAGGAUGUGAAACAUCACAUCCUAACUCAUUGGAUGUGACAUUCUAUCUCCCGAAAUAAGAGGGUCUUAGCAUGCAUUUUGAUUUAUACAAGUUUCUUUUUAAAUAAAAGGAUCGCAUUUUUAAUCUUUUCAAGUGUUCAACAUUCGACAUUAAGACAUUAAUUAAUCAAUCAGGUACCAAUUUUGGGUGUUACGAGGGUGUUAACCCUUCCUCGUGUGUAAUUGACUCCCGAACCCGUUUUUUCAAAUUUCGUAGACCAAAAUCGUUUUCAAGAUGAUCCGAUCACAUCUUAAUAAAAGAUCGGUGGCAACUCCUAUUUUGUUAUUUAAUUUUAAAAGUCAACCCCUUUUAUUAAAAAAAUGGUUUCGACAAACCCCAUGCAGUCUUACAAUCUUGGAGAUAUAGAGCUUCGCUAACUUCUGCAGAGAGUAGUCCGUCCGAACCGGAAUAAAAUGAGUGGACUUGGCCAAUUGAUCACGGUGACCCAAACAGACUCCUUCUUUGUAGGUGUCAAGGGCAACCCACUAACGAAGUCCAUUGUCACUCGUUCCUAUUUCCAUAAAGGAACCUUAACAGGUGGAAGCAAACCCGAAGACAACUGGUGCUUAGCCUUAACCUACUGGCACGUCAGACAAUGAACAAUAAAAUCCAUAACCUCACGUUUAAAACUCGACCACCAGUACAGUUCACAGAGAUCCCGAUACAUCUUAUUGCCACCAAGAUGCACAGCAUAAGGGCUACUAUGCACCUCUAUCAAAAUCGACUGUCUCAUAUCAGAAUCAUUCGGUACACAAACUCGACCUCAAAAACACAAAACCCCAUCUUUUUUCAGCCCAAAAUCUGAAGUACUGCCACUCUCAACCUGUCGAAAUUGCUGAACCAAGGACUCAUCCCCCAACUGCCUUUCUCGAUUCUGCCCAAUCCAAGUUGGCUUAACUUGUAACACGGCUAACAGACCCCCAUAAUCAAACAAGCUAAGACGAACGAAGAUCUUACAACUAAAGGUAUUGGCCACCGCAUUGGCCUUAUCAGGAUGAUACUCUAUUGUGCAGUCAUAAUCUUUGAGCAGCUCAAUCCAUUGAUGUUGUCUAAGAUUCAACUCCUUCUGAGUAAGGAGGUAUUUGAGGCUCUUAUAAUCAGUAUAGAUAAUACACCUCUCACCGUACAGAUAGUGCCUCCAGAUUUUUAACGCAAAAACCACAGCAGCCAAGUCGAGAUCAUGCGUCGGUUAACUCACGCAACCAGAACUCAUACUUGCUCAACUUAGUGUAGAGCUAUUUUUCUCGGAGUAUCUGAAGCACUACUCUAAGAUGCUCAUCAUGCUCGUCCUCAGUCUUAGAGUAAACCAGAAUAUCAUCGAUCAAAACCACAACGAAUUGAUCUAGAUACGGCUGAAAGACUCAGUUUAUCAAAUCUAUAAAUGCAGCUGGUGUAUUCGUCAAACCAAAUGGCAUAACUAGAAACUCGUAAUGCCCAUAACGAGUCCUAAAUGCAGUCUUAUGAACAUCAACUUCCUUAACUCUAAGCUGAUGAUGCUCAGAUCAGAGAUCUAUUUUUGAGAACACAGAAGCCCAUCGAAACUGGUCAAACAAAUCGUCGAUCCUCGAAAGUGGAUACUUAUUCUUCACAGUCAGCUUAUUCAAUUACCGACAAUGAAUAUACAUCAUCAUGGUCCCAUCAUUCUUUUUUACAAACAGAACUGGUGCCCCCCACGAAGACACACUAGGGCAGAUAAAACCAUGAUCUAGAAGCUCUUGAAGUUGAGCUUUAAGCUCUGUAAGCUCCUUCGGUGCCAUACGGUAGGGAGCGAUAGACACCGGAGCUGUACCCGAUAGAAGCUCAAUGCCGAACUCAACUUCUUGACUUGGAGGUAAACCCGUUAACUCCUUAGGAAAGACAUUCGAAAAAUCUCUCACCAUUUUUAUAUCCCCGAUAGAAGAUUCCUACAGACUGAAACACUGACGAAAGCCAUAUACGUCUCACACCAUUUUCGAACCAAUUUCUCAGCCACAAGAGUAGAGAUCACAUUGGACAGAUAAUCUCGACGCUCUCCAAUCACAACUACCUCCUUAUCAUCCUCGGUCAUCAUAACAACCCUCUUAGUUGGCAAUCUAAGCUAAUUCUGUGCUCAACUAACAAGUCCAUACCCAAAAUUACAGCCCCUUACGCUUCUAAUGAAACAUUUCUAUAAAGUCUAUUAACCCGAACAGACUGCCCUAACGGACGUAGUACAGUAAUCUCACUAGAAGUACUCUCAACAAAAAUCCCCAGGUUUUUAGAAACAGUACUAGCUACAUAGGAAUGUGUAGAUCCUAUGUCUAUCAGAGUAGUAUAAGAAACAUCAAAAAUAAAGAAUACCGGUGAUAACAUUAGGAGCGUUUCUAUCCUCUCAGCGUGAAGCAGCAUAAACCAGUGCAGGUUACCUUGCCUCAGCUUGACGAGCACCUCUGCCCAGUGCUCUCUGCCAUCGGCCCAAACCAUUACCAUCCCUAACUGAUCCACGACCCCUAGGUGGCUGCUGAACUACCCUCUAAGGUUGUACAGAACCUAGUCUCAAUGUUUGUAUCUGAUCCAUACACUGUGGACACUCUCGAAUCGGAUGCUCCAAAGACCCACACCUUAGACAAGCUUCUAAUCUCCUCCAAUACUUGCCCGGGUGACAAACUCUCACUCCUUCUGUGGAGUAAUCAAUACCCUCAGAUUAUCCCUCAAGCCAUCCUCAAAACAGACGCAUUUCUCAUACUCAGACGCCACCAUUCCUCGAGCAUAGCAGCUCAACCUUAGAAACUCAGCCUCAGAUCUAUUACCUUGCGUGAGAUUCAUGACCUCACGCCUAUGAGUAUGUACAUAGCUCGCGCACACAUACUUCCCCUAAAAAUCAGUAUUGAAUAAGUCCCACUACAGACGAUCUGACUGAGUACCCUCCUCAACUGAUAACCACCACUGAUAUGCCUCAACCGAUAACCUUAAGUUUCUACUCAAAAGUACAGCCAAUAUCGUUCAUGGUCCUCUCGAUGGCCUCCAACCAAUACUCAUUCAUAGUAGGGGUGACUCUAGUGACACCCGUAAAUAGCUCAACUCUAGUGGACAAGAGUCGUUCAGUUAUCGACCCACAGCCUCCAAAUCUAGAAUGGGGUCUAGCGACUCUAUCCAACACCCUCAACAUGGCUUGGGAUAGUGCGUCAUCCCCAGCUGAGCGGUUUUGGGACCCAGUCUCAGUAGCAAGUGAAAUCGGUGUCUCACUCAUGUCUAAAUUUGGCAUACUGCCCAAAGAGAAAGACUCAGCUCGAGCCCCCUACGGCCUCUACCAUGCCCACGAAUACCACGACCGCGAGUUCUACAAGCACUCAUUAUAUAUUUUAAAAUUUAUCUACAUUAUAAAAUUUUAUGUAUCAGUUCUAGUAUUUAUUAGCAGAUAUUUUAUGCGUAAAUUAUUAGAAGUUUAGAAAUGUUUUCAGAGGUUUUAGUCUCUAACUAAAUCAGUACAGUUUCAGAAAGUACUAACUAUAGUGUUGUUAAAAUAUUCUAUCUAAGUUCAGAAAUACUUACAAGAUCGACACCGGAGACUCGGUGUACCACGUACUUUCUCAAAUUAUCCAAAAUAUUUGAAAAUCAGUUCUUUUUGAAACACAAUUUUGGAACCCAAAAUUCACAGCAUGAGUUUUACAACCUGGCUUUAAUACCACUAAAUGUAAUACCCCAAACUUGACCUAGACGUUAUGGCCAUAUCUAGAGAUGUCACAAAAAAGGGUUUUUUGAAAACUGAGUCGUUUCGAUAAAUCAUUCAAGUUUUGUAACUCUUAUUCGUUUAUAACCAUUAUCGAAAGUGUUGUUUAAUUAAUUUGUUUUUCAAAACAUAAAUUAUAGUUAAAGUCAUGAAAACGUUAUAUUUGGGAAUUCCAUUCGUAUUUUUAGAAAACGUUUGUUUUAGUAAAAAUUAUGUUUUUAGCUAAUCGUCUCAAAUAAAGUGUUAAAUUGAAAAUCCCAAACCCCAAAAUUAAGGCAAACCGUCCGAAGAGUCCAAUUAUUACAAAAAUCCCAAAAAUAAACCUUAAAUUAAAUAAAAAUAAAAAUCUUAAACAGUUACAAACUCGUGGUCACCGUGAGGCUCCAUCACACCGAUCCACCUAAAUCCAUAGAUUACUUGAACAGAACAGACAAACAUAUUUGAGUUUUUGUAAAUUUAGUGUGUAACCCAACAAAAAUAGACAUGCCAUUCAUACAUAUAUCACAUACACAGUCAAAUUCAGAUUCAGAUUUAGAUUCAGACUUAAGUCCUUUUCAGAUAUAUAUAACAGAAUUAGAUAUGCAAAACAGAUGUACAAAAUCCUACCCACAUCCUCUACACAGUAACUUCGACCAUCCAAUAAUACCUUUGUGGGGUUAAAAAAACACCCACUCUUCUCUACACACCAUAUCGUGUCAUUACGGCACAUAUCAGAUAAUAUGCAGCCAAGCUGCCAGAAUAUAGGCAAAGGUCACCAUACAGAUCACUCCAUCCACAUAAUCAAUUCCCACCCCCAAACAUAUAUACAAAAUACAGAUAUAGAAAUAUCAUACUUACAUACUCAUAUAUAGAUAAUAUAUAAAUAUAUACAUAACAGAUUAGUCAUGCAUGCAUAAUAGUGUCCUACUCAAAGCAUACUAUCGAAAUAUCAGAUCGCAUAAUUUAGGGUUUGAUUAGCCAUUACCGACCCUACGGUAGGCGUACAGUCGAUUGGAACGACCCGUGUGACCUUAGGAAAAAAUUUGGAAAUAUGGGUCCAUAUUUCCGUGUAGGCCCACAUGCCCAAAUUGGCCUUGCUCGUAUGUCCCACACGGCCUGGCCUAAGACUCACAUGCCCGUGUAGCCCACACGCCCAACUUAGCCUAGUUCGUGUAGCUUACACGACCACAUUAACACCACCAUACGGUCGUGUCUUGUGCACAGCCAUGCCCUCGUCAAACACAGAGCCGUGUCUCGCACACGACCAACCACAUGGCCAGGCACAUGCCCGUGUGGCGUCAACAGUAUGGUUUUUUGGCUUUCGCUGAAGCUCAAUUUUUUUACAUUUUGGGAACACACCUGAUUCAAUUUUGAUGCAAAAGUACUCCCGAGACCACUAGAACCUAAAACCAGAAUGCCGAACACCUUUUAGCAACCAAUAUCUAGUUCACAAAAACUAAAUCGAUCAACACCCAAAAAAACUUACCGCCGAAAAAAUGAUCACACACAGUAAGCUAAAUUGUUAGAGUGACAACCACUGCCACAUCGUCUUUUCCUACACAACAGAAUUCAUGAAUUACUCACCAUUUAUCAGCUAUCAUAACAUUGCCCACAAUUCCACAAACCAAUCAUUAACAAAAAACAAAAAUUCACUUACAAAUUUGAUUAACGAACCCAAAAAAAAAUCACAAUAGCAACAAUUAAAUGAGAAAAAUAACAGUAAUCAGAAGAAGGAAACAAAAAAUUGAAAGCGGAGGACAAGGGAGGAGAGAAAAAAAGUUAGAAAAAGAAAUUUUGGGAAAACGAAAAGAAAAAUGAAAAAAAUCAGAAAUCUGAUAACCUCCCUAAUUUUUCUCCCACUAACCCACUAAAUCACAACCACCUUAUAAUUUUAGCUCUAUCGAAACUCUAUCAGUCAACUGAACAAAAAUUAACACCCUCGCUCACUCAAGGAUUCGAGCAUAAGACCUCCAACACAACAGGCUUAUUUUGAUAUGGAUUAAUAAAUAAUUUAUAUAAGCCCAUUCAACAAGGAUAAGGCUAGGAUUAGAAAAAUAACAAAAUUUGCAAAUGUGGGACUUGAACCCAAGACCUCACACACACACUCAGAACACUUAACCACUGAAGCAAAUACACAAUUGUGUCAAGUAUUUAUAGAAACAUAAAUAAAUUAAGCGGGGCGUUAUGUUGACAGAAUGUAAGUGCUUAGCCAGUUACAUCAUGGGGCUAACAUGGCCUUGUGAUGGAUAUGGAACGCAUACAGUAUGGGGUUUUGUGGUUUCAACGGAACUCAUCUUAACAAAGCAAUAAAAAAAUUUAGAAAAUUAAGGUCAGGGAAAAGCUUUCCUUGUUUGCUAGCUUCAAUGAAGCUUGAGGAUUACGUAGGCAUAUUUAUAUAUCUUUAUAUAUAUAUGCUGAAAAAAAUUGAAAAAAUGUGUAAUUUUUUUAAAAUUUACCAAUUUAGAUAUGCUUUUCGAGAGAAAGAAUAAUGCAUCCUAUAGGACAUGUUUUUAUUGAAAAUUAAUAACUCAGAUAUUUUGGGCAGAUGGUUAAAUGUUGGUAUUUUUGUCUUUUAGUCAUAGGUUUGAUUCCUUUCUUACUCACAUCUAUAUUUUUUUUAUUUGAUGUUGUUUUUGUUAUGAAUAUCUUAUUAAGUGAAUGUCUAUCAUGAUCAAGAUAAAGUUUUGAUGAACUUUAAAUUCUAAUAGUUAUUAGAGUUAGAUCUCUACUUCUUUUAUACUUUUUAUACCUAUAAAUAGAGACUUUAAUUAAGCAUUGUAAUCAUCCCUUUGAUUAAUAAAGUACAUUCUCCAUUGCUUUCAUAUUUUCUUUGUCUUUCAUUCUCUCUAUCUUUCUUUAUUUUAUAACAUGUUAUCAGCACGAUGACUUUCUAUUUUUUAAAAAUCUUUUGAAGUCGUCCCAUAAAUCAAAUUUAUUUUCACCUUAAACUUUCUCCCUUACAACUUCAUCUUUAAGAUGUUGAAAGAUUUAAUCUCAGAAUGGGUUGUGGUUCUUAUUCCCAAUCUUUGAUUUAUAAUUAUACAAGCAUGGGGAAAGAAUAGAUUUGUGCUCAUGACAAUAGUCAGGGUGAUGACGAUGAUGUUAAAAAUCUUAAGGUAUAUUUUACUAUGUUUUAUUUAUUAUAUAAUGUUUAUUAUAAUUGGAGACUAAUCAUGAUAAUAUGAAUUGGUAGAUUUUGCGAUGGUGAUUAUGAAAUAAAGAUUCUAUUGGGAUGUUUAUAAGUUCAUCCUGCUAGAUUUGUUGCAUUCCCCGAAGUGAAUGUAAACAUAAAGAAAAUAAAAGAUAUACUCAUGGACCACUAAAAGUGGGAAAAUAGUAAUAAAUAAGAAAACAAUGAGAGUUCUCAAGAAAAAUUUUCAAAGCAUAAAGAUAACUUAUGUUAUCAAUGUGAAAUGAAAGAUUAUUGGUCACAUAUGUGGUGUAUGCCCAAAUAUUUUGUCUCUGUUAAUAUUCUUUAAGGAAGGAUAUGAGGAUGUAGUAAUGAAUUUUAUCAUUACAGAUAGAAAAUAUUUAUCUUAUUUGGCACUAAAAUAAACAAAUAUAUUCCAAUAUUUGAUAGUACAAAAUUAGUUGAAAGCUCCAGAAGAGCUAAUAUAUCAAUAUCUAAAAAGCACAAAGUUUGUGAUGGUUAAUGCAUUAGUUUUAAAAGAUAUUCAUAAUGGAUCUCAUAUUGAGAUUGUGAAUGAGAAAAAUAUUAUAUUUCAUAUGAAUCAAAAGAGGAUUGUGUUAUUUAUAUUUUGAAUCGAACUCGGGACCUCUUGCACUUUAAGUGAGAAUCAUACCACUAGACUAAAUGCCUUAUAUUUGAAGAUUUUGACAUAUUACCUUAAGCGAAUAUUACAUAUAAUUCACUACAGCAAAAUAGGAUUUUAGUGGCAUUUUUUAUGCCUAUAGCACCGUUAAAACUACCGUUCUUUAGUGGUGUUUUACUAAAAACCCCACUAACUUUGGCAGAUUUCAAACAUCCAAUUUUCAUCCAUAGGCAACCCUUCCUGUAACAUGGAAACCAACCAAAAACAACAAAUCUGAUACUUCAAAUUCAACGAAUGAUAUAUUAUAUAAAUUGAUAAAUGAAGUAUAAUUCAAAUUAUUCUUACAGUAAUGUUAAAAGUUAAGAUUUUAAAAAUAUUCAUACAAUAGUUUAAGAUGGCAGAUUUUGCGAUUGCUGAAACAUCUUCAUCAUAUUCUAAAGCUGUAGUUAGAGUGCGUCCUACUUUUUGCUCUACUCUGUUUCCCUCGCUGUUGCCUCUGCUUUAAGUUGUAGUUGGAGUUCUUCAUAUUUUCUUUGAACCUAAGCUUCUCUCGAUGCUGCCUCCGCUUUAAGUUGAGUAAUUUGCUCAACUGUUGUCGCUUGCAUCUGAGCCAACUAGUCUCUUAACCUCUGAACUUCAACUUGAGCCUGACUCCCCGAAGGCAUGUAUUGCUGCGAGUUGGAUCCAAAAUAUUGGGUUGGGUUAACAAAAAAUCCUUGAAAUCGAACCCGACCAUAUCUUUUAGGACCAAAAAAAUUAGUAAUAAUUCAAUUAUCAAUGUCGUCAACAUUAACAAAACUAUCACUUGAAGCAAUCGCUUCAUACUCCGCCUUUUUAUCCUUUAGUUUCUCCUAAUAAAUUAAUCAAAGAGUUAGAAAUGAAAUAUAUAAUAAAAACAAAUGCAACAUAACUUAACAUUAUUUGCAUUAGAAACGACGAAUUAAACCAUUAUAAUUAAACACUAUAAAUAUUUAAAAUAAUUCAGAUUUUAUUAACUAAACAUACCAUAAUUUCUGCAGCUUCAGAAGUCAUAGGAGAUCCAUCUUUCUUCCUAUAUGUUAUGUCAAAAAGCUAAAGGCGUCCAAUUUUUUGACCAGGCGGCAGUUCCUACAAUAUAUAGUAAAAAUAUUAUUUAAUGGAAAGUAAUAAAUAUUUAACACUAUUAAUAAAUUCAAAAUACCUCAGCCUCAGCUACACAAGCAAAACUUUUCGACCCAACUGUGUGAGUGAAUUUUUGUUUUUGCCUGCUGCUUGUUCCAACUCGUUCACGAUCCUACAUUAUGAAAUUAUUAUUACGUAUAUAGUAAAUACUAUAAACUGAAAUAAUUAUAAGAGUUUGGAAGUACGUAAUACAUCUCCUUUCUUUGAAUUCCAAAAUCUAACCGCAUCUUCCCAUUGGAACCUUAGUAUUCCCGGUGGGACAUUUCGCAAUUUCUCUUCGAGGGUUGUUUUUGUCUUAAAAUAUUCUUUCUUUAAAGUACUUUUAUGGUCACUCCAUCUUUUUCCCAAUGCCUUCUUGACAUAAUUAUCCGAGACCUCUAAAGUAAACCUUGCCUACAAAAACACAAGUUUAGAAAGUAAAUAUAAGUGAAACUUAAACCAAAGUAUUAUAAAUUACAUUAACGUUUUGUUACCUUAAUAUUAUCGAUAGCUUGAUUUUUGUUACUAUUAGGCAUUUGAUGCCAUGACUCGUAGUUGAUAGGCAACAUAUUGGCAUUUCAUGCUAUAAUGCCCAAAUAUCCUGCUAAAAAUCGAGCUUCUGAUCCAACAGGCUGACCAAAACUGUUUCUACAUACUUUGACACGCUCGACAAGAUCUAACUCGUAUAAAUCUUUAAGUAGCGUACGUCCUCGUUCUCUGUACGUCCUCGUAUGUCCUCGUAUAAAUCUUUAAAUAGCAGUUUGUUGUUCACUAUUUGUUUCUUUCGAGUUUAGAGUAUUUUGAACAAUACUUAGAUCUCGCAAUCUUCUUCUAGGAAUUUUAUCUGCAAUAAACAUAAAAUAGUUAAAAUUUUAGUAACUAAUUAUAACAAUAACAACACAUAUAAAAUAGUUGAAAUAUUUAAUAAGACCAAGAUUUAAAUUAUGGUAUUGCAUAUAAUUAAAAAAUCGUAAAAUCUUACUACAUCAUAAAUUGUAAAUAUCUUUAUCAACAUCCUGGCGAACCCAUUGAAAUUGUGUACUAGUACUAGGGAUAUUUUCGUUUAAGUUUUGUUUUAGAAAAGGAAAAGUUUCUGAUCUGUCGUCGAUGUCAUCUCUACUUCCAUUGCCCAUGUCAAACAAGUCUCUAGGGAUGUUACGGAGUACAAUGUACCAACCCUCAUCAGUUGGAUCUUUUGAGUAAAAAACUUGUUUCACUUGAUAAAAAAAUACAUACGGCUUAUCUAUCAAUUGUUGUCCAAUGUGAAUCAAUCAACAGAAGUUCACCGUUGUAAAACCAAAUUGAUCUUGUUUAAUUCCACGAGCAGUAUUAACAUCAGCCCAGUCACAUCGAAAUAAGACAACUUUCCAUUUAACAUAGUAAUCCAACUUAAUAAUGUCAGUAAGAAGUCUGUAAUACUCCACAGUUCCCUCAAUAGGAUUAUUGUCCUAGCACUAGCAUAACUUGUAAUUGAAGAAUUAACAACUAUUCCACAAUUUUGAGUUCUCCUCAAUCUCUCCCGAUAUUUUGUACGAAACCUGAAUCCAUUGAUGAGGAAUACACUAUAUCUUUUUACAACUCUAUUCAGACCUUGGGAAAGCAAUUUAACUUCGUCAUUGACGUCCUUCCCACUCCAAACAUGUUGAAUCGAAAGUAAAUUGAGUAAUUAUAAAUGUUAUGAGAAAAACAUUUAUUAUUUUUCAAUGAAAGCUUCAACUACAUACCAUUUUGCUUAACCAUUCAUGAAAAGAUUCUGUGAAUAACUUAUUAAGCUCUCGAUGUUGUAAUCUUCGGGAGCGUGAACGAGAUCUCAAGAUUUGUUUGUACUCACUAUGUUAAAAAGAGGUUUACUUUGUUAGAAGAUAAACAAAUUAUAAUUGAUGGAUAUUUAUCAAAUUCCAAAACUUACUUGUGUAAUGGUUCCAUUAAGUCGUGGUGAAAAAGAACAUAACGAUGUGCUUGUACCCACGAUCUAUCAUCUAAUUCUGAAAUUUCAACUUCGCCGAUUGGUUCUCCAUAACUUUGAAAUAAAUAUGUUUCGGCCAAGUUAUGAUCAGUGAGCCCAGCAUUUCUACUUGGUCUUUUUAUUCUUGUUUCAACAUCUUCAAAAUAUCUAGAACAAAAAGUCAUACAUUCUUCAGCCAAUUAGCCUUUAGCAAUUGAACCUUCUGGAUAACGCUUGUUACUCCAAUAAGACUUCAAUUUCGAUAGGAACCUAAACACGAUAUACAACAUUAUCAAAAGUUGUAAGUAAAGGCAUAGAGGUGAAUGAACGAAUAAUUUACAAAUAAAUUAACACCUUUCUAUGGGAUACAUCCAUCAAUAGAAAACGGGUCCACCAAGUAUUGCUUCAUGAGGGAGAUGAAUUAGCAAGUGCACCAUAAUAAUGAAGAAGGAAUGUGGAAAGAUCUUCUCCAAAUUGCAUAAAGUCAAUGUGGCUCGAUCUUGUAGCGUCUCAAGUUCUUGAACAUCCAAAACUUUGCCACAAAUGGCUUUCAUUAUAUUGGAUAGUUCAAUUAUACAAGAAACUUUUUCGACAUACAACACCGCAUAGCAACUGGCAGUAAAUCUUGCAUCAAGAUGUCAUAGUCAUGUGAUUUUAAGGCAUAUAGUCUUCGAUCUUUAAGACUCACACAUCGAGAUAUAUUUGAUGCAUACGCAUCCGGGACCUUUAUAUCCUUCAACAUCGUACAGAAUACUUUUUUUUUCGUCUUCGACAUUGAAAAAAUAGAAGGUUGCAACCGAUAUUUCCCAUUCAAAAGUGCUUGGGGAUGAAGAUCACGCCGAAUUCCCAUGUGGACUAAAUCAAGUCGACUUUGAAGAUUGUCUUUUGAUUUUCCAUCGACAUUGAAAAUUGUCCCAAUGAUGUUCUCACAAACAUUUUUCUCAAUAUGCAUGACAUCAAGAUUGUGUCGUAAAAUGUGAUGCUCCCAAUAAGGUAACUAAAAAAAUACUUCUUUUUCUCCACAAGUCCGCCUCAUUAGGAUCAUCCUCUUCAUCAUCAGAUUCAUCCAUUGAUCUUCUAUUUCUUUGUGUGUUGGGUGGUUGAUUCAUCUUCCCAUAACUGAAAUUCAUAUUUUUCAACAUGAACAAGAUUUCAGAUCCACCGGUCUACGAAGGAGCUUUUCUGAACUCUUUAGUACCGUCAAACAGAGUACUCUGAAAUCUACAUCUAUGAUUUCCUAGUAACCAUCGUCGAUGCCCCACGUAAGAGAACUUCUUCCCAUUAUAUAGCCAUUGUGAACAUGUUUGCACGACACAACAAGGACAAGCAUAAUGUCCCUUGGUACUCCAACCAGAUAAAUUGGCAUAAGUCGGGAAGUCAUUAAUAGUCCACAUCAAAGCUGUAUGUAAAUUAAAGUUCUCCUUUCUCAGUACAUCAUAUGUCUUAACACCAGCCCAUAAUUGUUUUAACUCUUCAAUAAGUGGCUACAAAUAAAUGUCAAUAUCAUUUCCGGGACCUUUCUCUCUAGGGAUAAUCAUAGAUAAGAUAAAGGAAGAUUGUUUCAUGCAAAUCUAUUGAGGUAAAUUGUAAAGAACAAGCACUACAGGCCAAGUACUAUACGCAGUGCUCAUGAUUUUGUAAGGAUUAAAUUCAUCAGAUGCUAGCCCAAGCCUCACACUCCGAGGAUCGCUUGCAAAGCUUGGAAAUUUACUAUCAAAUGAUUUCCAAGCUAUAGAAUCCGUAGGAUGCCUUAACAAUCCAUUAUCGAUUCGUUCAUCAUGGUGCCACAUCAUAGACUCGGCUGUCUUCGAUGACAUGAAAAGUCUUUGAAGCAUUGGUAUUAGCGAAAAAUAUCGCAAAAUCUUAAUUGGCUUCUCCCUUGACUGUGCAUCAUUUUCAUCCUAGUUACCAUAUUAUGUAUUUCUAUUCAUCCAACGGGAUUGACCGCAUACAUGAUAGCACUGUUGGUUUUUUCGGUCGCCCCAAUACAACAUGCAGUCAUUUGGGCAACUCUGAAUUUUGUUGUACCAAGGCCUAAACCUUUUAUCAAUUUCUUCAUAUCUUUGCAUGAAUGAGGGAUUUUUGCAAACGGAAACAUCUCUCUCAAAAACUCUAACAGCAUUGUCAAAGAGUUUCUGGUCCACCCUCCCAAACACUUUAAUUGAAAAAGACGAAUAUAGAAGGACGUUUUUGAAAAUUUUGAUCCCUCAUAAAGUUCUUCAUUCAUUUCAUUAAGCAGCAUGUAGAAAUUUGCCACUUCUCCAUUUCGCUCUUCAUCAGGUAUACUUCUUCCCGUUUCGGUAAAAUCAUUUCACUGAUAUUACAAUCAUCAAAUGCAACAAAGUCGGGUGGAACGAUUGCAAACCAUGACUGUGCAUAUUAAAUGCAUCCCGCGACAUACCUUCCAUGUCAUCUUCUCUAACAGACUGAUGGUAAGCACUACAAGGAUAAGCCGGAUUAAUCGUUGAAAAGGAAGUACUAAGUGUGCAUUCUCCAUGGAAAAUCCAUUUUUUAUACCCCCCGAAUAAACCUAUCGACAAUUAGAUGCUCGUAGACAACUUCACGAAAAUGCCAAUUGAUGUUGCCACACUUCUUACACGGGCAAAGAAUCAUAUUCUCUUGGCUUGCAUUUUGAAAUGCAAAAUUUAGAAAAGUUUGUACUCCAUUUCAAUAGUCGUUGCUUACCCUUGACAAAUUCAUCCAAGACCGGUCCAUUUCGUUGUUCUUGAAGCCUAAAGUUGACAAUAAAUUACACGGGUAAUCAUGGCUAUUUAUAAGUAUAAUUAAGUUAUGUAACUUAUGAUAUGAUAUAUAUUUAUGUAUUAUGCAAGUUAUGUAAGUUAUGUAAGUUAUGUGAGUAUGCAAAUUAUGUAAGUUAUGAUAUAUAUUUUGUAAGUUUUAAAAACAUUUAAAAAUAUUAAAUAUUAACAUCAACUCAAUAAAACACUAAAAUAAUAGUAUAUAGAUACAAAUAUUAUAAUAUAGAUAUUUCCGUUCUAAUGUUUAAAUUUAUUCUUUUUUAAUUUAAAUCAAAGCUCAAGACAUCAACUUAAUUGACUUGUAACAUAAUAAGAAUAUUUAACGCUAAUGAAUUAACAUUAUAUCAUUUCACAAAUUCUUAAAUUUUUAAAUUUUUUUAUAUAUAUUGGAGGUGAUUAAAGUAUCAUAAUCAAUAUUAACCAAGCUAAAAAAUCUCAACAACAUAACAUUUACCUAUUUUUUAAUGAUAGUAAGAAUUUCAUCAAGCUUUGCUGAUUGAAAUCAAUUUAAUUAAAUCCUAAUAAAAAAGAGUUGUUUUUGCAGCAAUUUUAAAAUGAAAAUUAAUUGUUUUUGCUGCAAUUUUAAAAUGGAAAUUAAAAAAAUUUGACAAGUGUAUUUAUCGUAUAUCUUUACAAAACAUGUCAUACACUAAAUUUAGAGUAGAUCGAUUUUUUAAAAAUUCUCAUAAUUGUUCAGAAAAAUAGUUUUUAUAGCAACCAUUUUCAUUAAGCAUAAUCUUUUAAGUCCUUCCACAAAUUUGAUGUUGAUGGACUAUAUAUAGCUGUAGUUUUGUCUUUAUUCAGACAUAAUCUUUUAGGUUUUCGUGAGCAAUAACACAUUAUGUUUUGUAAACUUAUGCAUUAUUUAUUCAUUUGAAAAUAUAUAAUUACAACGAACCCAAAUCAAAUCUGAACCUGAAACAAAUUCGAUUCAUAAAAACUUUAAAUCAAUUCAUUUCACAAGUUGAUAAACCAAAAUUAUCCAAACAAAAAAUAAAAAUUAAAAACUUUCACAGUGGGAAAAUAAAAACUUCAUAUUUAAAUGAGUGAAAGUAACUUUAAUAUAAAAAAACAGUUUUAAAGAAAUUAUGUAUUUAUCGAUGAACCAAACCGAUUCAAACUAGUGAAAGGUUCGGUUCAAUUUGAUUUCAAUUUGGAUCUUUAAAAACCAAAAUACUGUAUAAUAAUUGCAAAUAUAUUCCAUAACCGAUCUUAACAUACAACACUUAGUACAAAAUGGAGCAAAAAAGAACUUGCAACAACAUUAACCAGAACUUGCAACAAAAAAGAACUUGCAGCAACAUUAACCAAAUUCCUAAAUAAAACAGUCCCAAAUACAAAUAUACCAAAUUCAAAAAUAAAUUUAAAAAUGAAAAAAAAUAAAGAAAAUAAAGGAUUAACUAACCUUCUGGUUAUCUAGGCUUUCUGUGUAUUGCUUCAAACCAGUGAGAGCUGCCAAAUUUGUCGACUAAACUGCUAAAACUAAAUUGCUACAAUCAAAAUGGAAAGAAAAAACUACUACUCUGCCUCUGCCUGACUAAAUUGCUAAAACUGCAUGAGAAAGCAGCCAAUAAUGCACUAACGAUAUAUUUUAAAAUAAAUAUACAAAAAAAAUCUAUGCUUUCAAAUCGAUUUUAAAUUCGAAAAUUAGAAUAUGCACUAACGAUAUAUUUUGGUGGAUCCAAGUCUGGAAUUAGAAAUAGUUAGAAUAUGCUUUCAAAUCGAUUUUAAAUUCGAAAAUUACUUUUACCACAAACAAAUUAAAAAUAUAUUUCAAUACAAAAUAGAUUUAGGCAUUCGAAAGCAUACGUUUUAUUGUCAAAAUGUAACAGUAAAUGGUUAAAACCCUAAACAGACUAAAUUGCUAAAACUAGAAUUAAGAGAGAAGAAAACAAUACCUUUAGGAAGAUGAAGAGAAAUUAAAUCACUUCGGAACAGAUUCCACAAGUAAAAGUGUGAAAUGCGAACGUUUUUAGGGAUCAGAAACCCUAAAACCAAAGACGAAUUGACUGGAUUUUAGGGUCAAUAACUUUGAAAUAAACAAAAAAUUCACACAAACAAGAAUAACCCAAACCUUAAACACGCAAAAAAAAAGGAAAUGAAACAGGUUCAAGCUUACCCAAAAAACAGAAUGUCGUUUACUCUGUCUUCAUAUAAAUGUUGUGAAGAAAUCAAAACGAAUACUCCUAAUAAGUAAAAAAAUGAAAUGAAGAAUCGAAGAAACAAAAAUAAAGCCAAUGCUAGUUCUAUAGGUUCGUCUCUGUGAAUGAGUGGAAUUAGGUAUUUCGAAAGGGAAUUAGGGGCUGGGUACUGGAAAGGGGAAAAUUGUUAUGUGGAAGAAAAUAACGACGUUCUGAAAAAUUUUUAAUUUCCUGAAAAGAAACGGCAUUGUUCUGAACAAUUUUUAAUACAUUGUUGCGGCGUUUUUAGACAAAACGUCACUAAUGCUUACCUUUUGCGGUGAUUCUGAGAAAAAUGCUACUAAAAAGUUAAAAUCUUGUAAGCAAACGAUGCCGUUUUUGUACACUUUUUAAUACAUUGUUGCGGCGUUUUUAUAACAAACGCCGCUAUUGCAUACCUUUUGCGGCGUUGUGGAGAAAAAUGGCACUAAAAAUCAAAUUCCUGUAACCAAACAGUGCCGUUUUGUACAAUUUUUAAGACAUUGUUGUGACGUUUUUGGUCCAAACGCCACUACUAUUAAAAAUUUUUCAAAUAUUUAAUAGUUUUAUAAAAUUAAAAUUUGAUACAUUAAUAUGACAUUAUUUAAUUGUUCCAUUUUAAAAUUGAAUAUAAUGAUGGAAGAUAAUUCUUCCUCUACUAUUAAAAAAUAAUUUAAUUUGGGUAUCUUAAAAUUUUAAUAAUUCUAUUAAUUAUUUUAAAAUUAGUUUUUUAAAGUACAAAGAUUAAAUUCUAAUGAAUUAAAGUAAAAACCUUAACUUUUUUUUCCAUAAAAUAGAAGGAUGAAAUUCAUAAUUAGACAAAAAAACCCUAAACCUAAGACCCUAAACACCUGAAAACACCUAAAUCCUAAAACCCCUAAACCAUAAAAUUUAAACCCUAAUCUCUAUACCCUAAACCCUUAAACCCUAGUCCCUAAAUUACCAUAAACCCAAAACCUUAAACCAUAAACCUCCACCAUAUUAACUAAACUUUAAACCUUAAACCCUAAACCCUAAACCUUAAACCCCAAACCAUAAACAUACACCCUAAACCAUAAAUAUAGAUAUUACAGGGGACAAAAGUAAUUAAAAAGGAAUCUUAAAUACUAAACCCUAAACCCUAAACCCCAAACCCUAGACUCUAAACCAUAAACGCAAAACUCAAAAUUUUAAUCCGAAAAUAAUAAACAUUUUAUCAUAAACCUUAAACCAUAGACAUUAAACCUUAAAUACUACCCCUUAAACCCUAAACCUUAAACCUUAAAACCAUAAAGUGUAAAAUAAAAUGAUUUUUUUGCGGCGUUUCUUCAAAAGUGCCGCUAAUGCUGAACAAAAAAACGAAAUCAAUUUACUCAUUUUUUGCGGUGUUUCCCAAAAAGCAUAGCUAAUACUUGUUCUAUAGCAGUGUUUCAUAAAAAGCGCCGCGAAUUCUCGAUCUAUUGCAGCGUUUUUUAAAAUGUGCCGCGAAUACCACUAAAUCUCAAAAUAGAAAAUGAUGUCGUUUUCUCAACUUUUUUGCGGCAUUUUUCGUAAAGCGCUGCUAAUGUUUGACCUUUAGUGGCAUUUUACAGAAUGCCUCACUAAUUCUCGAACUUUUGCAGCGUUUGUAAAAAAGUGCCACUAAUUCUAGAUUUUUUGCAGCGUUUGUUAAUUAUCGCCACUAAUUGAAAAAGCAAACGGCGUCGUUUUUCCCAAGUUUUUUGCGGCAUUUUUAUAUAAGCGCCCCUAAUGCUUGAUCAUUUGCUACGUUUUAGAAAAAGCGCCGCUAUUGCUUACAUAUUGUGGCGUUUGUUAGAAUUCGCCGCUAAUGCUCUAUUUUUUGCGGCGCUUUUCGUUCAAACGCCGCUAUAAAUGCUGCUAAAAACCUGUUUUGUUGUAGUGAUUGUUUGAAAAUUAUAUUUAUUUAUUGACUUAGUGGGAUUAUAGACUUCACAUUGAUUUAGACAUUUCUAGUAGUAAAUGUCACAAUAGUAUUUAUAUGUGGAUACAAAAUAAAAAGAAGGACAAUAAAAUUAUCAAUUAUCAAAAUUUAUAUUUACAUUAUUAGUACAAUUGAAAAAAAAUGUUAAAGUAAGCCAGAAGUUUUAUCUUGGAUUACAAAUCAAGCAUUUAAAAGAUGAAAUUCAUGUUCAUUAAUCAAAUUAUAUGGAAAAUAUGUUAAAGAAAUUUUACAUGGAUAAAGCACACCUAGCUAUUAAGUACUCUGAUGGUUGUACGAUCGUUAGAUGUGAAUAAAGAUCAAUUUCCUCCUUGCAAGAAUAAUGAAGAGUUUCUUCGUUCUAAAGUACCAUAUCUAAGUGGCAUAGGGGUAUUGAUGUAUCUUGCAAACAACACAAGACCUGAUAUAACUUUCACUGAAAAUUUGUUAACAAGAUUUAGUUCUUCUCCAGCACAGAGACAUUAGACUAGAAUUAAACAUGUAUUUAGAUCUUUCAAAGGGACCAUUGAUAUGGGGUUAUUUUAUUCAAAUGAUUCAAAAUCUCUAUUAGUUGGCUAUGUUGAUGCUAGAUACUUAUCAGAUUCACAUAAAGGUCGAUCUCAAAUAAGAUAUUUAUUUACAUGUGGGGUUACUGUCAUAUCAUGGCGUUCAACAAAGUGAACAUUACUUGCCACUUCUUCAAAUCAUGCAGAAAUAAUUGCAAUGCAUAAGACAAGUCAAGAGUGUGUUUGGCUAAGGUUAUUGACCCAACAUAUCCAAAAGAUAUGUAAUUUACCUUUAUAGAAAGAGAUGUCAACUAUCUUAUAUGAAGAUAACACAAAAUGUAUAGGAAGAGAAGUCGACUAUCUUAUUUGAAGAUAAUGCAGCAUGUAUAGCUCAGUUGAAGGGUGAUUACAUCAAAGGACAUAGAACGAAACAUAUUUCACCAAAAUUAUUCUUCACCCGUGAUUUUGAGAAAAGAAGUGAUAUAAAUGUUCAACAAAUUCGUUCUAGUGAUAAUUUAUCAGAUCUUUUUGUAAGGCAUUGCCGACUUCAACAUUUGAAAGACUACUACAUAAGAUUGGAAUGCAUCAACUAAAAAAUGUAAUGUAGUGUUGCCAUUAGGGGGAGUUUAUCUUAUAUGAAGAUAACACAAAAUGUAUAGGAAGAGAAGUCAACUAUCUUAUUUGAAGAUAAUGCAGCAUGUAUAGCUCAGUUGAAGGGUGAUUACAUCAAAGGAGAUAGAACGAAACAUAUUUCACCAAAAUUAUUCUUCACCCGUGAUUUUGAGAAAAGAAGUGAUAUAAAUGUUCAACAAAUUCGUUCUAGUGAUAAUUUAUCAGAUCUUUUUGUAAGGCAUUGCCAACUUCAACAUUUGAAAGACUACUACAUAAGAUUGGAAUGCGUCAACUAAAAAAUGUAAUGUAGUGUUGCCAUUAGGGGGAGUUCAAAAUAAGUUGUACUCUUUUCCUUUAACUAAGGUUUUGUCUCAUUGGGUUUUCCUGGUAAAGGUUUUUAAUGAGGCAGCUUGUAAUAAAAGAUUGUGUACUCUUUUUCCUUCAUUAAUUUUUAUCCACAUGGUUUUUUCUAAUAAGGUUUUAACGAGGCAUAUUAUCUACAAAUGGACAUCCAAAAGGGAGUGUUAUGAAUAUCUUAUUAAGUGGAUGUCCAUCAUGAUCAAAAUAAAGUUUUGAUGUACUUUAAAUUCUAAUAGUUAUUAGAAUUAGAUCUCUACUUCUUUUAUACUUCUUAUGCAUAUAAAUAGAGACUUUGACGAAGCAUUGUAAUCAUCCCUUUGAUUAAUAAAGUACAUUAUUUAUUGCUUUCAUAUUUUCAUAUUUUCAUAUUUUCUUUUUUCUCUCCAUUUUUCUUUAUUUUAUAACAGUUUUAAGUUUUUUUUUAUUUUUAAUUAUCAUUUUUUACACAUAAACUCUUUUGGUUGGAUGGUUAGAUAAUUGGGAUUUCAUCAUUGAGUUUUAAGUUUAAUUCCUCUUAUAAGCAUUUUAAUAUGUAUUUUUUAUUUCAUGUUGUUUCAAACUUUUUUAUUAUUUUUAAUUAAUGUUUAUAAUUAAUAUUUAUAUUGUUUUCAAGUUUUUUUUUAAUUCAUCUCGCUUUUAUUUAUAAAAUCAUUUAAUAAAGUGAAUUUGUUUACAAAAAUUAACUAGUCUUUAGAUAUAUUUUUCUUUUUAUAUAAUAUUUAUAUGUCAAAUAUUUAUUUUCUCCACCUAUAUUGUGGAGUAUGGUGAUUUCUAAUAUUAUAAAAUCAAAUAAUUAUUUCAAAUAUCAUUGUUUUUUCAUCUACAUUGUGGGUAUGAUAUUUCAAAUAUUUUUAUAUGUGAAAUAUUUCAAAUAUAAUUAUGUUUAUCUGUGAAAUGUUUCAAAUAAUUAUUUCAAAUACACUUACAAAAAUAUAUAAUAUCAUAUAAUAUGCGAAUUCACUACACUUAUGAUGUGGAUUGAAAGAUAAAUAUUACAAAUAUAAAAAUUAUAUUUACUAAAAAUAAUGAUAUUUUCAAUAAUUCUUUAACUUUAUAAAUAAAAGGGUUAUUAAUUAAAAAGAUGAAUUAAAAAUAAAAAACUUGAAAGUAAUAUAUUUAUUAAUUAUAAACAUUAUGUAAUGCCCUAAAUUUUGAAUAUUUCAUUAGCAAGUAUUUGUUUUAGUGGUUAAGUGUCUUAAUUGUGUGUUUGAGGUUUUGAGUUUAAGUCACACUUUUUGGGAAAAUUCAAUUAUUUUUUGUUCCUAGGCCUAUCUCUGUUCGUUGGGCUUAAAGGUUAUUUUUAAUCAAUUUAUGUCAGAAUGAGCCUGCUGGUUUAGUGGUAAAAGAUUGCUUACUAUUGGUCUUGUGUUUGAAUUCCCAUGUGAGCAAAAGAGUAAUAUUUUUGCAAUUUACUGUCUAGGGUGCACAUGGGAUGAAAUUGGUUUGAAAAUCAAAUUCUAGGAAGUUGGGUGGUUGUUGUAUACCAACGUUUGUGAAAUUUUAUGAACAAUGGUGUUAGUGGGUAGGUUAAUUUGUUUUAAAAUUGCAUUUUGGUUAGGAUUGUUUUAUUUAAAAUAUAUGGACACUUUUGCUCUCGCACGUUCCCUUUUCUCCUUCCCUUUCUUGCUUCAGUUAUCCUUUUUCUUAUUUCUUUCUUUGUUCAAAUGGGUGGGGUCCCAAGCUGAUCUUUUUUUUCUUAAUCUUUGUUGUUUCAAUUCUUCUUGUUUGGCCAAUCAAGGUUAGUAAUAAGUGUUGACUGCGACUUGAAUUGUUCAUAAGUAUUGGUAUUCUUUUCCUUUUUGUUUAAGAAUUUGUUGUCGUUGUUUCUCAUUUUGUUGGAGUGUGUUGGUGGAGUUAAUCAUGGUUAGUUGUUUGCUUUGGUUUAGGGGAAACACAAGAAAUGAUUCAUCCGUCAGUGACUUAGGAUUGUGGAGACGCUGUUCGUCCAUAGGUAAGGGUUUUAUGCCAAAUUAGGCUCGUUGUGGUUGUUGAGUUAAUCGGAUGUGGGUUGGUUUAGUAUUUUAGAGAAAUUAAAGAUUUUAGUCACUUAAUCGUUGCACUAUUGUGGGCUAAUUUGCUUAAUGUUCGAUGCAUUUAGGUGUUGGAAUACUAAAUUUGUGGAUUCGCAUUGAAAUCAGUCAAUGUGUGUAAUGAAAACUUGAGAAAACAAUGAACAAUGAAAGCCAAAAAAGUGAACUGUUGACACCACAUGAAUGUGUGUCAGGCCGUGUGUUGGAGCGUGUGGGACACACGGUCUGGGCUAAUUGGGUUGUGUGGGCCACACGGGCAUGUGUGAAACUGUGUAGGCCCAAAAUUUAGAAUUUUUCCCUAAGACCGUAAACAUCGUUCUGGUCGAACGUAGGCCUUUCGUAGGGUCCAUAUGACAUUAAUUAACCUUUAAAAUAUGAUUUCUGAUGUUCUGUUAGCAUAAAAAUAUUGAUAUGAGUUGUAUGACAAAUAUGAUGUAUGCAAAACACGAACUGUAUUUCUGGUAAGUCUGAUAUGUAUUUGUUAUGAGAGCAUGUAUGACAUGUAUGUUCUAUUAUAUGUUAAUUUUUGUAUGUGCAUUGGGUGUGGGAUUGUGUAUAUGGAGGAAGUGUGGGUAGAUAUACCUCUGCCAUAUCUGGUGGCACAACUACACAUAUUUCUGUAAAUGGCAAAAAAUCGCCUAAUGAUCAGUUAGCUAAGGUACGAAUAUUCUAAAAAGUGUCAUAUAUUGACACUAAGUGGUGUGUAGGUUUGGAUGAGUAUUCUAAUACCAGAUAUGGUAUGUUGGGAUGGUCGAAGAUGGUGUGUAACGGAUGGGGGUAGGUUCUUAAAUUUGCAUCUGAUAUGAUUUUAUACGAAUUUUGUUUCUAUUAUAUGUCUAAUUAUUAUUUGUUGAUAUUCUAUUAUGUUACACAUUGAGCUCAUAAGCUCACUAUCAGUUUGACUAUUUACUUUUAGGUAACCCUUAGACUUAGGAUUGGUUGGUGCAGCUGGAGCUCGGUUGAACAUUUCUGUUAAUCAUGCUAUUCUUUGUUAUUUUACUAUUUUGGUUUUAAUGGACUAUUUGGACAUUUUUGGGACUGUUUUAAUGUUUGGACUUUAUUUAUUUUAUUUUAUUUUAAUUGAUUAAAUGUUUUUGGUGGGUAGAAAAUUGAUUUGCUAAAUGAUGGAUUUUAUAACAAAAAAAUUGUGUUUUCAAACUGGAUUUGACUAAGUAUUCCACUGCAAACAAAUGUGUUUUACUAGUAAAUAAUUGACAAACUUAUCAAAAGAGCUAAGAAAGAUAAAUUUCCUAAAUAAACUCAAAUUUUACUAAAUAAGUGCAAGUAUCGUUUUAUAAAAUGAACGGAUUCUAGAUUUUUUUGAAUGUAUCAUAGAAACAUCUCUAGAUUUGGCCAUAACAUCAAGGUCGGGUUUGUGGUGUUACAUUUGGUGGUAUCAAAGCUAGAUUGCAAAACUCGGGCUGUGAAUUUUGGGUUCAAAAUUUUGUGAAAAUUAUAUUUUAAAAAAUUUUCUUUCUGUUUAAAUCUGAAAAGUGAGUUUACAGAAUACCGAAUCUCCGAUGCUGAUCCUGCAAGUACUUCUAACUUAGUUAAACUUUUAGUUUAGAAAAACUCUUAAAUGAUUAUAAGUGCUCUGCGAUAGUUAGAGACUGCAACAACUCUGUAAAUUUUUUUGAUAACUUUCUGAGCAUAAAAUAUAUGUCAAUAAACAUCAAAAUUGAUACAUAAAACUCUGUAAUGUAGAAAACAUACUAUGAGUGCACGUGAAACUCAUGGACACGGUAAUCGUGGGCGCAACGGGCACCAAAAAGGGCUCGAGUUGAGCCGUCCUCGAUGGACAACAUGCCCAAUUUAGAUACAAGUGAAACAUCGGGUAUGCCUACUACUGAGAUUGGAUCUUAGACUCAGACGGUUGGGGACGAGGCAUUGUCCCAAGCCAUGUUUAGGGUGCUUGAAAGGGUCGUUGGGACCUAUUCUAGAUCUGAGAGUCAAAGGUUGGUAACUGAAUGACUCCGGUCUAACGGUCCGAAACUGUUCAAGGGCGUCACUAAAGUCGCCCCAAUUGCGGCAAAAUAUUGGUUGGAGGCUAUAGAGAGGAUUAUGAAUCAUAUCAAUUGCACCCCUAAGCAGAAAUUAAAGGGUACAGUAUAUUUGCUUAGCGAUGAAGCUUAUCAGUAGAGGUUGACCAUUGAGGAGGGUACUCAACAUGAUGAGAUUUCUUGAGAGUACUUUAAGAAUGACUUCUAGAGAAAAUAUGUGGGGGCUCGUUAUGUGGAGGCUCAUAGACGAAGUUUAUAGGCUUUACUUAGGGGGAUAAGACCGUGGUUGAGUAUGAGGCCGAGUUUUUGAGGUUUAUCAGAUAUGCUCGUGGGCCUUUGUCAACUGACUAUAACGAAAGCAUUCGGUUUGAGGAAGGGCUAAGGUAUGACCUCAAAGUUCUGAUAGCUCCUCAAAGGGAGUGAGUUUUUGCCGUCUUGGUGGACAAUACGAAGAUUGCUGAGGAGGUUAAGUGCAUUGAGCACGAAAAUAGGGAUAUAGAGAGAGGUAAGGCUAAGAGGGAUUCAGAUCCCUCUAGUUCUAUUUAGCAGCUUAAGAAACGGGCCAGAUUUGAUGGGCCUCCGAGGGUUAAGGCAAAUGUUUCUCCUGCUGUGGUUCAGACAUGUAGAGAUUAAGGCAUCAUCCAGGUGAAUAUUAGAGGACGUUGGAAGCUUGCUUGCGAUGUGGCUUGAUGAAGCACUGCAUCCGAGAUUGUCCGCUCUACUCUAGUUAGGUGCAAGCUCCAGUUUCGCGUUUAGUUCAACCUCAAUAAGUAGUUCAACAACCACCUAGGGGUCGUGGUCAGGCCAAAAGUGGUAAUGGAUUGGGUAAGGGUUAGAGAGGAUUGGGAAAAGGUGUUAAUCAGACUAAGGCUAGGUAAUUUACUUUGGUAUAUGCAACAAGACACCGUGAGGAUAGAGACACCGUAGACAUUAUCGUCGGCACGUUCUUUAUUAAUUCUAUAUCGUACUUUGCACUGAUAGAUAUAGGUUCAACACACUCCUACAUAGCUAGCUUUGUUUCUGUAAACUUGGGUAUUUUUGUUUAAAGCACUUUUGGUGAGGUUUUAUUGAUCAGUUCACUAGGUCAAUCAGUUCGGGUUGAUAAGGUUUAUAAGAGAGUAUAGCUGGAGAUACAAGGUGUAGUGUUUCCAACUAAUUUGAUAGAGUUACCAUUUGGAGAAUUUGAUUUGAUAUUGGGUAUGGACUGGCUCGUGGAGUAACGGGUCAACUUGGACUAUGUCACUAAGAGGUUAACUCUAAGGUCUAAAGAUGAUUUAGAGAUUUUUGUGAUUUACGAGCGUCGAGAUUACCUCUCUAGUGUAAUCUCCGCUUUUAUGGUUGAAACAUUAGUUCAGAAAGGCUGUGAGGCAUUUUUGGCCUUUGUGCAUAACAUUAGUCCAGUGUAAUCUCUGCUUUUCAAAAAACGCCGCUAACGCCUCGAAAAAUCCAAAAAUGACAUCGUUGUGCUUGGGUUUUUUGCGGCGCUUUCUGGAAAAUGCCGCUAAUGCUCAUUUUUAAUACUGGAUCUUUAGCAGCAUUUUUCCUAAAGCACCGCUAAUGCUUGAUUUUUAGCGGCGUUUUUUAUCCAAACGCCACUAAAAACACCGCUAAAAGCUUGUUUUGGUGUAAUAUAUGAGAGUGUAACUGUGAUGUCGAACCAUCAUUUGGAAGAAUUUUCUUGGGGACUUGCAAAUAGUAAAUACCUAUUUUUAUGGGUAGUUAGGCCUGACGUUGUGAUGGGAGAAUCAGCUAUUUUUCCAAGAGAAUUCAUGGAGGCAAUAAAAGGAAGGGGCCUCAUAAUAAGCUGGUGUCCCCAACAACAAGUGUUGUCCCACCCAGCCGUUGGCGUUUCCUUGACACACUGCGGAUGGAAUUCUCUGUUGGAAGCUGUAUCCGAAGGUGUGCCUUUAAUUUGUUGGCCUUUCUUUGGUGAUCAACAAACGAAUUGUCGAUAUUCGUGCACCACAUGGGGCAAUGGAAUGGAAAUCAACCCUGACGUAAAGCGUAAGGAUGUGGAGGCUCUUGUUAAAGAGAUAAUGGAAGGAGAUAAUGGGCAAAGGAUAAGGCAAAAGGCAUUGGAAUGGAAGAGAAAAGCUAAAUCUGCCAUUAGUGUUGGAGGAUCUUUUGUUACCAACUUUGAUAGAAUGAUCAAGGAGGCCUUACGUCAAGGUUGAACAUUAAAAUAACAAAAAAUUGUUGUGUUGAAUGUUGUGUAUGUACUUUUUUUUAAUUUUUAUAAUACACUAUUAAUAAAUUGGUUAAUAUUGUGUAAUUGGUAAUAUACUCUCUCUUUUUUUUAAUUCCAUAAGUAAACUUAAAAAAUUGUUAUGUAUCUAAUUAAUUUUAUAAAUUUAUUUUUAAUAUUUUAUUAUAUUUUUAUAGAACACUUAUAAUCACUCUAACCCUACUUUAUAAAUUGUAGAUCAUAUAAUCGAAUUUGCCUUAUUAUCUCACCUCUAACUUUUAUUGCCUCGCCUUUAUUUUUAAUUUUUCUUUUUUUUCUAGUUUUUCUUUUGGUUCAAAGAAGAAACCAAACAUCAUAUAGUUCCCCAUGUAGAAAGGGAAACAGAUACAAUAUAAAUUAACACAUGAACUUACUUAAAUAUGAUUCUAAGAUUAAUCUAUAAUUUUUUUCUGCUUUUAUAUUCUGAUUAUUUAAUUCUUGAUCCAUAUAAUUUACAAUGGGAAAAUUUUCAUUUAGGCUAUUUAUAAUUUAUAAAAUUUUAAAUUAGUAAUGAUAAAAUUACACUUUGGCCCCCUUAAAAUGAUAAAAAUUUGAUUAAUUCUUUGAAAAUUAUAAAGAUAUAGACUAUUAAAAUGAUAAAAAUACAUUUUUACCAUCAUAAAAUAUACAAUUUAAUUCCACCCUGAAAAACUUUUCUAUUUCCACCACUGCUUUAUAUUUAAAUUAAUUACUUCCUUUUAAGAGCUUGAAUUACAAUGUCACAUUAUUCUCUCUCUAUAUAUAUUUUUACUUUUAGAUUUAUAAUAUUUUAUAUUUAAUAGUAUAUUUUAUUUCAAAUGUUUCAUAUUUAUACUCAAAGUCAUUUAAAUUUUGGGUUUGUUUCAUAAAAUUUUAAGAAAAAAAUAAAAAUAAAAAUAUAAAACAUAAAACUUUUAUAAUUUAAAAUUUACAUUUAUCAAAAAAUCUAUUUAUAUUUAAUAAUUAAUUUUAAGUAAUAUAUCAAAUAAAAUUUAUAAUUUAAAUUCAAUAUAUGUAAUUUUUUAACACUUAAUUUUUAAUUUAUUUUUUUAUAGAAACAUUUGAAUUUUUUUUAUCCAUAUUCAAAUAAAUGUGUAAUUGGAUUUAUGAACUUUGAAACUUGAAUUGCACUUCAUAUGUAUACAUAAAGCUUUGAUUGUAUACAUUUAAAGAAAUGAAUACAUACAUUUAUUUUCAUAUUGGAUUAAUAUUGUUUUUUUGUGCAUGCAAUAUAUCAACAUAAAAUUGUGUUAAUUCUUUAAUAUUAGUCUAUGGUUUGUGAAUUUUGAAUUAAAUUAAAAUUUCAUGUAUAAAAUUGUACAAAAUAAAAGCUCAUGUAUGACAUUGCACAUUGGAUCAAAAUUCAUGUAAAGCUUUGAUAGUUUUCCGUAAAAAUUAUUUAGAGAGUGCGUUUGGAUGGGUUGUAAGUAGUAAUAUUAAUUAUUGUAACAGUAAUAUUAGUUACUAUAACGGUGAUGAUAUAUAUGUUUGGAUUUAAUCAUAGUAGUGAAAGUGGGGUAAAAUAUAAUAAGAAGAAAAAAUGAUUAUUGAACACAUAAUAUUAAAAUUUAUAUGUAAUAGAAUUUUUGAAACUAUUUGAUAUUUGUAAAGUUAAUAAUUAUAAAUUAUUAAGUUUUUUAUAUAAAUAUUUUAAUGAAUAUAAAAUAUUAAGAUGGAUGGUAUUGUUUCAAAUAAUAUUUUUCAUCAUUUUUAUAUAGUUAUUUAAUUUAAUUAACUUAUAUUAAUUAUAUAAAUAAAUAUAGUUUUGUUAGUCUUAUCUUAUAAAAGUAUAUUUGUAUAUAUUUUUUUAAUAUUUACUUAUUAUAUAAUUAUUAACUGAAAUAAAGUAAUGAAAAAAAUUAAUAUCACAAGAUAUACAAAUACUUUUGUUUUAAAAUAUUUUCUUAAAAAAAAAAAAUGAUAAAAGGACAAAAAACUGAAAGGACGUGAUUGGAAACCGGAGGCUGCAAUGGAGAUGAAAAUUUUUAAUCUUAGCUCACUAGUGAUCCCAAAGAGCCUAAAUUAAUUUGUACCCAAAAUAUGUGGGUACCUAUCAUAUGAAUAUUUAGUUUAAGCUUGAUUUAAUAUUUAUUUUUAAAUUUGAAUUUAUUUCAAGAUAUAAUCAAAUUAAUUAAACAUGAACUCGAUUAAAUUAAAUAUAUUCAAGCUUGACUUGAUAAUAAGCUUAAGGAAUUAAUAAUAUAUAUUAAGGGUAAUAAUGUAAUUUAAUACUAUACAAAUAUUUAAAAUUUAUCAAAAAUAAAAAGCUCAACAAGGUUUGCGGGCCAUUAGACCCAAAUAUUAUUAAGCUCAAAUUCGGUUAAACUGAUAGUUUAAAUUACUCGAACUAGAGCUCGACUCGAUAAUUAUCAAAUCGAGUUUAGAAUCAAACUUAAAUAACUUGCAAGGUACCUAAACUUAUUUUAGGCCACCAUAAUCUCCAAAACCCCAAUUUUAACAUUUGAACUAAAUCUUCAUUUCUUCUUCACAAACUACCAUAAUCUAGUUUCUAUUAAUAUGGCUCUAAUAAUCUCUGAAAUCAAAGACCAAGCUUAUUUAUACAUGCAACUCUCUUUUUAACUGUUCCAACUCACCAAAGCAAAAUACAAAAGCAAUACUAAAUAUGAGCUUCACAUGCAUACCUCACACAACUGCAUUCACUUAUAAAGGAAAAAAAAAGCAGAAAUAGAGACAUUGAAUGAUCCCCAUACAUUAUUUAAGUAAUUCCCCACUGACAAUAGUAUUUCCAGUUAACCAUGUUUGAGAGCUUUCUUAACAAAUCUGUCGAAAUCAAUAUAAGAUGAUCCCCCAACUUCAACCGCUUCUUCCGCUUUCUUCUUCCAUUCCAAUGCCUUCUCUU
rnacentral:lncRNA from 1 species